rnacentral:lncRNA from 1 species
UAUUGCAACACCCUACAGCGGGAAUCCCUCAUGCUUGCGCGACACGGAGGGCACAAUAGGACAACACCAAAAUAAAACAUACAACUCGUACCAAUCUAGAUCAUCCAUCAACCCAAAGACAAAGGAUAUCUACUCAAAACAUCAUAAGAUGGCAACACAUCAUUGGAUCAUAAUAUGUGGCAUAAAGCACCAUGUUCAAGUAGGGAUUACAGCGGGGUGCGGGAGAGUGGACCGCGUAAAAGAGAUGAGGAUGGUGAUGAUGAUGGUGAUGUUGAUGAACACGAUCACCGCGGUGAUGAUUCCCCUCCCGAUGGCACUCCGGGGCCACCGAGAGAGAGGAGGAGACGUUAUCCCCCUUGUGCUUCCUCCUCCAUGGCCUCCCCCCUAGAUGGGGAGAGGCUCUCCCUCUGGUCCUUGGCCUUCAUGGCGAUGAUGGCCCCUCCGAGAUCCUCCUCCAUGGCCUUCGGUGAUGAUGGCCCCCUCCGGCAGGGUGCCAGAGAGGGCCUAGAUUGAUUUCUCGUGGUUACAGAGGCUUGCGGCGGCGGAACUUCCGAUCUAGGUUAUUUUCUGGGCGUUUCUGUAUUUAUAGGAAUUUUUGGCGUUGGUUUCACGUCAGGGGGGUCUCCGAGUCGUCCACGAGGUAGGGGCCCAUGCCCAGGGGGGUGGGCGCGCCCCCCACCCUCGUGGACAGCCCGGGACUCUUCUGGCCCAACUCUUUUGCUCCAGGGGCUUCUUUUGGUCCAUAAAAAAUCAACAAAAAUUGGCACGUCAAUUGGACUCCGUCUGGUAUUCCUUUUCUGUAGAACUCAAAAACAAGGAAAAAAAACAGAAACUGGCACUGGGCUCUAGGUUAAUAGGUUAGUCCCAAAAAUCAUAUAAAAUAGCAUAUAAAUGCAUAUAAAACAUCUAAGAUGGAUAAUAUAAUAGCAUGAAUACUUCAUAAAUUAUAGAUACGUUGGAGAUGUAUCAGCAUCCCCAAGCUUAAUUCCUGCUCGUCCUUGAGUAGGUAAAUGAUAAAAGAAAUAAUUUGUGAAGUGUGAAUGCUAGCAGGUGCACAAGUUUGAUCAAUGAUAAUUUCAAUCACCUUUUCUAGCAUCAUUAUAUGUCAUAACAGUAGCUCAUCUCAUAAAACUUUUCAUGAUCAAGUAACAAACUAUUCACAUGUUAAAGUAUAGAUCAUAAACUUUCUUGAAAACUAACAAACAGUGCUCUUAGUCAUCAAACAAUUGCAAUUCAUCUUAUUUUCAGGAAGGGUCUAUGUCAGAGCUUUGAUUUAGCAAACUCCACAUACUCAACUAUCAUUUAAUCUUUCGCAAUUGCUAAUACUCACGUGAUAUUUAUGGGUUCAAAGUUUUAAUCGGACACAGAGAAAGAUAGGGGCUUAUAGAUUCGCCUCCCAACCUUUUACCUCAAGGGUAAUGUCAACAAUAAUAGUUCAUGAUAACUUACAUCCAAUUGGAUAUAUAUAUAUCAGGAUCUUUCCAACACAAUGUGCUUGCCAAAGGAUAAAAUGUAAAAAGAAAAGGUUAAGAUCACCAUGACUCUUGCAUAAGGUAGAAGAUAAAAGUAAAAGAUAGGCCCUUCGCAGAGGGAAGCAGAGGUUGUCAUGUGCUUUUAAGGUUGGAUGCACAAAAUCUUAAUGCAAAAAGAACGUCACUUUAUAUUGCUUCUUGUGAUAGAGACCUUUAUUAUGCAGUCCGUCGCUUUUAUUUCUUCCCUAUCACAAGUUCGUAUAAAGCUUAUUUUCUUCGCACUAAUAGAUCAUACAUAUUUAAGGAGCAAUUUUUAUUGCAUGCACCUAUGACAACUUACUUGAAGGAUCUUACUCAAUCCUUAGGUAGGUAUGGUGGACUCUCAUGGCAAAACUGGUUUAAGGGAUGUUCGGAAGCACAAGUAGUAUCUCUACUUGGUGCAAAGAAUUUGGCAAGCAUGAGAGGGAAAGGCAAGCUCAGCAUGUUGGAUGAUCCGUGACAAUAUACUUUAUUUCGGAUAUAAGAAAACAUAACCCAUUACGUUGUCUUCCUUGUCCAACAUCAUCCUUUUAGCAUGUCAUAUUUUAAUGAGUGCUCACAAUUACAAAAGAUGUCCAAGAUAGUAUAUUUAUAUGUGAAAUCUCUCUUCCUUCAAUAUUCUUUCAUGAAUUGUUCAAGUGACCAAUUCUAUGUUCGCUAACUUUCAUUAAGUUUACUAGCUAUACUUAUUCUGUGUGAAGUCAUUACUCCCCUUGGUAUAAGCAUAUGAAACAUUUAUAAGUUCAGAUUUAUGAUAUUCAAUUCAUUCAACCAUUUACUCAUAGGAUAUACUUGAAGCACGUGAGUAAAUGACAAACUACCCCAAAAAGAUAUAAGUGAAGAACACUGAGUAGUCAAAUAAUUAACUAGCCAUGGGAGGAUUCUUUUUCAUUCAAGAUUUCAGAUCCAACGAUUUUAUUCAAACAGCAAGUAAAAUUGAAAAUACGCUCCAAGCAAAACACAUAUCAUGUGACGAAUAAAAAUAUAGCUCCGAGUAAGGUAUACCGAUAGUUCUGAAGACGAAAGAGGGGAUGCCUUCCGGGGCAUCCCCAAGCUUAGGCACUUGAGUCUUCCUUGAGUAUUACCUUGGGGUGCCUUGGGCAUCCCCAAGCUUAGUGUCUUUCCACUCCUUAUUCUCCUCAUAUCGAUAUCUCACCCAAAGCUUGAAAACUUCAAUCACACAAAACUUAACGGAACUUCGUGAGAUAGGUUAGUAUGAUAAAGUGUAAACCAUUCACUUUGGUACUGUCAAAGACAAGGUUCAUAAUUUUUAUCACACAAUGCCUACUGUACCAUAUCAUUUCUACAACUUAUAUUGAGAAAUAUAAGCCAUAGAAACUAUAAAACAAGCAAACUAUGCAAUGAAAACAGAAUCUGUCAGAAACAGAAUGGUCUGUAAUGAUCUGAACAUAAACCAUACUUAUGCUACUCCAAAAAUUAUGAAAUAAAUUGGUGGACGUGAGGAAUUUUUCUAUUAAUCUUCUGCAAAAAGAAUCAACUCAAAAGCACUCUUCUGUAAAAAAAUGGUAGCUAAUCCCGUGAGCGCAAAGUUUCUGUUUUUUACAGCAAGAUCACAUUAACUUUCACCCAAGUCUUCCCAAAGGUCUUACUUGGCACUUUAUUGAAACAAAAGCUAUAAAACAUGAUUACUACAGUAGCUUAAUCAUGUAAACACACAAAAACAGUAAGGGUAAAUAUGGGUUGUCUCCCAACAACCGCUUUUCUUUAAUGCCUUUUAGCUAGGCAUGAUGAUUUCAAUGAUGCUCACAUAAAAGAUAAGAAUUGAAACAUAAAGAGAGCAUCAUGAAGAAUAUGACUAGCACAUUUGAAUCUAACCCACUUCCCAUGCCUAGGGAUUUUUUGAGCACAUAAUUUAUAGGAACAAGAAUCAACUAGCAUAGGAAGGCAAAACAAGUAUAACUUCAAAACUUUAAGCACAUAGAGAGGAAACUUGGUAUUAUUGCAACUCCUACAAGAAUAUAUUCCUCCCUCAUAAUAAUUUUCAGUAGCAUCAUGAAUGAAUUCAACAAUAUAACCAUCACACAAAGCAUUCUUUUCAUGAUCUAGAAGCAUAGAAAUUUUUCUACUCUCCACAUAAGAAAAAUUCUUCUCAUUCGGAAUAGUGGGAUCACUAAUUCCUAAAGUUGACACUCUUCCAAACCCACUUUAGAUGAUAAUAUUAUUCAUACUCCAAAAGAUAUAAGUGAAGUUCAUGGAGCAUUCUAAGAUUAAUAUAGACUAACCAAUAUCCAAGCUCAAAAUGUAUAAGUGAAGCACAAGAAGCAUUCUAUAAAACCAUACUCAAAAGAUGUAAGUGAAGCACAAAGGGCAAUUCUAUAAGAUCAUACUUAAAAGAUAUAAGUGAAGCACAUGAAGUAUUCUAUAAAUUGAUGAAGGGACAUCUCAUACUAGAAUGGUUCUUAAAGGAAAAACAAAAACACAAAGGACACAAAUCAUGUGAACAAAACAAAAACCGAGGUAUACCGAUAUUUGUUGAAGAAGAAAGAUGGGAUGCCAACCGGGGCAUCCCCAAGCUUAGAUGCUUGAGUAUCCUUUGAAAUAUUUUCUUGGGGUGCCUUGGGCAUCCCCAAGAUUGAACUCUUGCCUCUCUUUAUUCUUCUCAUAUUGAUAGUUCCCCGAUCUUCGAACACUUCAUCCACACAAAACUUUAACAAAAACUUUGUGAGAUCCGUUAGUGUAAUAAAGCAAACUACCACUUUAAGGUACUGUAAUGAACUCAUUCUUUAUUUAUAUUGGUGUUAAACCUACUGUAUUACAACUUCUUUAUGGUUCAUACCCUCCGAUACUAGCCAUAGAUUCAUCAAAAUAAGCAAACAACACGCGAAAAACAGAAUCUGUCAAAAACAGGACAGUCUGUAGUAAUAUGGAAGUUUAGUAAACUUCUGUAACUCCCAAAAUUAUGAAAUAAAUUUGAAAAUUUGAAAAAUUAGUACAGAAGUAAUGUUCAAAAUCUUUCAGACCCAUUUGACCUUCCAGUAAAAAAAUGUAAAAUCACGCACUACAGCCAAAGUUUCUGUUUUUGUUCUGCACAUAGUAAACAAGAAAUCUAAUCAUCCUAAAACCAAAGCUUGGCUCAUUAUUUUUGUAAUACAAUGGAUAUAUACAAGGGGAUAAUUAUUUACAGAGAAACUUCCAUGAAAAAUUCUACAUUGUUUCCGUGAGCAUGAACACAAGUGCUCAAGGUCGAUCCUCACUUCUUCAAUGCAUAACUUUCCAAUCACUUCUCUUUUUGAAAAACAUUUUAGGCAUGAGAGGCAAGUAAUUUUUUUUGUAUUUUCAUUCUUUAACUUUUUUGUAUGUUUCACCCACAACUAAACAGAAACAAAAAGGAAAAAAAUAUACUUAGUGAAGAAAGCAAACAAGCACACAGGAGAAUAUCAACCCCACGCUAUUGCUCCCCAGCAACGGCGCCAGAAAAGAGCUUGAUAAUCCCCAAGUGCAGGGAAUCAUCGUAGCAAUUUCCAAAGGUGGAAGUGAUAAGUAUGGAGUGUCGAACCCACAAGGAGCUAAAGGUAAGAUCAAUAUUCUCUCAAGCCCUAUCUGCCACUGAUACGACUCUACGUGCACCGAACGUUUGCUUCCAACUAGAAACGAGAAAUAAAACUACGUUGUGGGUAUGAAGAGGAUAACUUUGCAUGGUAUCGGAGAGCUAAAAUAUAAAAGUAGGUGCUGUUAUCAUAAAGUUAGAAUAUAAUACUAAAUAUUAUAAAUAGCGAGUGUGGAAUAAUGAUGGAUCGGUGUGCGGAAUUGUCCUAGGCAAUUGUUAACAAGACCGGUAGUCGUCAUUGCAAUUUCAUAUGAGGGACAGGCAUAAGCUAACAUAAUUUCUCUUCUUGGAUCAUAUGCACUUAUGAUUGGAACUCUAGAAAGCAUCCGCAACUACUAAAGAUCAUUAAGGUAAAACCCAACCAUAGCAUUAAAGCAUCAAGUCCUCUUUAUCCCAUACACAACAACCCCCUUACUCGGGUUUAUGCUUCUGUCACUCAAGCAACCCACUAUAAGCGAAUCAUAAACGUAUUGCAACACCCUACAGCGGGAAUCCCUCAUGCUUGCGCGACACGGAGGGCACAAUAGGACAGCACCAAAAUAAAACAUACAACUCGUACCAAUCUAGAUCAUCAAUCAACCCAAAGACAAAGGAUAUCUACUCAAAACAUCAUAAGAUGGCAACACAUCAUUGGAUCAUAAUAUGUGGCAUAAAGCACCAUGUUCAAGUAGGGAUUACAGCGGGGUGCGGGAGAGUGGACCGCGUAAAAGAGAUGAGGAUGGUGAUGAUGAUGGUGAUGUUGAUGAACACGAUCACCGCGGUGAUGAUUCCCCUCCCGAUGGCACUCCGGGGCCACCGAGAGAGAGGAGGAGAGGUUCUCCCCCUUGUGCUUCCUCCUCCAUGGCCUGCCCCCUAGAUGGGGAGAGGUUCUACCUCUGGUCCUUGGCCUUCAUGGCGAUGAUGGCCCCUCCGAGAUCCUCCUCCAUGGCUUCCGGUGAUGAUGGCCCCCUCCGGCAGGGUGCCAGAGAGGGCCUAGAUUGAUUUCUCGUGGUUACAGAGGCUUGCGGCGGCGGAACUUCUAGGUUAUUUUCUGGGGGUUUCUGUAUUUAUAGGAAUUUUUGGCGUUGGUUUCACGUCAGGGAGGUCUCCGAGUCGUCCACGAGGCAGGGGCCCACGCCCAGGGGGGUGGGCGCACCCCCACCCAUGUGGACAGCCCGGGACUCUUCUGGCCCAACUCUUUUGCUCCAGGGGCUUCUUUUGGUACAUAAAGAAUCAACAAAAAUUGGCAUGUCAAUUGGACUCCAUUUGGUAUUCCUUUUCUGUAAAACUCAAAAGCAAGGAAAAAACAGAAACUGGCACUGGGCUCUAGGUUAAUAGGUUAGUCCCAAAAAUCAUAUAAAAUAGCAUAUAAAUGCAUAUAAAACAUCUAAGAUGGAUAAUAUAAUAGCAUGAAUACUUCAUAAAUUAUAGAUACGUUGGAGACGUAUCAAUGAAGAGGGCAUAGAGGAUCAACAAUGAUUCCUUCUCGUGGUUGGAAUGCGAGAGGGAAUGGAGGGAAGCGAAGGCGGUAGCAGAGGCGGAAUCGGAUCCGAUACUCAGAUCCAGAAGAGAGAGGUAUGUUCAAACUUGGCGGAUCCAGGCAGACUGAGAGAUGAAGAAUUUUGCAAGAAGGAUUCACUUUGAAGGUACCGCGGAGGAGAGAGCGCAGAUGCUGCCUUUCCCACUCUCACCGUCGGUGGACUUCAUUCAUUGGGCGAGGGGAGAGGGGAUAUUCAGCGAUCUGAGGAGGAAAGGGAGGUGGAUUUGUCUCGUGGGACUGUGUCCAGCAAGCGUUCCACCGCUGCCGGAACCAGUGGAUCCUCUGCAAUACUUGUCGCCAGCAAUUUGAAUUCCUCUGCAGUUUCAGUCUGUGACAGAAGAGAGGAGGAUGAGCUUGAUGAACAGACGGUUAGAAUUUGACCCCCGUGGAUGUAGGAAAAAUGAUGAAGCUGGAUAUGCUGAUUGCUUAGUUGGAUCUCGACCUGGAGGCAGAUUCUGGGCGUUGGAGCAAAUUGAAGAAGAUGGUGAAAAAUGUUCAGCGGAGAGUGAAGCUGGACAGAGUCCAUAUAUAGCGACUUUAGCUGAUGCUUUUGCUUGUGCUAAGAGGGAAUCGAAGAAGAAAAUCAAAGGCAAGCAGAAGAGGGACAAAUUAUGCAAAUUGGGUGUUGUUGACCGCAUUUCAGAGAAGAUUGUGGCUCCUGUAUUUAGUUAUGUAAAUGUUCCUCCUUGUCGUAAAUCCAGGCAUGUGCUUCCUGUUGAGUGUGAUUCAGUUACUAAGGAUUGCUGGUACCAAAUUGUUGGUGGUAAGCCAGUUGAUGUGGGUGUGGGUUUUGAGCCGAAUUGUAUGCAGAUGGGACAUGACGGGAGAGGUCAUUAUCUACCAGCACGCAGCUUGGUUGAUGCGCCGCUCUCCACACGGUCGCCAACACGCCCGGAGGGUGAAUUUGGAGAUGAUUUAGAGUUCAGGUUUUUUUCCUGUUUUGAUUCAAACUAUGCAUCGGAAUGGGCCGGUUGGUGGUGGGCUGGGUCAGAAAUAUGGGUGCAUAUUGGAGCCCAAAAAGGGGAGUGGGGUGCUACAACUUGGUCAAAGAUAGGUCGUUAACCCUAAUCACUUUUUGCACUCUAGGAUUUCCCAUUUGUGGUGCCCGUCCUCGGCCACCGCCACUCGUGAUAGGUAGAUCCGGGAGGAAAGAUGGAUGGGCAUUUUGGUUCUGGGCGUGUAAAUGGAGGGAGGGAUGGUGGAGGUGGUGGAAGCUGGAGACCAAAUCAAGGUUAUGGGAGAGAAUUCCAAUUUGACAAAUACGAUCAAGGUCCUUAGGUCCGACCCCGACCGUCGUUUCAAAAUUUCCAAGGUAACCAGCACUAGAACUUCCCGCGUAGAGAGCCAGGAUACGGGGAUUGGGGACAAGAUGGUGGCAAUCGAGGUAUGUAUCAGUACCCUCGUCGGCCGCCACUGCAAAACACUAAUCUACCCCUACUACUAGCAAAAAAACAACAGAAGAUGAGUACAACCACUAUCAGUGGUGGAGGAGGGGGUAGCGAUGUUCAGACUUCCAAGCCUAAUUCCGCUGGGGCAGUGGUGGCAGGGAAUCAAAGCUCGAGGGUGAUUUCUGAUAGCAAUGUUUCUUCUAUGGACAAGGUUAUCUGUCAUAAGUGUGGUGAGAAAGGUCAUAACUCUAAAGGAUGUGAGGCAAAAGUAAAGUGUGUGAUCUAUACUAAGGAUUCUCAUGUACUUGAAUUUUGUGCUUGGCUUCAUCAGAAAAAACUUGUGGCUACUCUGGUUGGUUUUGGUGGGGAGGGGCUUGGAUUGUUUGUGGCAGAGCAUGCAAAGGAGAUUUCCAGUGCUAAUAAAAAUGAAGUUGUGGCUUUGGUGAGACUGAGGGAGGGAUGUGAUUUAGAAGUGGAUGCUGACAUGUUAAUUAAAAGCUUGGCCGAAACUUAUCCAUGGAGGUGGGACUUGAAAGCUAGAAAAGUUUCUGAAGGAGUUUUUUUGGCAAACUUUCCUUGAGCUACUAGAAUUGAUGAAGUUGCUAUAUAUGGCUGGGUCCCUUUAAAGGGAGGAAAUAUCUUGGUGAAUGUGAAAAUCUGGAAUGAUGAUGCAAUGGCUGUAGGAAAACUCGCUGCGGUUUGGGUCAGAGCAAAAGGUGUACCAAAGACUAUGAAGAAUUUCCAUGGGCUAUGUGAAAUUGGCUCAAUGAUUGGUUACAUUCAGGCUGUGGAUAUGCAGUUAGUAAGUAAAACAAGCUUGGUUGGAUUGAAAGUUGUUGUGGUGGAUUACAGAAAAAUUCCUAGAUGGACCAAGUUAACAAGUCCCAAUCUCAUGGUUUACAUAAUCUUCUUUGAAAUGGAAGAAGUAGUAGAUGAAGGAUGGGCUAAGGAAGAUGAUGAAUUAUCUCAAGGCUAUGAAGACUGGAUGGAUUUUCAGCAAGAGGAGGAGGAUAGCAGAGAUCCCAAAAAAGCAAAACACAAUGAAGAUGAGGCAGACAAUAGACCAAUUCGUGCAAGUACACAGACCAAGAUUGUUGUGGAUGAGAAAGAUGUUGUUAUAAAGGAACAGGAGGAAUAUGAUAUUCGGUUGUACUAUAAACACAAAGAUAAGGAUGUUGAAGACAAAAAGGAAGAAGAAACUGGCUUUGUUUUUGUGAAUAGAGGAGGUGGAAAAGAAAAUGAGGAGGAAGAGCAAAACACUGCUGAUGAUAAAAAUUUAGAUGAUGAAGUUGAGAUGUCUCAGUCUGUCAGUUUGGGGACUAAACUAGGGAUUAGGGUACAUGAAGAUAUGACUAUACACAAUACCAAUGAUAAGAAUUCUGACCAAGGUACACAGAGGUAUAGUGGAAGGAUAGCUUCAAAGAACAAAGAUGAUAUCGCAAUGUUAGAUAGAGCUAUAUGACUCUGGCUAGGGCCAAAAACCUAGCUUUAUCUAAAGGUAUGUCAUCUAAUGUUGUUGAUGAAUAUUCUGAAAAUGUAGAACUAAUUGAUGUUGCUAAUUUGAUAGGAAUUGACUUAGGGGUUUCUUCGGGUUUGGUGGAGUACAGUUUAAAACUAAUUUCCUCUCAUGAAAAAGCUAGAAGAGAGAUAUUUUUAGCUAAUACCAAGGAGGAAUCUAGUGAACAGGAGAAUGAGAAUGUCUUGGAACUUGAGGAGGUUAAUUCUAUACUUCAGGACUUAUUACAAUUAAGUAGGGAAGGGGAUGAGGAACAUAUGGAUGAUCAUUCGGAAAGUCUAUUUGGUGGUAUGAGGACAGGUCUUAAAGCAAACAGUGCUCAUUUUGAGGAUGUUGCUGUUAAGACACCACUAAAAACAGUGUUGAGUAGGAGGAAAACAGUGCUCAUUGGCUCAAUCUCUCUCCCAUAAGCAGCGUUGAAUCUGUCAACAGAGUAGUACUCAUGCACAAAUUGUUCAAGGUCUACUCUCUUUUGUGAGGUCACGAAGGCCAAGACAUGCGGACAUGGCUUACCAGUAUGCUACCAUUCAAGACAAGUGUUGGAAAUAUGAACUAGAUGCAAUAAUAAUGUAUUAUUAUAUUUCCAUUUUCAUAAUUAAGAGUUUAUAUUUCAUGUUAUAACCAUUGUGAUCCUAGAAUAAGUGAUUCAGUGAAAAACUCAUAUGCACAUGUGGAAUGGUAAACGGUAAAUAAUAGGUUCCUAGUCUUGCCUCUAAGACUGACUCAAGUGUUGUUCGUGAUCAUGUUUCCUGGAUCUUAGGAUAUCGUUAAGUGUAACGAUAGUCCUAAAACAACAUUGAAGGUAUGAUGUUAGAAGAAUGAUCAUAUUGAAUCGAUCCAAUAUUGUUUGUUAUACUUUGAGAUAAUAUCGUCUGAAAUCAAUUGUUAUAACACGGAGUGUUAGUAUGUGUUUUUAGUUCCUCAGACGAUGAAUCUUGGGGUUUCUCAAACAUCAUCUGUAACACGGUGAUCAUAACGACAACUUACAGGUUCAUCUAAAAGUUUGACAAGGGACUAGAUAGCUCGAGAGAGGGAUUUGCUCCUCCGACAAUGGAGAGAUAUUCUUAGGGCCCUCUUGGUGUGACGGAAUCCAUCAUCGUCUGGCCAGACACAGGUGAUUACGUCAUAGGGAUGCCGGAACACUUCAAUGGGAGAAGAACAAAACCGGUGACAAGAUCAAUGGUAUAAUGAGCAUGUGCAUGAAUCAGUAGGAUACCAAUGCAUCCCGACUUUUGUAAAGUAUCCCGAUGCAAAGGGAACAUCACAGGAUAACCGAAGGUUCACUCGAAUUUCAUUCGUGUAAUCAUAGGGAUCGAUAUGGACAUCCACGGUUCCACUAUCGGUCAUUGAACGAAGAAGUUUCGUUCAUGUCUAGGAUUUACCAAACCUACAGGGUCACAAGCUUAAGGUAAUCACGACCUGCUGAGUGUUAGUAGGAUGAGAGCAUCGAUGAUUUAUUUAUGGAAUUGUUUCAUUAAGAACAUUUACAUUUAUGACCCUAAUUUGCGCCGACUCUCAGAUUUACCCCUAACUUUUUGAUGUGCUCAAAUUUGCCCUAAAAAGAAUUUAGGUCACGAGAAUGCCCUUCCAGCUGGUCAAAGUUGUUUGACCAAAACUUUGAAAAAUCAUAAAAAAUUCAUAUGAGCUCAAUAUGUUCGUUAAAAUAUCACCUAUACACGCAUGUCAUUUAUGUUCAUCAACUACACGUGCAUUUAUUUGCAUUCACCCUAAAUAGUUUUUAAUGUUAUGAACCCUAAAAUGCUUUAAAGUGUGCUUUUGUCAUGCACGUAAAUGACACGUGCAUAUAGGUGAUGUUUUUAUGAACAUUUUGAUAUCUUAUUUUGCAUUCUUCUAAGUUCAUAUGAAUUUGUUAUGAAUUUUGAAAGUUUCGGUCAAACAACUUUGACCAGAUGGAAGGGCAUUUUCGUGACCUAAAAUGCUUUUUAGGUGCAAAUUUGAGCACAUAAAAAUGUUAGGGGUAAAUCUAAGAGUGGGCGCAAAUUAGGGUCAUAAAUGUAAAUGUACCUGAAUGAAAUAAUUCCACAAAUAAAUUCUCGAUACUCUCAUCCUGCUAACACUCAGCAGAUCGUGAUUACCUUAAGCUUGUGACCCUGUAGGUUCGGUAAUCAUAGACAUGAACGAAACUUCUUCGUUCAAUGACCAUAGUGGAACCAUGGAUGUCCAUAUCGAUCCCUAUGAUUACAUGAAUGACAUUCGAGUGAACCUUCGGUGGGUUCAAGUUAGGGUCACAUCAAAAAGUUAGGGGUAAAUUUGAGUAGUGGGUUCAAGUUAGGGGCUCAAAUGUGAAUGUCCCGUUCAUUAAUGUUCAAAAUAGUUUUGAGAGGAAUCGGAAGCGUUUAGGGGUCACCGGAAGGGUUUCAGAGUUUAUCGGGAAAUACCGGGUAUUAUCGAUAAAUAAUAUAUAGGUGGAAAAUGUUUUGGUUGAUGUUAAAUUAUAUAUAGAAGGCCCUGGUAAUUGUUAGAGGGCUUUUAUAGUUAAUUUAAUAUCAACAUGCCUUAAAAUGUCUAGUGGUGAAAGGCAACUUGGGCCACCAAGGCCCAACUGGAGGUGGGGUCCGCCCUUUCCUGUAGGACGUGAUGAUUAUCAAAUUGCAAAAUUGAGUGAAUCAAUGAAUUGACCAACAUGUCGAGCAAUAAGAAGCGAAACAUAUGAAUUCCAUGGUCGACGAGCCCGGCGGGCACCUUCUCCCCACUUGUGCAAUCGCAUCGCAAAACUUCAUGAUGAAGUUGGAGAUGGUGUACCACCGGUGGGCCAGUGACUUCACAUUGUGUUCAUGGAUCAAGUAAAAGGCAUAGGGCAUGAAGUGCUUUUGCUCAUGAAACGGAAUAUGCAUGGUUUGCCAAAAGGUCGAGCUCCAUUGUCUCAUGCCUAGAAAGUCCGCAGAUAUGACCUUUCAAGCAUCACACAAUAAUCAUUCUCCAUCAUUGAGUACCCCGUCAUUGUGCUUACUCUAGAAAACACCAAGAAGGAAAAAAGAAAGCUCAAUGACAUUUGAUCGAACACCUGCCGGGCGUGCUGUCCGCCAUGGACCGUGUCGACAGGUGGCCAGGGGAGGGGGCGGUAUCUGGCUGUGGACAAUUCCUGAGUGGAUGGUGGUAUAGUCCAAGGUGGAUAGGUGCAUGGGUUGGGCUGCGGACAUCCGGCAAUGCCUGGGCGGCGGCUGGAGAGAUACACCGACGGCGUCGGACGAGGACGGGUUGGGUGCAGAGCAAGGGCAGAGCAGAGACGAAGUGGGAGAAAAAUGAUCCAGCAGGAGGGGAUUUGAGUGGGCCGAGAGUGUUGGACGCAUACUUGGUGAAGGUCUGGGUGCCCACAAACCUCCUGGUUUGUGUCCGGUUUACAGGAAUGCAUACAAACGUACGCAUAUAUGGAUAAAUACAGAUAUCCGAACAACUCAGUUCAUCACAUCGUAUACUGGCGUUUCAAGGGUUUGGGAAUGCCUGCCCUCAAGGGUCAGGAGGAGGGAGGAGGGGAGGGGAGACCGGCAACACGAUCUAGGGUUCCCUCCCCGUCGCCAUGCGGGGGCGACGCGUCAGGGAGGAGUGUUGGUGUUUUUCCCCUCUACUGGUGCUAUAUAUAGUGUAUCCCUGCCGUUCUUGUAUACAUGACAUCAGUGAAUCAGGAUGUAUAAGAAGGUAGUCACGCAAGGGAUAAUAUUUUGAGCGUAAAGCGUAGAGAACUUUCCCGGGCGGCAUCAGAUGCUAAUCACAUGCGAGUUAUAGCCCUUUUUGUCUUUUAUGAAUGUGCCUUUUUAAAACGGAGCGAAAUUAAUCUAUAUAUAUACUAAUAUAAAAAGACCCAAAGAAACAUAUCCAAUUAAUCUCGGCCAUCAAAUCAUGUCAAUCCAAUAACCUAGACUGCUUCAAUGUUCGAGCGUUCAGCACGUUUAACGUGCAGUUAAUUUCAUGCCAAAAAUAGUGUUAAUCACAUAAUAACAUGCAAAAUAAUAUUCUAUUUAAUAUCCGCAUGCACUUAAUAUACUUCCAAAUUAACGUGCAUUGCACGUACACAUUGACUAGUCAUUAAGAAAAAGCAGAAACGACCAAAGCAUCAUUUGGUUUUACAGCUAAAAAUAUUUGUGUUGUGCAUGGAGAUGGAGACAGUGAUGGCGUACAAAUGAACAUAUAAUGUAAGCGUACAUGUGAAUUCUCUUCCAUGCGGCGUAUAAUGUAAGCUUACAUGUGAAUUCUCUUCCAUGCGGGCAUAUGGAAUUAUACCACAUGGUACGAAAGAUUUAGUCGGCCAUGUACUUCGUUCGAUUGUUGUUUUAUAUAUAAAGCGGGAUGAAAGUCAGUUUCGAGAGCUGCGGCUUGCAGGGCUGGAUGCAAAUGCCUAGCUUGUAAGGCCAGACUAAGAAUAAAGCUGCAUGUAUGCACAUAUAUUCUGCCUGGAAACGUAUGGACUUAAUUUAUUUAUUUUUGAGGAUUGAAAUGCAUGAACUUUACAUGAAGCAGCCAAAGUUUCUACAAACUAGCUAGGUGCAAUCAGCACAAAGUCCUCCACUUAGCCAAGUUUCUACUGACUGGGUGCAAUCAGCACAAAAUCCUCACCUCACCUUUGUAAUCCUGCUCAGUAAAUUACAGGUGCUUGAUUAAUCAUGGCUCCGUGUUGAGCUCGUGACACGCGUUUGAUUCACUUCGGUUUCUAAUGUCAGCUGAACUAACAAGCCGAGGUUGACUUGGAUGACAGUUACUCUCUUCGUUUUUAUUUACUCCGCAUAUUAGAGUUGACUGAAGUCAAACUUUCUAAAGUUUGACAAAGUUUAUAAAAAAAAUAUUUACCAUAACAAAUCUAUAUGAUGUGGAAGUACAUUUGAUAAUGAAUCUAAUGGUAUUGAUUUGUUAUUGUAUAUGUUAAUAUUUUUGUUUGUCAAAGUUUAUAAAAUUUGACUUUGACUAAAGCUAAUAUGCGAAGUAAAUAAAAACAGAGGAAGUACUAUUUUGUUUCCCUGCAGGCAUGCAUGGUAAUCCGCAUCUCACCCUGCAUAAAGAUCAUUGGAAUCAGAUCUAAUACCUUUCUUUGGCCGGUCACACACUCUAGCUAGGGUUCUUCGACGCAGGUUGCUUGCGUAGUUUUUUUUAGAAACAACAUUGACGUACACAUACAGUCACACCACCACACACACUCACACUCAAACAAAUGCCUACUGAAGGCCCGAUCGAAGUUGCGGGCUUUGAAAUUGAUGGAAUCACCACAUGUGUCUCGUUAUUUGAUAUUUACUUAUGAGUUAUGAAUAAAUAAUAUGAAAAACAAAUCUUAAGGGUUUUUCAAACCACAUUUAACAGGAGACGUUCCAUUCGGUUCAAACAUUUAAAAAUAUUUUUUUUCUUUGUUUAUUUUUGUGGUGCAACUAGACUUUGGUCAACUUAGUUAAUCAUACGGCAGUCCAAUAUCCGGGGUGGGCCCCGCCUGUCAUCGUGCAAGGCUACCAACGUCUCCGUCCCCCUCUUUCCAUCGCAGCCCACCUCCGCUAUAAAUACCACUCACUCAAAAUAAAAUAAUGAGCUCGACCGCCGACGGAAGCAGCUCGCGGUCGGCUCUCAGUCUACUCUCCGUCGCGUCGUCGACAGGCGCCGCGGCAGCAGCGGCCAGCGUCCGUCGGGAGACAGAGAUUUCCUCUUGGCGGGGGCCGAAUCCAAUCCGUAAGUCGAAAUCUCUCUCUGUGCUUGCUCUCGGAUCCCCACCCGCCCCCUACAGUCCCACAGUACUUCCCUGCUGCCAAUGCCCGCCUCGCCGCCGUUCCCGCCGUUUUCUUGGGGUCUCGGUGAGGAAUCCGAGGGUACUGGUUCUGGAUUGACCCCCCGGUAAUGGAGGCCCUGCUGGCUGUUGCCGCUGGGUUACUCCUGUGUGCCCGUCCUCAAGGUGUUCGAUGGAUUGUGGGCAGGGUGUUCCGUCCGGCUGGUCGAUCUCGUUCCAGUCCUUCCAGGUUCCAGCCCGUUUACAGUCAGUUGCUGAAAAUGUGCACGGAACGCAUGAAAAUGUAGGCUGUGCACAGGUUGUUUGCUUGCUUGCAAUUCCAAGCAUUGUUUCCUCUUUGCAGGAAGCAUAGUGCCACAAGUGGUCUGCUUGUUUGCUUGUGCUCAGGAAAAGAAAAAGUUGUAUCUUCUGUUUGUUUGCUUGCUGUCCGCUUCAGUGUUUGUUCCAUCUUAAGCAUGGUACAAGUAUAGUCGCUUUGUUUCGUGGGCAUAAUCCAAAGUUUGUGCGGAUGCAGCUUUUGUUCUCUCUUGCAUAGCGAAAGUGUGUGGAAACUGGAAUCUGUUGAGAGUAGUAUGGCCACGCCAAACGUUUUGGCUUUCACUUAAGGACCACACAUUGCUUCUUGACUUUCUUGGAUGCUUGCCGGCCCAGCCUUGGAACUGUACCUUCCUAGCUAGUAAUGGUGUAGAUAGAUGGUUAAUAUAAAUGAGGCACAGACCAAACCUUUGUGUUGCUUCCUAGAAAUGAGUGUAUUUCCUUAAUUUUUUUUUUGUCAAAACGUCUGUCGUUGUUCUCCCAAGUUGCUUUCUUGCGGUAUUCAAUCCAUUUUUUAUUACUGCAAUUGCUUCAUUCGAAUUGAGGUUUCAGUCCGUUUACCGUCAGUUGCUGAAAAUGUGCACGAAACGGAUGAAAAUGCCGGGACAUGCGCUCUUUGUUUACCGUUUAUACCGUCAUUUGUUUGGUUGCAGGAUGCACCCGGUCUUAAGCAUAGUAUAUAUAAAGUUGUAUGCUCUGUUUUGUUUGUUUGCUUGCUGUCUGAGGAUUGAGACAAGGGCAUAAUCCAAAGUUUGGCACCUGCUCCUGCACAUUUAUGUGUUGGAAACUGGAAUCUGUUCAGAGUAGUAUGGCCACGCCACAUGUUUUGGCUUUAACUCAAGGACCACAUUGCUUCUUGACUUUCUUGGAUGCUUGUUGGCCCAACUUUGCAACUCUACCUUCCUAAUAGUAGUAUAAAUCAGGCACAUACAAUUUUUUUUGUGUUGCUUGAGAUUUGGUGUAUUUACUUAAUGUGUUUAGUUGAAUCAUCUGUCAUUGUUCUCCCAAGUUGCUUUUCCUCGCGAUAUUCAAUCCGUCGGGUUUUUAAUUACUGUAACUGCUUCAUUCAAAAUUGAUAUUUGCUUCUUUGUUGUUGUUUUCCUUUCAACGCUUGGGCUGAGGCUUCAAAUAAUGGUGCUCUUUAACAUGGACUUUGUUACUUUAGAGAAUGCAAGAAUUAUGCAAUUGUAUCAUGAUAACAUCUGCUCUAUGUUUUUUCUACAGGGAGUUUCCAACACAUAAGUAGUUUGCUAACAUGAAGACAAGCAUCCAGUAGACUUUGCACCAUUUGAGUCACAAUGGAGAUAUCUUUUCUCAUGUUGUUGGUUCUCUCUCUGCUUCUGUUUCCUAAUGGCAUCUGCAAGGGUUUAGCUGCGAGGCCUCCUGUUGUGAAUAUUGGGUCUAUUCUUCAAUUUAACUCCACCACUGGAGGUGUUGCCGCGGUUGCCAUCCAUGCAGCCUUGGAAGAUAUCAACUCUGAUCCAACAGUUCUAAAUGGAACUACACUAAAGGUUCAAAUCAAGGAUACAAAUUGCUUUGAUGGUUUCCUUGGCAUGGUUCAAGGUACGCUAGCUUUAAUGUCACGCAUUCAUUUGGCAUUGUUGAAAUAGUUUUUGCUUCUCUUGUGGAAUUGUGACAAUGAUACCGUAUUCCUUGUAUCAGCUUUGCAGUUCAUGGAGACUGAUGUUGUUGCACUCAUUGGCCCUCAGUGCUCUACAAUUUCUCAUAUCAUUUCAUAUGUAGCAAAUGAGCUUCGAGUCCCUUUGAUGUCCUUUGCUUCUGAUGCAACUCUUUCAUCGAUACAAUUCCCGUUCUUUGUCAGGACUGGUCCCAAUGACCUCUAUCAAAUGGCGGCUGUGGCAGAAGUUGUUGACUACAACCACUGGAAGAUUGUGACUGCCAUAUACAUUGACAAUGUUUAUGGUCGAAAUGGCAUUGCUGCUUUGGAUGAUGCACUUGCUUUAAAGCGCUGCAAAAUCUCCUACAAAGUUGGGUUUCCUUCCAAUGCUAAAAGAAGUGAGCUCAUAAAUUUGUUGGUUAGUGUCAGUUAUAUGGAGUCUCGUGUUAUCAUUCUCCAUACUGGAGCUGAACCUGGACUCAAGCUUUUCUCUAUGGCAAAACAACUGAACAUGAUGGGCAACGGCUAUGUGUGGAUUGCAACUGACUGGCUGUCUGCAUAUCUUGAUGCUAAUUCAUCAGUUCCUGCUGAGACUAUAUCUGGCCUGCAAGGUGUUCUUACUUUACGGCCACAUAUCCCCAACUCAAAGAUGAAGAGUAAUUUGGUCUCCAAAUGGAACAAGCAAAGUAAAAAGUCCAACUAUAGUGAUCUUCGUGUAAAUACUUACGGUUUUUAUGUUUAUGAUAGUGUCUGGGCAGUAGCUCGGGCUCUGGAUGCCUUCUUUGAUGAUGGUGGUCGGAUUUCCUUUUCAAAUGACUCGAUGUUGCAUGAUGAAACUGGAGGAACUCUUCACCUUGAAGCAAUGAGCAUUUCUGACAUGGGAAAUAAAUUAUUGGAGAAGAUUAGAAAGGUAAACUUCACUGGGGUGUCUGGGCAAGUGCAAUUCGAUGCUGGAGGCAACCUAAUUCAUCCUGCAUAUGACAUCAUAAACAUCAUCGGAAAUGGCAUGCGGACCAUUGGUUUUUGGUCAAAUUAUUCUGGCUUGUUGUCGACUGUCUCUCCAGAGGCUCUAUAUUCAAAGCCUCCUAAUAUUUCUCUCGCUGAUCAGCAUCUCUAUGAUGUUAUUUGGCCUGGGGAGACUGCACAGAGGCCUCGAGGAUGGGUUUUUCCUUCUAAUGCCAAGCAGUUGAAAAUUGGUGUUCCCAACAGAUUUAGUUUCAAAGAGUUUGUCACGAAAGACAAUUCUACUGGGUCAAUGAAGGGUUAUUGCAUCGAUGUCUUUACUCAGGCAUUGGCUUUGCUUCCUUAUCCUGUUAGUUACAAGUUUGUACCUUUUGGGAAUGGUACUGAAAAUCCUAAUUAUGACAAACUCGUACAGAUGAUUGAAUCAAAUGUAAGUAUGGAAUGCCUUUUUUCUUCCUCUAACCAUUUCAUCAUCUUUAUCGAAAAAACCAUUUCAUCAUACCAUGCUGACCAGGGGGGGUCUUAUCCUGCAGGAAUUCGAUGCCGCUAUAGGGGAUAUCGCAAUUACAAUGAGGCGGACAGUAACUUUAGAUUUCACCCAGCCAUUCAUUGAAACAGGCUUAGUUAUCUUGGCUCCGGUUAAACAGCAUAUAACAUCGUCCUGGGCAUUCUUGCAGCCAUUUACUUUGCAGAUGUGGUGUGUUACAGGGUCGUACUUCCUUAUUGUGGGUGUGGUUGUUUGGGUUCUUGAACAUCGGAUCAAUGAUGAUUUCCGUGGUUCAGUACGUCAACAAAUAAUAACUAUUUUCUGGUAAGGAGCUGACUUGCACCUUUUGUAUCGUCUUCUUGUAGUAUAUCAUUCCUGUUUUCUUAGAAAUGUUGAUGUUUCGACAAGUCUUGUGCAAUAUGUUUGCAUACAGCAAGCACCUCAGAACAGUUGCCAGUUAACAUACCCAAAUGAAGCAUCUAGUGAUUACCAAGGAACUACUCCCUCUGUUCACUUUUAUAAGGCCUUGAAGACAUUUCAGACAAGGUGCAAAGUAGCUCAUUUUCAGUUGUCUGAAACGACUUAUAAAAGUGAGCGGAGGGAGUAUUAUCUUAAUGGUCUUGUGAAACGUAUAUAUGCACAGUAUGUAUUCGCUUAAUGAUAUUUAUGAUGCAUUGCUCAAUUUUUUUUUCUGUUUUCACAUACUUCUCCACAUGUAUUACAAAUGUUCUUAUCAUGGCGUGAUUCCUUGCUCUCAGAUGUGAUUAUAAUUUCUAUUUUUAUUGCCUGCAGGUUCAGCUUUUCGACGUUGUUCUUUGCACACAGUGAGUAAACCAACCUUCUCUAUUAUGUGUUUUUUUGGCCAUAGGUAACAUUUUGUUCUGAGGCAUGGCUCGUGAUUUCAUCUGUAUCUGCCCGCAGGAGAAAAUACUAUGAGCAGCUCAGGGCGUGGUGUCCUGAUCAUAUGGCUGUUUGUUGUUUUGAUAAUUGUAUCCAGCUACACCGCGAGUCUUACUUCCAUCCUGACCGUGCAACAACUUGAUACUUCUAUAAAAGGAAUCGAUGACCUGAAAAGUAGCAAUGAUCCUAUUGGUUUCCAAGUUGGUUCUUUUGCACAAGACUACAUGGUCAAGGAGCUCAACAUCUCACGUUCAAGGCUGAGAGCUCUCAGUUCACCACAAGAAUACGCUGAAGCCCUCAAGCUAGGCCCCAAGGAAGGAGGUGUUAUGGCCAUUGUUGACGAGCGCCCCUAUGUUGAACUGUUUUUGUCAACCUACUGCAAGAUUGCGGUAGCUGGCACAGAUUUCACCAGCAGAGGAUGGGGCUUUGUAAGUACAUUUGAACCAUAUUCUUUAAUGUAGAUUUGAAUAUGAGAACAAAAUAUUUUGAAGUUAAUAUCCUGGAAUAGCAGUUUUAACUUUGAAUAGUUGUGUCAACUAUCUAGUUUAUUAUGCAACUUCAUUUGCACCUGUCUGCGGCUGCAAGUCUAAAAUCUACACCUACUUUGUUUCACAAAUCAAAAUGUAGCGCCUUACAAGUUCAUUCUACCAGGCAUUUCCAAGGGACUCCCCUUUGCAAGUAGACCUCUCCACCGCAAUCCUGUCAUUGUCAGAGAAUGGGGAACUGCAGCGAAUCCAUGACAAGUGGCUCAAGACAGGGGAGUGCGCAACUGACAACAGCGAGUUCGUUGACUCGGACCAGCUCCGCCUUGAGAGCUUCCUUGGUCUGUUCCUAAUCUGUGGCGUUGCAUGCAUCCUCGCGUUGCUAAUCUACUUUGGUAUCAUGCUACGCAAAUACCUGAGGCAUGACCAGAGGAAGAGCCUGAGAAGAUUCAUCUCAUUCGUCCAUGGCAAGGAUCCGCCGAAGAACAACGAGAGGCGGUCCAUGAGCCUGCUUGGAAGCUCGACGCCGGCAACGCCGAUGAGCAGCCUUACUACCCUUGAGAUAGAAAGGCCGGCCAGGGAAGUCAGAAAUGGCAGCGUUAUUGAAAUGGAAAGCUAGUUCAUGUGUACAAAGCUAGUUUGUGCGUUAUCUCUCAAGGCAGCUGGGUAACUGUUUUGUGUGAAGCAACAAUACGGCCGACUAACCUAGGUCCCGGUAACCUAGGUUGGAAAGCCAAACACCAGGGAUGUAUAGAGGGGUUUCAAAUACUUCUUAAAGGAAGGAUUGAUAAUAAAAAUUAAAAAUAUCGAAAUGCUCCUCUCUCCCACAUAGAUCACUUUAUUCUUUGCAUGACUGUAUUUUUUGGGGAUAUCUUGCCACUUCAGAGUUGGCGUUUGGUGGUGUGAUCUGUGCAUGUGUUCAAUUGCGCGUAGUGUGGUUAUUCCAAGUUAGUACGAUUGUGUCACUUCAGUUUGAUAGUAUGCAGGGACAGAACCUGCCGGCUGCAGCUAGUACGGUUUGAUAUGUGACGAUGCCUGUAGAUUGUGGUACUAAACUUUGAUGCUUGUUCAUAAACUAGUUUAGAUGGAGCCACCCAAAAGAUAUGUUAGUUUUUCUUUUUUUGGCUUAGAUACUCUGUUUUGUCUGUGUUCUGUUCAGGGCAACUUUGAAGCUUAUCUUAGGGUGGUGGACAGAAAAAUGUUUAGCACCUUCCACAACUCAUAAGGAAGAUAAUUAAAAAGAGUGUAGGAAGAAAUAGUUAUGAUCUUAUUAGGAAAGCUAAGAAGAAAGCCAACACUAGGUUUUUGUUUUUCUAACUCUAUGGCUACACUGUAAAAUUAUUUAUAGAUUAGCUCCAAUUGAUGCAAAUCUUUUUGGUGGGUCUGGGAUGCGACUGAGUCAGAUCAAUCCCAAGUUACUCCCUCCGUCCCAUAAUAUAGGAUGUUAUUACAUCUAAUAUGUGAGCAUAUUAGGUGUAAUAACGUCUUAUAUUAUGGGACAGAGGGAGUAGCUACUUGUCUCUCUCAAAUUUUACUGGAACACCGAGGCACUGGUCUCAAAAGUGGAAAUUCUUGCAGGUUUGUAAUGCAUCUGUUUUGGUCCUUGCGUUCACCUCUGAGAAAUAUACCAUACCAAUCACAAUUUUUGUUAGUAAUGGAGUGGUAGGCAGAUGCAAAACCAAGCAAUCAUUUUCCUUCUAAAGACACUUGUAAAAGCAUCAUGAGUGUCUAUUCUAAUGGAGUGGUAUACAGACAUAUAAUUGUUGCAGGGAUGCUGCAACUUCCUGGAGCAAGGCCAUAGUGGUACUAGGUUUGUCUAUUCUAGUGAUACUGGGUUUUCUUUUCUGAUUUCUUCUAAUUUAAUAGUUAUGCCAGCUACAUUAUGAGUGCCAGCUCUGCAGUAACUUUUUUUGCGAGGCAUAACAACUGGAUUAUUGUUCAUACAGGGAAAACAGAAACGAGUAUGAGUGCCUUUUUAUUUAAUUUAGUCAUAAUAGUUGACUUAAAAUAUUGUAUAUUAAAUGUGGGUAGGAGAUUCCUGUAUUUUUAUUGAAAACGGAACAGCAACAAUAGGAAGAGUUUUUUUUUUACAUGAUGGAGCGAUUAUUUUCCUAAGAAAAAUAUAUAAUGUAUAUAUAUAUAUUUCUCAUUCUGUUCAAUACCUGGUUUAGGAAGAGCUCUUUUUCCUAUGCAAAAUGUAUAACAUGUAUGUUUAUAGUUCUGAUUGCAGGCAUAUUCGUCGCGCUCGCCCUGUGUCUUGACGUUCCGCGAGGGACCAAGCGGGAUACGCCACGGGUUUUGCUGUUACUAAGAUACUUCGAUAUCAGUAGCACCUGUUCUAUUUAUCUGUCUUUUUUUGUGUUUUGACGCACAGCCUGCUCUGUUAUACAUAGUUACUGGCAUGACUGGUUUCAUCGCUGUUCGCUCUGUGUGUAAUGGAGAAGUAGAGCCGAUAAGUAAGCCUGCUUACCUAGUCCCUUUUGUUUAGUCCUGGGAUGAGAGAAAAUAACUGACAAUCUGGACCAGCCUGCCUUUGAAGUGCGAAACUUGUUUGUCACUGACUGUUUUCGCGAUUGGCAGUUGCUGGAGUUCACUGAGUCGAUAGUCGGAGAGGACGCAGAACAGGAGAGCAAAAAGGUGGAUUAGGGCUUUCCCUAAGGUGUGCUUUCAGGUAUUUUCAGUUUUCUUGUUAAGGAAUCAAGUUAUGAUUUUGUCUGUCAAGACCCUAUAUUCAUGGAGUGAGACGUUGUUCUGAAUUCCGACGCACUCAGAAAGUUUCGUCGCGGAAUUUCUUCUGGAAAAUAUGUGUAUGUAUUCCAGUUGUAUCAUUAGUAACCCAAGGCCAUAUAUAUAGCACGAAGAAUGUUUUCUUGAUUCGUUCGGUCUGACAAGACAUACAUAUAUUCUGCCGUGAAGCGAAUUAGGUUCGUUGCUGACCGGCAAAGUAAGGGCCGUUUCUGCAUCUAUAUAGGCUAGCUAGGCAAUCUGCCCUCAAGGUUGGGGGGAGUUGGAGAUUGGGGUCUCGAAUUGAGCUUAUAUUAGAAUCCUUUGAUUGGCUCAGAGACAUGGGAAUUAAGGAGCCAAGGGGAAGAGGAAUUAAGAGGCCCAGCUCCCUCAGAUUUCUUCCCUGGACGACCCCUGGUAAUUGAACUAGGGAUCGGGAAUCGACAGAAAAAGAUACUACUGACGUGCUGUUAGUUGGGCACGUUUGUAAGGGAAAGGCAUCAUUAAAAGUUGCUUAUUCCUCUGCCUAUGCCCACCAACCAAAUAGUGGUAGUUAACUCGCUUUUAAAUUCUCAAUUCUAAUUGCCUUCACAUACCAAACAGAGGAAUGGGACUUUAAAAUCAAUGUCCAUGUCUAAUGCCUUGGCAAACUCCCAUUCUCUCUCCCUCUAUUGCUGCCGAACACGCUGUAAAAUGAAGUCAUUUCUGCUAAUCCAGAUGCUCCAGGCUGCCAAGAUAAUCGAUUCCAGUUCCAUACCUGAUUUAGCAACAACUCUUUUUCCUAUGCAAAAAGUAAAAUCUAUACCAUGCUUCUAGUUCCGACUGCAGGCAUGUUCGUCGCGCUCGCACCAAGAGCUGUCGCUUCAACAACGCUUUUCUGGGAUACGCCACAGGCCUGCCAGUAAAAAGAUGGUGGCGACGAACUGGUUUCGAGCCACACAGGUCAGUUCUGCCAUUACUAAUACAUCAUGGCAUCUUGUUGCUCUCGGUCGAUGCCCUGUCAUCUCUGGAAAAAAUAUCAGCAGCACCUGUUUUGUUUCCGAAUUGUUGUUGGGUUUUGAUGCGCAGCCUGCUCUGUUGUAGCACAUCGUUCCUGGCGUGUGGCUGGUUUUGUUGCCGUUCACUCUCCGUUGAAUGGAGAAGUGAAAGCGGGCAAGUAAGCCUGUAUACCUUUUCCCUUUUAUGUAAUUCUGUAGUCCAUUGAUUCUUGAUCUGACUGUGUAGACAAGGGAGAAUGUCACCGUACUGUUCGCUGGUGACUCGCCCAUGGCAAGUCACCUGAUCUCAAUCUCCCCCAACCCCACCUCACCACCCACAAUGAUAAUUUUGUUUUCGAGACAUCUAUAAUACGUAAAUAGUUCAUCCCUACUAUGUUAUUUCUCUUGACAUGCAGUCUAUCCACCUCAGCACAGCUGCCACAUCCGCAUUUUAUUAGUGGCUUACAUGUGGGACCCACCACAGGUUGACCAGGGUACAGAACAACCACAUCAUCAUUCGGUUACCAGCUGUAGAGACCCACCACUGCCUCCACAGUGUAAACCAACGGGGUACAGAACCUCAAAGAAGAACAGCGUACAGACAACCGUCCCUCUCCCUCGAUUCAGCCGAAUCCACGAGCCCCUUUCCCACUGUUACACUUUACACACCGGCGCGGCGGCCGGGAUCCCAUCUCACGCCCCUCCGGCAGGACCACCACCCGGGCUUCCCUCUGCAAUUUAGCCGAACCCAUUCACCCCCUUUUCCCCUGUGUACAGCCCGGCGCGGCGGCCGGGAUCCCAUCUCACGGCCCUCCGGCGGUACCACCGGCUCGGCUCCCCUCUGCUGUUCCCCGGGGACCGCUAGGGCUAUGAUCCCCUUCUACGUGUGGUGCCAUGGUCUGGAGCUAUUUCCGUGGUGCCAAAUCCAGACCGCGCACCUAUUUUAGCCACCGCUGCCCCCACGGGUCAGCGUUCUCUCAUCAUGAUCUCCCCCGGGUGAACGCCUCUCUCUUUUCUGGUGUUCUUGGUGUUCUUGGUUUUAAGUCAAGCUGCGUGCACAGUUGUACAUUACGGGGUUGAUUCACAUAUAUGUGUAUCCUUUUACAAGUCUGGCGUUUGUUUGCAACUAGAUAUAUAAACACCGUGUGUCCAUAUGGUUGGGGUACGGAUUUAGAGAACACCAUUGUUGUUAGAGAUUUCAUCAGAAUACAAUGUAUUGGGUUGUUGACAGAUAUCUUUUCAACAACAUUGGCCUGCUUAGUACAUGAUAUCUUUAGCGUAGCUUUAUUUAUCUGAUUUUUUUUCCUGAUUGGCAAAUUUGAUAACUAAAAAUCUCUUUUUCAUCAGGUCACUGCGGAAGAUUAUAAUUGUUUCUAAUCCCGCUCUCUAUAUACUCCCAAGGUAUGACCUUUUGAACUAUUGUGUAGUUUCGUUUCAGCAGUAAAAGUUCAGAAACCCCAAUUUAGGGCCUGUUCGUAUUCACUCCACUCCGUCAGAUCCUUAGCUCCACUCCCAGCUCCUAGGUUGCUAGCUCCACAGGGCAAACGAGGAGCAGACAACUUGUUCGGCAACUAACUCCACUCUGCACUCUGGAUUACAGGCCCCCCACAACACAUCAAGCUGGUUUGAUACUGGUCAGUACGUGGAUCACUUGUUGUGCCAAUGAUGCAACACAGUGCAGAAAAAAUGCACAAAUAUGCUGAGUUUACUGAAAAUAAUGCUGAAGUUUCACACAUAAUUUUUUUGUGCAAAAAUUCACUUUAUCGCACAAGAACGAUUCAGCAUGAGUUUGCUGAAAUUACAUGAUUUUAGCAACAUAGACAAAUAGGAUUUUUCAUAAGAUAAACACAAACAAAGGCAGCAUAAACACAUGUACUUUGUAGACAUCACUCUAGUCCAGUGGAGGUCCUGCAGAAACAAUUUUCAACACAUGAAAACCUUUAUGCAAUGCUGGUGAUUGCUUGAAUAGAACCAAAAACAUAUAUACUCUGCUUCGGAUGGUUUCACCUACAAAAUUACGAAAUUUGUUAAUAGGUACAGAUACAUAUCAAUUGUGAAAGAAGCAAAUCAUGUUGUGAUUGAACUAGCUAAGAACAUCUUCUGGAUUCUAGACUUAUGCAUCUUGCUACAAGGAAAUAAAUGACAAGUAAUAUUGUGACUAAUAUUUCAGCUACUGACAAAGACAGUGAACAGUUUCGACAUGUUUGGAGACAACAUUCACUUGUUUAACUUUACGACCAGUCAUCUAUGAGAAAGCAUGAAUUUAUCAAGCAAGGUAAAAACUAAAGAAUUGUAGCAAAUAAAAACACAUGAAUGCUGUAGAAACUAGUAUACUCACAUUUAUAGCAGAACUGGAAGUCACCAACCAAGAGCAAUAUCAGUUGCUAGUCUAUUACGGAACCGGUCCAUGUCUUUAUCACUAGUCUCCGAGGUUGACGCAUCCGAUGCAUUCGGAGGGAUGGCAUACCGUUGAUACCUUGAAGGGAUAGUUGGGACAUAGUUGGGAUCUCUGUCGACUCGAAGAAAGUGAAGAUCCCCCUUAUCAUGAUAUCGAACGUAGUUGUGGAGGGCCAUAGUUGCAGCCACUAUCAUCUUUUGAGUUUCAACUGAAUAAUUGGGCAUCUUUAGUAGAAUCUGCCACUUCAUUUUCCACACACCAAACGCUCUCUCGAUCACAUUACGCUUGGAUGAGUGUAUCUCGUUAAAUUUCUCCUUAGGUGUUCUUGGCGCCACACCUCGUUGAAAAUCAGGCACGUGGUACCUUUCCCCCUUGUAAGGUGCGAGAUAUCCAGGUCUAUUAGGAUAGCCCGCGUCCACAAGAUAGUACUUACCUACAAACAACAAGCAGAUUGCAUGUAAGGCCUAUGAUUUGUUUACAGAAUUUAAAUAAAAGAAAUUAUUAUAGGAACUACUAACCCUUUGGAGGAUGAGGGAAGGUAUCUUUGUCAGCUUCAAUUGCAUGAUACAAGACACCGGUAUCAUGCAUAGAGCCGGGUUGACCAACUGAAGUGUACAUGAAAUGCAUGUCAAAAUCACAUAUUGCCAGAACAUUCUGUGUUGUUGAUCCUGACCUUCCAAUGUAUCUAACUUCAUCGCCAGCAGGAAUGGUAGCUCUGACGUGAGUACCAUCUAGUGCGCCGAUGCGGUCCUUAAGAUGUGGAUAAGCCCUUCUAUCCUUUUGAAUCCUUGGGUGCACACUACUAAAGUUUGGGUCCUUAGGUUUCAGGUAAUCUGCUGCCAUCUUAAUCACACAGAGUAAAACCUCAUGAAACUUCCGGUGGACUGUAUCUCCUGAGUGCUUGAAACGAUUUUGUGUUCUCCUAUUAGACUCGCAACCCCCUAAAGUCCACAAGAACAUUGCAAGCGCCUCAUAACUGCUCACGAAACAGGUUGAUUUGAAGCCAUACCUUUUGACCAACAAGUCAUGCAAUUGAAAGAAGAGGCGUGCGUUCAUCCUCAACAUGGUAUAUGUUUCUCCAGGUGUUGACACUGUCUCUUGCAGCCAUCCGAACCCACUAAGAAUAGAAUUCCUUGGGUCUGCCUUGAUCAAAUAGUUGUCACAGUACUUCCCUGCAAGUGUUGAUGCACUGGCAUAGAUGUUGGACAUUGAUUGGACAUGGUGGCAUACCCUCUUCUUCCUUUCUUCAUAACUAUCACUAUCAUUGUCACUAUCCGAUGACAUCUGAACAUACACAAGUAACAACAAUUAGUACUUAAUUAUCAACCAGAUUAGUCAUAGCAGAAAGAUAAGUAAGAAUCAUAUGUAACAUUAAAGACAAGUCAUAUGUAACAACAUUUAUCAUGUAACCAUCAGCAAGAUGAGUCAUAGCAGUAAUAUAAGUAAAAUUAUACAUUAAUUGCAAGCAUUACAAUUUAACACAUAUCGAUGAACAAUCAUCAACCAUGCUCCUAGUUACAUACCAGCAAAGACCAUGGUGAAAAAGAAUCAGCACAGCUACUGUAGUACAAACAAAUAAUAAUGUCUUAAGAAAAUCCUGAAACAAAUAAUAAUUUCUUAAGCAAUCUCAAUACUAACAUAUUUCAAAGACAAGUAAUAUUGACUCAACUGCACUAGCUAGAGUUUAUGAGCAUCGGAGCAGAUAUCAUAUCCUAUUCUCUCGCUAAAGGAAAAAUAAUAGUUACAGGUUAUAGGCAGAGAAGGGGUUCACUAGCUAGUUCACUCCAUCCAUGUCAAUCAAGGCAAAUAAAAGAAACAGAUGCAAUACGUAUAUGUUUGCAACAUCCAUGAUAAUCAUGUAGUGUGUAUUUGUUAUCUCUGAAGAAAAGGAAACUCUAUCUGUCUCUAUGCACUCUGUCGCUCAUCUCCUUUCUAUACCAACUCCCCUAAUUCAUCCCCUUCCUCUCAAUUUCCUCACAUAAUCCUUGCAGGAAUUAUAGACAUGUUGUACUACUACUUACUGGAAUCAAGAACCAAGAAUCAAGAACACCUGGAACUAUUCAGGAAUAUGAAUCAAGAACAGUAGAGGAACAAGGGUGAAGAGGAGAUAUGGAUCUCACCUUGAUGGAUGUGAUGUAGGCGUGGAUGCCGACCUUGCAAACGACGAAUCCGAGCUGCCGGGGACGAGGACGAGGCCCUGGUGAUCUCAGCCGCCAGAGGUCCACUCAAACCGUAUGCCCUCAAAGUGGUUGCCGAACAGAAAAGCCGCCUUGGAUGAGGAGGGGGGCGAGGAGAUGGCGAGGUCGCAGGGGCAUGGAUUUGGCCGAAGGGGAGCUGGGGAUCCGCGGCGGCGGGGUGGCGGCGGGCGGCGGCGCAGCGCUAGGGUUCCAUGGUCACGGGAGGACAGGGGAGUCGCUGCACGGGGGAGAGAGAAAAGGAUCGAGUGAAGCGGUAAGUUGUGCGGGGAGUGGCACGCGGAGCUCGGUUUCGCUGACUCCGCUGAAUUGAACUACGGUCUUGUCCGCUCCGCUCUUCCUACUUCGUGGAGUCGGACCGUUCGGCACUGCUCUGUCCGCUCCGGGAGCAGAGUCGGGGAGCGGAGUGAAUCCGAACACGCCCUUAGUUAAAAAAAAGUUCUAAACUCUCAAAUAGCCUGCGAGCAGAAUGUUGCAGGCUUUGUCCGGCGUUGCCAGAUACAUGUUGUGAGUGGUAUCUGUUUCCUUGACUACAAAUUCAGAGUUCAUUUGAAUUCUUGCCACCGGUCUUUGUGUUAGAGCCAACAUCACUGCAUCUGUGGGCGACAGCACACACCACUUGCAGUUGCUACCUUCUCUCUUUCAAGCUCGGCAUCAGUAGUGUGCCUUCCUGGUCCAACAACUGGUGUUUUCUCUCUGAUGACUCUCCAAUCUGCAUAUUGGAUUUUGUUCCCUGCUCGUGCUAAACAAAGAGUGGCCCUUGGACCAUUGCCUGCCUGACAUGGAUGUACCCCCGUUUUAAUCUGAAGAAUUCAGUAUUGGUGUUUAAUUCUGUAAAUUUUUAUUUUACAUUUUUUUGAUCCAAACUUGCUAGGUUUCCUGACGAUGUGUGGUAAGACGUCUUUUAUCAAGCCAUUUUGGAAUUCUUAAGAAGGUAAGGAUGUUUCUCUCUUUUGUAACAUUUAGAAUAUUUUUCAGCUAGUUGUAGCUAUUUUUACUUGCUUUACCCAGUUAUUUUUCUGCAAUGAUUGGCCAUAUUAAUUCCCUCUAUCUAAUUCCGUCAACUAGAUCAUGCGCGGGUUCGAACAGAUUUAUGAAAUUGCUAUUUUUUUCUGAUAGUAACUCGGGUAUAACACCUAUUGUAGUACGGUUAUGUUAUAGUAGAUAUAGGCCCUGUUUGGUUCAGCUUUUAUCGACGGAUUCCGCUGUCGCGCAGCAGAAUCUGAACCAAAGGGCGAACCCAGCAAAAUCCGAUUCCAGAAAUCCGCGGCCAAAAUCUGAACCAAAAGCGGAAGCAACCCAGGACGUGCUUUCCAAAAUCUGAUUCCGCUGCGGGCCAAAAUCUGAAAAAGCUGUAUCAGCUGGUUUGCCAAAUGACCCACAUCUUUUUCACAUCAGAUUUUCCACAACUAUUUUUCCACAGCAGAUUUUUCACAGCUGCUUUUAGAAAUCCACAACCGAACCAAACAGGGCCAUAAGGAGAAGUUGUUUGAUUUCAUGUGGUGACCCCCCUUUGCCCAAAAAUUACUGAUAGCAUUUUGUUUUUUGUUUGUUUCAUAUGGCAUCAUUCUAUUAUUUCCGGCAGUAUUUAGACUAAAUUGGAGAGGGAGAACAAACUUGAUACACUAAGCAAGCAAUGUCGGUCAUCUGAGGGCUUGGGCGCCUGUUGUUCCAAGUUCGCGAGGUACUAAGAGCAUCUCCAGCCGUUGGCCCCCCUAGGACGCGUAAAAAUCGCCCCCCGGGGGCGAGCCGGCGACACAAUCGGCGCUGGGGGCGGUUUUGCGCCCAGUCAUCGCCCCCAGGUGCCGAAAUUGGCCCACUUUUCAGCCCCAUUUCGGCGAAUAAAGGGCCCAUAUGGGCGAGAAUAGGCCCAUAUUCGGCGUGGUUCGCCGUGGCUCGGCGUUCAAUUAUCAAUGUAAUUUUUUUCUUAUAACAUAUUUCAUCACAGAAAAAUCAAAUACUUCAACAAAACAGUACAACAACAAAUAGUUCAAUACAAAUUAUAUAGUUCAACAAAUAAAAACUCAUAUUUCAUCACACGUCGCGCCCGGCGUCCCCCUUGAGCCUCCAUAGGUGCUCAAUCAGAUCUUUCUGCAGUUGAUGAUGCACCUGUGGGUCUCGGAUCUCCUGACGCAUACUGAGAUAGGGAGUCCAGGUUGCCGGUAGCUGGUGAUCAACUUCGGCUAGAGGACCCUGCCUGUAGUAUGGUUCAGUGUCUAACACUGGGUCUUCUUGCUCGCUCUCGAUGAUAAUGUUGUGCAAGAUGAUACAGCAAGUCAUAAUCUCCCACAUUUGAUCUUUCGACCAGGUUUGAGCGGGGUACCGGACAACAGCAAAUCGAGAUUGGAGCACACCAAAUGCCCGCUCGACAUCUUUCCUGCAAGCCUCCUGAAUCUUCGCAAACCAGGCGUUCUUGCCUCCUGGCACAGGGUUUGAGAUCGUCUUCACAAAUGUCGACCAUCUUGGAUAGAUGCCAUCAGCUAGAUAGUACCCCUUGUUGUAGUGCCGCCCAUUGGUCUCGAAGUUCACCGGAGGAGAAUGACCUUCAACAAGCUUGGCAAAGACAGGAGAGCACUGCAGCACGUUGAUGUCAUUGUGAGUUCCUGGCAUACCAAAGAAGGAGUGCCAAAUCCAGAGGUCCUGUGUGGCCACCGCCUCAAGUACCACACUGCAACCGCCUUUGGCGCCUUUGUACAUCCCCUGCCAAGCAAAUGGGCAAUUCUUCCAUUUCCAAUGCAUGCAGUCGAUGCUUCCAAGCAUCCCAGGAAAUCCUCUUGCUGCAUUUUGUGCUAGGAUCCGAGCAGUGUCUUCCGCAUUGGGUGUUCUCAAGUAUUGCGGUCCAAACACAGCCACCACUACCCGACAGAACUUGUAGAAGCAUUCUAUGCUGGUGGACUCGGCCAUGCACCCAUAGUCGUCGAGUGAAUCACCGGGAGCUCCGUAUGCAAGCAUCCUCAUCGCUGUCGUGCACUUCUGGAUCGAGGUGAAUCCAAGUUUGCCGGUGCAAUCCAUCUUGCACUUGAAGUAGUUGUCUAACUCCCGGAUGGAAUUCACAAUCCUGAGGAAGAGCUUUCGGCUCAUUCGAUAACGGCGCCGAAAUGUUUUGUCGCCGUGAAGUGGAGCAUCGGCGAAGUAGUCGGAGUAGAGCAUGCAGUAGCCUUCGAGACGAUGCCGGUUUUUUGCUUUCACCCGCCCCGGCGCCGAGCCACCUCGCCGCGGCUUUUCAUUGCUCACCAGCAGCUGGGCGAGGGCGGCGAGCACCAUCAGAUGCUCUUCUUCCUGGACGUCGGCCUCGGCUUCCUCCUCCAGCAACCCGGCGAGCGCUUCCUCGUCAUUCGAGUCCAUCGCCGAGGCAGACAAAUCGCCGAACACCUUGCGCUCAGUGGGCGUGCACCCGCCGCUAAACUGCCCCUCUGCGGCCGGAAACGCCCAGCUGCUGUUGGAGGGGCUGCCGCGACAAACCUCUGCUAUUUUUCCGGCGGGGAAUGGCUAUCUAGCGGUGAAGGGCGGCGGGCGGCGCCGGGAUAUAGCUAGUGGCGGCCGAGGGCGCGGGGGGUGGAAGGCGAGUUGGGGAAGAAAAUCUUGACUUUUCACCUGAGGGUGUGGGCCAGCAGCGCUUUUCCCUUGCGCCGGAGCCCCCGAUCGCCCCCCAGUGCGCCGGGUUCGGCCUGCGCGCGCCGGGCGGAAAAAAGGGCCGAACCGGCGCUUUUCGUCGUCCUGGGGGCGCGACCAGGGCGUUUUUUUGGCGCCGACGCCGAAAAAGUGGCCUGGGGGGCCUGUUGGGGGUGCAGCUGGAGAUGCUCUAACUGUACUUUGAGGAAUAUCAUUUAGUGUCUGCCAAAGUCUAUUGAUGCGUGUACAGAAUAUCAACAAACGUAACAUACUCAUUCAUUGUAAUGUAAUACAAGAAUAUUUGAAUCUAUUGUAUCAAAAUGUGAUCUAUACAGUAACAAGUUGUGCGAAAAUCUAAAUGGUCAAGAUAUUUUUUUUUUGCGAGUAAUCUGAAUGAUCGAGAUGAUUGCUAUAUCUCUCUUUUUCACGGGCUGAGACUGCUGUGUCAGCUGGACUUUCUCUCAUCCCAAUGCUUGAGCGGACGACCAUGAUUUAGGGUGCAGCUGAGUGUGGGCACCAAAAUGCCCGUCCCCUUAAAAUUAUGCUAUUUAUAUCACCUUCCGUGAUGUUGUCUGUGAUAUUGGGUUGUUCUCAUCUAACACAAUUUUUCAGCAUAUCAUCGUGGUUCAUUAAUUCUCGACAUUUCUAUGAAAAAUCGUUUCUAGAUGAUGCAAAAGUUCACAUGUCUUUAUAUUAAUCAUGUGUACUUGGAAACAGGGUUUAGUUGUUCGUAUUGUCAUGGACUUUCAACAAUUAUCUAUAGUUUUCCAACUGAGGUUUCGAGCAUUUUCUUAUAAUUUAACAUGUGUUCCCACAGCAACGCCCGGGGUGUCAUCUAGUUAACUUGAAUGGCUGGUAGCGUUUUCUAGUACAAUCCAUUCACGGUUUGUCGAUGCAGAGUAUUCAUGAAUGAUUAACCAGUGCUCGGAUUAAGUUCAUGUAACUUUUUAUUUGAAAUAGGCAGACAACUUUCUUGAUGAUAUUUUUACUUCACACGGAAGGGGGCAUGUGUCAGUGAGCAUUACUGUUGUGCAUCUCUCACAGAACAAACCUACAUUUUAAGUCAAAUUCUGAAGAAAAAAAUCUGCACACAAACAUAGAGACGUACUAGCUAAACCCGCGCGGCGACACGCCGCGCUUGUUGAUUAAUCACGACUGUAUAUGUCGACUACGGGCUAAGCAGUAGAUUAAUGAAUAAUCAUCUGUUGUUAAUUAAAGAGAUCCAGAACAAUACAUAAAAAGGCCGAAGAUGACAAAUAACUGAAUUUAUUAUCGCCAUGCAAAUGCAUGGAUACAAACAGAACGGUUAACAUUGACAUAUCUCUAAGGAAAACUAUUUAUUGAAACCAUAUAGAGCUCACUCUAUGCAGUAAACAGUAUACAGUGCUAUUAUUUUACAAAACAACAACUAAACUUUUUUUGUAAGUUCUUUAUUAUCUGACAUACAAACAUUAAUAAGACUUGCUUCAUUUACAUGAAACAACAAAGGGUCUCGAGGAAUAACAUAUGUAGCUUAGCUUGUGCAUGAUGAGCAGCAAUACACUCCAGCUGCAUGAAGUCAUGUAGUCUCUUGGGUAGCACUAAAGCUAACACAUUGCACUUGUGGAAAGGAGACCGUAGGCAGGUCAUGGCGUUUAUGCUGAGCUUGUGCAAGAUGUGCUCAAGGUACGUACGUGGGGUUGUUGCCAACGGGUAGCUGAAUACCCCAUUACCAUUCUCACAGAACCUGGACGAUCACACCUCCUAAUCGUACACCUACACGAAACACACGGGGAAUAAGAAUUAAGAAUCAAGAGAAAGAUGUCCAAGCAAGCAACCAUGCAGGCAACAGGUGGCCAUUUCAUGUAAAAUCCAUGCACACGUAGUCACAUCGCCUGCCAAUCCCAUGCACACAGCCACAUCAGCCCGAUGAUAGCCCACCUCUAAAAAAAAGCUGCAUCGGCCUGAGCCCCCCUCUAAAAAAAGAAAACGGCAUCGUCCCGACAACCAUGCCCCACCGCUGCAUGCGGCUACUGAUUCCGGACCAAACAAUAUAUGGUGUAAACAAUCAGGGGUGAACAUUUUUGAGAAUUUUAAAUAUUGUAAGGGAAAAUAUUUUAUUCAAGAUAUUUUUUCCUAAAAAAAAUUUAUGUUUUUGAUUAUAGUUUAUAGACGACUAUGCUUCUAUUUGGAGAAAAAAGGUUUGAAAAGGGGUUGUGCACGAUAAGAGUAAAAUUAUUUUUUGGAGAGAACGCCCGUACUUCCAACUAACCAUGCAAGCAAAAAACAAUACGUACGACAAGGUUAUGACAGUACCCCAGACCUCUAUGUAAAGCUAGAUGGAACCAUCUGUAAAAAUCAAUCACAGUUGACGGACAUUCAACAUUGAAUAUAAAUGAGUCCCAAGCCUGAGAGAUUGAAGUUCGAUAUCAAAAAUUAUUAUAUACCAGGAAAAAGAAAAAUAGAUAAACCAACAAAUUACCCAGAGCUUAGAAGAUAACCGCUACACUUCCACAAUUCAUGCAGCAUCAGCACGCUGAAGAUCUUUUUUUUUUAAGCUAGCACGCUGAAUAUCUGGCGUAAGAAGAAGUGAUUAACAAAGCCAAGCAGCCAGACCUCUCCGUUCGCCAAAACUGUGAGGAAACCAGAAAAUGAAACUACCUGCAGUGAAAAGAGCUGUGCUGCUGGCGACAACUGCAAAGGUGUAACGCGAACUUCAUGUGCACCCGCUCUAACCCAGGACCUAGAGGGGAUGGAAGUCUCGGGCUCUGGUGACCCUGGGGACGCGCCCCCGCCCCCGGCGGGCGCCGCGGCCGGCGUUUCCUCCCCGCCCGGCUCCUCGUCGGACCCUCGCCCGGCUUCCCCGCCUCCUGCGUCGCCUGCCUCCUCGCCGCUCCCGUCCUCCCUCGAGGUGUUGCCGCGGAUCCGUUGGGCGGACCUCGCCGAGGAGGACGAACCCCCCUGGCCGACUGCCCUGGCCCCUCCCGUCCCCCCCGCCCCCCUCCCCCCGUUCGUGCGUCGCCGACCAGCGUGGCCGCUGGCUCAGCCUCCCAUUGCGGAGGUUCUGCCUCCGGCUCGCGGCGGCGCGCGCAGAACCGGCCAAUGAGCUCUGCUCGUCCGCCUCGGGGCCAAGGCGCAGCCUUGCGGGGCUCGGGAGGCCGCCGACGCUGCUCCUGGGGAGUGGCGGGCCGGUCUGACUUGGUUUCGGCUCGGUCCUCCUGGUGGGCGUCCACGGCGUCCCCUCCUCGGCUGACGCCGGCGACUCCCUCGGCUCUUCCCACCUCCCCGCCCGCCGGCGUGAUAGUGCCCCGCUGCUCCCCGUUCCGACCCUUCAUCGCCGCGUUUGGCUCCUUCGCGCAUCAGUUCCGUCCUCUCUCCCUCCCUCGUCGCCCUUGGCCGGCGGCCUCACCCCCCUUGCCCCGGCAACGGUGGCGGCGGCGGCUCCUCCCUGCGAAGGGGAAACCCUUCCGCGCGGUGCCCCGCUCCCUGUCCUGGGCCGUGCCCCUUUGGGCUGCGAGGAGGUGGCCCGCUCGCGCCGGGUAGCUGGCCUGGCCCUCCGGGCUCAUAGGCCUCUUCCCCAGGCCGCGGCAGCUGGGCCUUCGAUCCUUGGGCCGGCUCCGUGCCCUAAGCCCAGUCAGCCCCCUCGAUCGAUCUGGCUACCCUACGGCCUGCCGCGCCCCUCGUCCCCCCCCACCCUGCCGCCAUGGUCUCCCCCUCUCCCGAAGAGAUCUCCAGUUCCUCCCCAUCCCCGCCCCGCUCCACCCGCCUCCUCGUCCUCCCUCGCCGGCGACCGCCGGCUCGGAUUCCUCCCUGUCCGCUGGCUCCGCCCAUGACGCGGGAGUGGGAUGACGGCGUGGAUCGCCGCAAGCGGCGCUACGACGACCGCCGCGACCCCCCUCGUCCCUCCCCGGACGCCGCCCGUCGCGAGGAUGAGCUGCGGCGCGAGCUCCGGGACCGGGAGAGCCGCCGCUCGCAGGGCUUCGACGACCGUCGCGACCACCGCCGCUCCCCGGGCCGCUCCGAUGGGCGUGCUCGGUCCUGCUCCCCUCCGCCGGCGGCGGGCAACUGGCGCUCCUCGCGGCGGCGCUCUCCUUCCCCGCCCCGAUGCCGGGAGCGCAGCCCAUCCCCUCCCCGCCCGGCCCGUCCUCUCUCCCCGCGUGCGCCUCCCCAACCCGCUGCUGCCCCGGCCAGGAAGUACGUCCCGCCGCACGCCGCAAACUCCUCUGGUCCCCCUGUCGCCGGUGGUGUUGGGGGUGGCCAGGCUCGCGGUCGCCCGGGUGCGGCCAAAAAGAAGAAGCGGCGCGGGCAGGCUCGGGCAAACCAACAGGCAGCCCCUGUGCCGGCCUCCGGCCGCUCGGCUGUGUCUGGCCCAGUCUCUGGCCGCCCCAGUCCGCCGUGCUUCAACUACGGCAUUGCGGGUCAUUCCCAGGUCAACUGUGUCAACCCCCCAUGUGCUACAUUUGCAAGGAUCCCUCCCACCCCGCGCUGUUGUGCCCGGACCAGCCUAUCGACGAGGAGUUGAUGAUGUACGGCCAUGGGAUCGAGGGGCCGGGGUUCUUCCACAUCGAGCUCCCGGACGUCCCCUCCCCCUCCCUCCAGGCGCUCGUCACGAUGAUUGAUGGUGUCGCCUCCCCCGAGAUGAUUGAGGUUGAGCUCAACCACCUCUAUCGUCGCCAAUGGGACUGGCAGGCCACCCUCACCACUAAUGGCGCUUUCUCGGUGGUCUUCCCCGACGCUCUCAGCCACGGCUACGCCACGCGCAGUGAUCAGAUCACUCUCGCCCUCAACAAGUUGGUCGUCGACAUCUCCGAGCCGAUCCUCGACCCCAAGGCCGUCGCGGUCCUUGACACUGCUUGGAUCCUGGUCGCCGGGCUUCCUGACAUUGCCCGGUCUGAGCGAGUGAUCCGCAAUAUGUCUCGGAUCCUUGGCAAGGUGGUGGUGGUCGACGAGCUAUCCCCCCGCAAGGAGGAGGUGCGCGUCAAAGUCAAGUGCCUCGACUCCUCUAAGCUGCGCGCCACCAUCCGAGUCUUCUUCAACGACCAAGGCUUUGAUCUCCGCAUCGCUCCCGAGCCGCCCAACCAUGUGGGUCGGCCCCGCUUCUUCGACGACGCCCCCCCGGCGCUCCUCCUGGGUCCCAGGAUGACUACCGCGGUCGUCAUCACCCUCGGUCGCACCACUCCGAUGAUGAGGAGGGAUCUGAGGACAGCCCUUCCCGCUCCCCUUCGCCACCUCGCCCGGUCCCGUCCUCGAGCCGUGGGGGGCAGCAAGCUGGGCUCGCUGCGCCUCCUCCUUCUCCGGUUGCAGCCGCCUCCGAGGGGAGUGAUGCCUCCGACAUCAGCCUCAUCGUCACCCCGGCCUCCUCUCCCCGCUCCCCCGACACGCUCCCUGCCGUGACGAUCCUGGACGUGUAGCCGACCGCCUCCGUCCUGGCCUCCCCUACGGCUGGGACCCCUGUCGCGGCGCGCGCCUCCCCGGCCACCUUCUCACCGACGCUCCAGGGUGCCGCGCCACUCCUCCCCAGCUCGCCUCCCCUAGUGAUGGCCCCCGAGGAGCCCCCACCCCCACGGCAGCCGCUCCCUCCCCGUCGCCGCUGCCGGCGGUAACUGGGGUUCCUCCCGCCCCUGAUCCCGCGUCGCCAGCUCCUGCUUCAUCCCCCCGACGCCUCGACUGCUCCCAGCCGCUUCUCCUCCUCGCGGGUACGGCGGACCCCGGCGGGGAGGGCGAGACUCGGGUGACCACCCCCGUGGCUUCCCAGCCACCUCCCUCACGGUCCGCGGCCUACUCCCGCCGUGGUCGGUCCUCCUCCACCCCGGUGACGGCCUCGCGAUGGAGUGUCAGGCUUGAGGCCGCCUGGCCGGACGGUAGCCCUGCUCUGCCCAUCCCCGAGCCGGCGGAGCUUCGGGCCGCUGCCCGGAACCUGGAGUCAGGUACGCCAGUCGCCCCCCCUUCAACUUCUACUUGCUCAUUCUUUGCGCUCGAAGCGGUUCCUCUAGGUCACCUUGCGAAGGUUGUGUCAGACUCCGUGAUUGUUUUCAGGGGGGAAUCCGCUCCCCCCUUAGUGCAGAUUGCGGCCAUCCAGGCUCGCGAGAUCCUUGAUGGGAAGUUGGCGGAGGCCCGCCAGACCCUCCUCGCUCCCUCCAUCCCCUCGGGCCCUCCUCCGGUGGCUACCCCGUCACAACCCCGUAGGGCGGCUGGCCGCCCACCAGUGGUGGAGGCUGAGCCUCGGGGCCGCACCCACUCUCGCACUGCCGCUCUCCGCGCCCGAAGCGCCUCCCGCGUCCUGGGGUCAAGCAGCCCCCCAAUGGUUUCCUAAUGUGUGCCUUAUUCUGGAACAUCCGCGGGUUCGGCCAUGACGGCCGGCGCCGCCAACUCAUCGAGUACGUGCGCGAUGAGCAUAUUGACAUAGUGUCGAUCCAGGAAACCAUGCGCUCUGACUUCUCAUUGCCAGAGCUUGACCGGCUGAGCACCCACCUCUUUGCGUGGCACUGGCUCCCUUCUAGUGGGAACGCCAGCCAUUCGGGUGGCAUCCUUCUAAGUGUGAAGGAUGCCACCUUCGAGAUGGGGAGUAUGGACCGGGGCCAGUUCUUUGUUAGUAUGGAGCUCUAUGAACGAGCCCUGAACUUCAAAUGGGAGGUUAUCAUCGUCUAUGGCCCGGCUGACCACAGUAGAUCCGCGUCCUUCCUCGAGGAGCUUAACCGGAAGGGUCUCUGCGGCCUCCCUGCCGGUGGUUGUCGGAGGCGAUUUUAACCUCCUCUGAUUCGCGGAAGACAAGAGCAAUGACCAUGUCAACUAUGCACGUAUGCAGAUAUUUAAUGACUGCAUUGCCGAUCUUAGUCUUCGCGAAAUAGAUAGGAUCGGUGCCAGGUUCACCUGGACCAAUCGGCAAGCCUCCCCGACCCAGUCCGUCCUGGACCGGGUCCUAGUCUCCCCAGAAUGGGACCUCUGCUGCCCUCUGGCCUCUCUUCGGGCUAUCACUCGGAUUGGCUCCGACCACGUCCCUCUUCUCUUGUCCUCCUCCGAUGAGCGUCCUCUGAUCCCUCCCCGAUUUCGGUUUGAGACAUUCUGGUUGUUCCAAACUGGAUUCGUGGAGGCUGUUGGGGCUCGCUGGGUGGAGACCAGGACUCUUCCUCACCUCCGCCCCCCUCUGCUAUUGUCUCUUGGCACCUCUGUGCCAAACGCGGCCGACAGUUCAUGAAGGGAUGGGGUGCCAACCUGGGUCGCGACCUCCGCGAGCGAAAAAAGGCCUUGCUGACCGCCAUUCAGGCACUUGACCUCCGUGCUGACACGGUCGGCCUCUCCCCUGAUGAGUGGCUCUCUCGGUAUGACCUUAAAGACCAACUCUCCAUCAUCUACACGGACAAGGAAGCUUACUGGCAUUUGCGGGGUUCCUAGAAAUGGGUCCUGAAGGGCGACGCGAACACGGCCUACUUUCAGGCCAUAGCAAACGGCCGCCGUAGACGCAACACUACCCCCCUCCUCUGGGACGGUCUGUCCCUUCUGCAGUCCCCGAGCGACAUAGGACCCAUGUCGACGGGUUCUACCGAUCCCUUUUCUCCGCCUCUCCUAGGAGCGGCCAUUCUCUAGCCCUCGAUUGCUGGUCCGGCCGCCAGCUUGUCUCCGCUGCGGAGAAUGCCGCUCUCACGGCCCCAUUCUCGGAGGAUGAGGUCUGGGCGGCCAUUAGAGGCAUGAAUCCCUCCUCGGGCCCGGGUCCGGACGGCCUUCCGGUGAAAUUCUUCCAGACCUUCUGGAAUGUGAUUAAGCCGGAAAUCAUGGCCAUCUUUGACGAGUUCUAUGUUGGGACCAUCGACCUCGGGCGCCUCAACUAUGGGAUCAUCUCGCUCAUUCCCAAAGUGCCGGGGGCCUCCGACAUUCGCCAGUUUCGCCCGAUCACGGUGAGCAAUGUGAUCUUCCGGAUUCUGGCAAAGGGGUACGCCAAUAGGGUAACCCUGCUAGCAGACCUCAUUACCCACCCCAACCAGUCCGCCUUCGUGAAAGGGCGGUAUAUCCUGGAUGGGGUAUUAGUUCUCCAUGAAGUCCUCCAUGAGGUGUGGUCUAAACACCUCAAGGCGGUCUUCCUGAAAAUUGAAUUUCACAAGGCCUACGACACUGUUAGUUGGUCCUUCCUUCGGGAAGUUUUGCUCCGGAAGGGCUUCGAUGAUUGUUGGAUCACCCGGGUGAUGCAGAUGGUGUCCUGCGGGCGCACUGCCGUGAACAUCAAUGGGGAGAUUGGUCCUUACUUCCCCACCCUCUGUGGGGUUAGACAAGGCGAUCCUUUCUCUCCGUUCCUGUUCAACAUGGUGGUGGACGCGCUUGCCGCCAUCCUAGCUAGAUAAGGCCAAAACCGCUGGCCAUAUUCGUGGGAUUACCCCUCAUCUGGCGGGCGGCUCCGGGAUCUCCAUGCUCCAGUACGCCGAUGACACCAUCAUCAUGGUCGAGGGCUCGGACACGGACAUCGCUAACCUCAAGUUCCUUCUUCUCUGCUUCCAACAAAUGUCUGGCCUCAAGAUCAACUUCGACAAGAGUGAUGUGAUGGUUAUGGGCUACUCUCCGGCUGAAGCCCUUGACAUCGCCAACCGCCUCAAUUGCCGCCUCGGCUCCUUUCCCACGACUUACUUGGGAACCCCCAUCAGUGACUCUUGGCUCACUGUCGCGGACUUGCGCCCCACGAUCGCCAAGUUACAAACGCGCAUGGAGCCUUGGCAAGGCCGAUGGCUGUCAAAGGCGGCUCGGACGAUCCUCAUUAAUUCCUCCCUCACUAGCCUCCUCCUGUUUCUUAUGAGCUUCUACAGCCUCCAUGAGACCCUUCACCAUGAGAUCGCCAAAAUUCAAUCUCGUUUCUUCUGGGCGGGUGACAACAAUAAGCAGAAAUACCACAUGGUUAGCUGGACGGACAUCUGCAAGCCCUGUGAACAGGGAGGCCUCGGUAUCAUGUGCUCUAAACGCAUGAACAUCACCCUCCUCACCCGCUGGCUCUGGCACAUUUCGCAAGGACACCGUGGUCUCUGGCUUGACAUUAUCCGGAACAAGUACCUGCGCGGACAGCCCCUCGCCUUCUGUCAGAGAUCCGGCGGCUCCCAGUUUUGGCAAUCGGUUGUCCAACUGCUUCCUGUCCUUCGCAUCGGAACCUCCAUCGCGGUUGGAUCGGGUACAGCGACGCUGUUCUGGUUCGACCGGUGGGCGGGAGACUCCCCCUUUGCGGCCCGUUUCCCCGACCUCUUCUCCAUUGCUGUCGCCCCCUUAAUCUCCGUUGAGAGGGCCCUUAUUGACUUAGGGCGCCUCGCCUUCCGGAGGCCAUUUGGGCCCCCGGAAGCCGCCGCGGGGCUUCAGCUGCUUGAUUGCGUCGCUCUCCACGAGCCGGCGGUGGAUGCGGGCCCGGACGAGGUUCGGUGGCGUCUUGAGCCUUCGGGCCAAUUCUCCACCAAGUCCCUCUACUUGGCCAUUGCCCCCUCCUCCGCUCCUCCCCCCUCCCUGCGGUUUGGUCCAUCCGCUUGCCAUUGAAAAUUCGGAUAUUCAUGUGGCAAUGGAUCCGCGGUAGGAUUCCGUCUGGGGUGGAGGUCCGCAAACGCUAUGGCCCUGGGUCCGGCAUCUGCCCCCUGUGUGGUACCCCCGAAGAUUUGAAUCACAUCUUCUUCUCCUGUGUCUCAGCUCAAUUCAUGUGGAUCUCCUUUAGGGAGGCAGUGGGAGGCGAUUGGUGUCACACCAACUUCCCCGACCUCUUCGCCGAACUCCAAAACUCCCCUUCCCCCUCUCGCCACAUUAGGUGGCUCGAGAUCGGGGUUCUAGCGUGGACUCUUUGAACGAUUCGCAAUAAGCUUGUGAUCCAGCGUAUUCCUCUUCGACGGGCUACUGACGCUCUCUUCAAACUGUCUGGUUACUUGCAGCUUUGGCGGCCGCUUAGCUGCCCUCAGGACCGCGACGCCAUCACCGCCUUCAUCGCCGACCUUCGCUCGAUGGCCGUCCGUCUGUCGCCGCCGCCCCCUCCGCCACCCCCGGAGCCGGAUUAGACGCCUUGCCUCGGCCGUGUCCUUUUUGUUUAUUUUUGGCUUGUUGAGCUGUGCCCUCAGCAGAACCUUUGCACUUCUCGUUUUGUGACUUGGGUGUGUGUGUUCUGAACUAGUCCGUGUAUGUGUGCUCUUGGCGGUUAGCUUUAUAUAUAAAGCGGGGCGAAAGCCUUUUUCGGUAAAGGUGUAACGCAGGGCACAAGGUGCAGCGACAUGCGCCGGCAAAACAGCAGUCCCGACUAGCCGGAGCAGUCCGCCCCCGCACGUGCUGAGCACCACGGAUCACAAAUACAGAGUUGCCAGCCCGACAGCGCAUGAAGACUGGCAUCGGCGAUGUACACAUACAUUGUCUGGCCCGAAGCCCGUGUCCCCCGUCCGCUGUAGUGGUCGCCGCCACCGCCUCGGGGAAUCACCGAAGAGAUCAGGACACUGCUCCAUCGGUGAUCUGGCCGCUGGCGAGGAGCAUCUCCUAGGCGUGCUGUGGGCCGCCACCGCAGCAGUAGGAGGCCCUGCACUACAAUACAGCUACAUCUACAGGCCGUCUCUCGCCAGGAGCUACCGGACGCGUGCGCCGGCGUCCACAGAUCCGGGCCGCACGCCACUACGUCCAGCUCGUCCGAGUGCUACCACUACUAGGGGGAAAACCCUAGUAGUAGCGCGGGUUUAAUGCCCACUAGUAGCGCGGACAGCCGCGCUACCAAUAAGGCGCUGCAGUUAUUACUUAGCAGUAGCGCGUGCAACAAGCACUACUGCUAAGACACAUAGCGGCAUCGCUUGUUCUGUCCCGCGCUGCUGCUAAUCUAGCUAGUUGUAGCGUGUUUACUAUCCAUCGCUACUAGUACUCUUUUUUUUCAUUUUUAGUGUAUUUAUACGCCGUUAUACAAAUUUUGUACAAUACCAAUUAUGAGGUUUAUAUCAUUAUGUCCAUAACCGUGUGUCAAAUGAAGGUGGAGUAGGUUCAAGUGGAGGCAAUAUGUGGUGCAUGUCAAAAGUAUACUACUAAUCCAAACUUGAUCUAGUUUGGACUAGUAGUACUUUCGAUGUGCACCACAUGUUGCCUCCACUUGAAUCUAAUCCGCCAGCACAAGCUAUUUAAUCAUCAUCAUAGUCAUUACCACCAACAGUAUUUAUUUAAUCACCAUAGUCAUAGUGUAGCACAUCAUCAUCUUCAAACUCAUUCUAGCUAGCUAAUCACCACCAACACUAGAUGCGGUAGCUAUCUAAUCACCACCAACACUAGCAAAUAAUAAUUAUCAUAGUCAUUACCACCAACACUAGCUAUUUAAUCAUCAUACUCAUAGUGUAGCACAUCAUCAUCUUCAAACUCAUUUCUAGCUAGCUAAUCACUCCUGCUGCUCUCUCUCAGGUAAAAUAACAUAAAACAUGUGUAGCUCUCCUCCUUCAUCAAGUUGGAGCAUGCAGAUGAACCUGUCUCCUAAUCGUGGUCUACGCUUCUCAUUGCUGCCCCCUAGUACUUCUCUGCGCUCCUCCAUCACAAAUUUGGUCCAGUCUUUCACUAUUAAGACUUCCUCGCUCUUAGAAAUCCUGAAUGCACUAAAGUGCAUUGUAGGAUAUCUUGGCCGUAAGCUAACAAUACUCAUGGUACCAUUAGUCUCGAUCCCAUGAGGCACAACAUUCAUCGGGAGUCCCAGUUGAAGAACAUCGUAUAGUAACAUACUUAGCAAUGAAGUUUAGCUUAAAAAUAAUGUAUGCAAAAGAUGCACUGAGGACAAAUAGUAAAACUCUUACCAUCUUUCCUAAAUAGAUAUGACCGUAGUUCAUUACGAACACUAUUGGUCGCACGUUUUCAGUACUAACAUUUCUAAGUGCAGGAAGAAAAUUUGUCUUGACAGUAUCAAGAUCCUCAAGCAAUGAAACAUAAUGACUUAGCUCCUCGCAGUUUAGUUCAGCCCCGGGACAGUAGUAGGUCCUGUCUACCAAGCGCUGGACAUGUUUGCUUGAACCGAAAUAAGCUGACAAUAGAAAUUAGUUGUCAACUAUUUUUGAAUAAACAAUAUUAAAGACAUAAAUAUGGUUGAGAAACUCACAUAAUGGUAUAACUGGAGGCGCCUGCACAUCGACCCAGAUGUCGGUAUUACCUUCAAUAUCAUCUUCUGGAUGAAUAUCAAAGGUGAUAACCAUAUCAGGCUCAAAUGCAUAAGUCUUGCAUAGUGUUCGCCAAGUUUUGCAUCCAAAAUAGGUGUAGUCGUCUGCAUUGUAUAAUUUUACGUGGAAAAUAUAACCAUGCUCGGUCUUCAAGUAAACUUUCUUUACCUCCAUAGUACGACUGAAACCUAUCUUAUCCAAGACAAAAACUCUUGCAUGGCAGGGGAUACGCUAGUAGAAUAGUAAAAAAAAUUUAAAUUAUAAGUUGAAGGAAAUGAAGCAGAUGUCAUGCUUAAUUACGAAAAAAAACUUGUCGUUGUGACUUACUGUAUCCACUUCGAAGUUCACGUCCAGCUUGAUGCUGAAGCGCCAAUCAUCAUCUAGGAAGAUUCCGUCGCACAGGCCGCGCUCGUCUUCGCAGUAUUUGCAAAUACCGAAAUCCUUUUCGUUGUCAGACAUUUCCUAUGUUCAUAGUUGAAACAUUAAUUGAAAAUCGAUCGAAGACAACUCCAGGAUAGUCAAAAUAUCUUAUAGGAUCAUAUUGACAUGAGCAUUCAAUAAGCAAAACCAAAUCGUAAAAUAAAUAAGUAUUCAAAUUAGCAUGCAUUCAAUAAGCAAAAGUAAAUCAUCUCAUGCGUCCGUACAUCGUCGAAUAUUAUCACUAAUACAUCCCAAAUAGUAUCAUACAUAUAACAUCACUAAUACAGCUAAAACCCUAGCGCACGACGGGUAUCAGCGCGGGCGGUGGACACCCAAAGAGAAGGAACCAUCACAGGAUCAUAGCUCCAAUGAGAUCCCUGGAGAACCUGCCAGGUAUUGGAGAACCUGUGCUCCAACGCAACAAGUAGCGAUGGACGUGCGCGUCCUCCUCACUGACACGGUCAUGCACCACCUCCGCGGGGUCCUCGAGCCUCUGGACCGUCACUGGCCCACGCGACCGCCACCAAAGAAGGUUCGGGUCAACGACAGGCUGGCUCCUCACCAACCUGCGCCCCCUGGUAGGUAGCGCCUCCCAGUACCACCCCGGCGGAGCCCAGUCCCGGACAUGGCCCAUCUGGUGACGCAGGUGUCCUCCACCGACUCGACGACGAGGAUGCGGGAUAGGCAUCGUCGACGUCGAUGCGCGAAAAAUUGCUUUAACUAAAAAAAUAACAACAAAUGUGACAUGUUCAACUAGUUCUAUAAAUUCAACUAGUUCUUACGAUUAAAUCUAGUCAAUUAAUUCUAUACCUAAUAAAAUGAAUAAUGACAUAAAAAAGGCCUAUGCUUUGCAGGAACAUUGACUCCUUCCCGGUGCGGCAAAUCCCGGGCACUCGAUAUGUCCUAGUUUGUAGCACAAGUCAUGUCGAAAUUCACGAAAAAUUUCGGCAUGACUUUUGCUAAAAAGUGGACAAAUCGAGAACCUGAAAUUUGCCGGAACGGAAAUGAAUCAACAUUCCGGCAAAACAUAGGCCACUCGGCUUCAUUUCCUGAAAACAAUAAAGCCACUUGGGCACAAUCGAACCACUUCAAUAAUGGAAUAUGCAAAUGAACAUCAAUGACAUAUAUCAUAUAACAACAAUAUGCAAAUGAAAUUACUGUUUAGGCCUUUUCAUAAAAAUUUGCCCUAGCUAAUUUCCUAAAAAAAUUGCUAAUCAUUUUUCCUAAAUGCUAAAAAAUGCCUACUGCCCUAAACAAAUCUAGGGUUCAUAUGAACACCUAGGGUUCAUAUGAACAUCAACACAGCAUCAACACAUAUAUAAAUUGCCCUAGCAGAGCGAGAGGGGGGUAGGGGAGAGGAGAGGCAGAGCCUUACGGUGAUUGCGGCGAGGGAGGGGCAGGCGGCGUCGAGGUCGGGGUCGGGGCUCGGGCGCGCGGCGGAGGGCGGCGUCGAGGUCGGGGUCGGGGGCGGCGUCGAGGUCGGGGUCGGGGGCGGCGUUGAGGCGGGAGAGCGCGUGGGAGAGCGCACGGCGGCCGACGGGCGACGGCGGCGGCGACAGUGGAGGAGUUGCGAUUUGGGGGAAGUGGCCGUUGGGGAAAACGAAUCGAGCGGUUUAGUCAGAAGUAGCAGUAGCGCGUUCCAGGAAGUGCGCUACUGCUAACAUAGCUACAGCGCGUUCGUGGAUACGCGCUACUGCUAUACCAUUCUCUUUUUUCCAAUUUUUCAUUUAUUUUUAUUUACAUUUUAUUUUUUUCUUUCACCUUUCUGUAUUUCUUUCAUUUUCAUUUACUUUUCUAUUUGCUUUUCAUUUAGUUUUAUUUACUUUAGAAGUAGCGCGUCUCAGCGUAAACGCGAUGCUACAAAGCAAAUAGCGGUAGCGCUGUUUGGCGAAGAUCGCUACUACUAUGUGCAGCCUAUCGGCUAAGCCGUGGGAAUUUUAGUAGUAGCGCUUUUGUACGCUGGCGCGCUAUUGCUAUAACGGUAUCUAUAGCCCGGUUUACAACACCGCGCUGCUGCUAAUUAGCACCAGCGCGUGUUUUUAACCCGCGCUACUGCUAAUGUCCUGUGUAUAAGAUUUUCCCUAGUAGUGUCGCGGGUUGCCGUUCAACCACAGCCACCUCCGCCCCAUCCGCACCACCGUGCAGGCGUUCACGGAGGGCCGCCCGUGCCCGCGCCUUAGAAGAAGACCAAGAAGCUAGCGGAAGCCUCCAUCCGCGCCAAGCUCAGGGACUUCCGUAAGCUGGCCUCCCCCGGCGGGCGGCUCGCGGGAUUCCUCAACAUCAUCUUCGCCGGCAAGCGCGCGGUACGUGUGCUCAUCGGCGUCGUGGUAUUCGUGGUCCUGCCUGAGGAAGACCAGCUGACACGCGGGCAGGAGCACCGUACCGUGCGGUUCAUGGAUAGUGACCGCGAGGCGCCGGCGGCGGUGCCUGGUGCAAAUCUUGGGACGGUACCGGCGCUGGAGGCGUCCUCCGGCUGGCGAUGGCAACACGAUCUCCAGCAGAGCUUCAAGGUUAGUGGAGCCAUGGCACCGGGCCGCUCAAGGUGUGUAUAUACUUGCCGUGUCCGGCGUACACUGCGUUGUCCGCUGGGAAGGAGGAGAGCCGGCCUCUUCUUAUAUAGGCUUAUAGGGCGGUGGCGUUGUGCUCAGAUUUUGCCCGGGCUUUCUAGAGAAGACAGGGCAUGGGGAGAGAACACAACGACCGAACCAACAGCGGCACACAGGCAACGACAGUGACAGGAACCAAUAUAGAACCCGAUGACGAAUAGGAAACAAGAAAGCGACUUCGGCCAACAGCACCAGAGACUGACAGCGACCUAUCACAAUAGCGAAGAAGGGCCAAAGACAGCGACUAAUCACAAAUGCGAAGAACGGCACCAGAGAAAAUACUAAACGAACCAAACCAAGCUGCACACACGUUCAAAAAAUUUCAAACGAAAACCUGAAUCCACAACUCAUUUGUACACAACCAGGUACCAAAAUAAUACGCGUGCCCCAUAGGAAUUUACCCAAAAGUCUUUUUCAUCCAAGUGGAUGAAUCUUGGAGCGAAAAAGCUCCCGGAUAUAGAGGUUUGGGUAUAUUACACGUGUGUGAAGUUUAAUGAUGAAAUACCUUAUGAUGUCGCUACAUAAAAAAAAUACAAAUUACUCAAAGUUGUGCAACGAAGAACAGAAAAGUGAACCAUCGCCAUAUUUUGGGAAGGAGCGAAAAAACUCUUUGGAGGACGAGCUCCAUGUAGGACUCGUUAUCUGGUGCGUGUGUCUUUCUUAGAACCACGCUCAAGACCUUAUUCAUCGCACGUAUCUCACCUGCCAACCAUUUUACACACCACCAUAUUCUUGUUUUUUUUACGGGACCGUAUUCUUGUUUUAUGAAUAGUACUACCCCUUUUCCAUUAAAAAAAAGAGUUGUGCCAUCACAUGUUAACAGGUUGGGCCUACCAGUGCAUGAAGUCUAUCACCCCGCCCCCAAGCCUAAUUUGGUACAAUUUUGACCCUGAAAUCUACAAAACCGGACAAAUUUACCCCUCGAGUGGUUUUGCUAUGAUUUGGGUGGUUUUGGAUUGUGUUGCGGGGUGGACAUGGCGAUGUAACUCAAGGUGACGGUCACCGCAACACGGGCGCAUGCGGGGCGCGUGAUUCCCGCUGGAGAGGGUGAAAGAAGGGGGAGGGAAGGGGAAGGAGGGGCUAGGGCAUCGGAGGCGAAGCUGUAGCACCUCGACGACGAGCAUCAGGCGUCCAUGGCAGUUGGAUGAAUGACAUAGAGGAGAGAGGUGGAGAGAGGAGGAAGAUGAUGUCAGAUCCAAAACCACGAAAAUCAUAAUCAAAACCGCUUUAGGGGCACAUUUAUCUAGUUUUGAAAUUUUUAGGGUGUAAAUUAUACCAAAAGCAGUCUUUAGGGGGGGGGUAUUUGUCCAUUGAACCACAUUUGAAGUUGAAAAUGAACUUCUUUCUAUCCAUUAUGUUGCAUUGUGGCCCGCGAGAACGGAACAUGGGCAUGAAUCUGGUUGGAUGUGCCUCUUUGAAGUCGUUGCCAUUUGGUCGAGCUGCUGGGAUUCCUGGCCUAGACGUUUGCUGGUUAGCAAUCUACUACUCCCUCCGUUCCUAAAUAUAAAUCUUUUUGAGAUUGUACAAUAAAGAAUACAUUCAGAUGUAUAUAGACGCCUUUUAAGUAUAGGUUCACUUAUUUUACUCCGUAUAUAGUCUAUUGUGGAAUCUCUUAAAAGACUUAUAUUUAGGAACGAAGGGAGUACUCCUCUUGUCCGUGGUACUCUUUCGCUUUCUUGGGCACAUGCUUUUGCACCAACGGUGAGUGGUGCCUGGCAUUACUUCUUCUAUGGCAACCUCCAUCCUGAGCCUGGUCUGUUUUUACACAAAAUAGAAAACACAAAACCAUAAAAGAUUUGUGGGUACCCCCAUGGGAAACAAACGAGGUUGAUCUCUCUCUCUCUCUCUCUCUCUCAAAUUCCUGAGCAUUUUUUAACUCAUAAAGAAUUUUUAAAAUUAAAAAAUAUGUUUUUAGUUCGUGAACAUUUUCUCAAUAGGCAAACAUUUUAGUAUGUUCAAGAACAUUACUCAAAUUCACCAACAUUUUCCAAAUGCGCAGAAAAUUUUCAAAUUUGUGAACAUUUUAUUAAAUACAUGAACAAUUUUUCAUAUUCAUGAACAUUCUUCCAACUUCAUGAACAUGUUUUCAAAUAUGCGUCCCUAUUCACGAACAUUUCUCAAAUUUGUGAAUGUUUUUCAAAUACGUGAACAUUUUUUUAAGCUUGGGAAAUUUCUCUCAAGUUUGCGAUCAAUUUUAUAAAUACAUAAACGUUUUUAUGUAUUGGGGAACAUUUUCAAAAUACGCUCCUCGAAGAUGAAUUCCAUCCAUCCUUGGCCAAUAUUUUUGUUUCUGAAACUGGGCCGAAAUCAGGCCAGUAAAUGCAAAGUGAUAAACUUUUUGUUGAUGGACUGAUCGAUUGUUCCACCGGCCUAACUACCUCCACACGGUGCAAAUUCAAAGUCCGUGAACGCUAUGUCUCGCAUUACGCGAGACGGUAGCAGCUCUCGCUGACGGUUUUUCCAUUUUUACAAAAAAAUUAAAUGCUUGAUUAACAUUUGCGUGCAUAUAGUUAGAGAAAGAGCUGAGGAAAGGGGGAACCAGAAUCGAUUCCUGGUCUCAAAGGUGACAGCGGGUGCUGCUACAAAGCCCGACCAAGUCCCGUUCGUGAUAAUUUGUAGGUGCGCGUCAUACUUUUGGCGAUUCAAGCCGGUUUUCUUUGAGUUUUUUUCCUUUUUCUCUUUUUUUCUUCUUCAUUUUUUUAUUCUUUUUUGCACUCGUUUCUUCAUUUUUUUCAUUUCUUUUUUCCUUUUGUUUAUUUUCUUUGUUCUUUUGGUUAUUAUUGUGCAUUUUUUGUAUACGUCAACAACAUUUUUUAAUACACGUCUAACAUUUUUCAAAUACAAACCAACAAUUUUUGCAAUACAUGGUCAAUAUUUUUGUAUACACAUUUUUUAAAUGCUUGAUUAUCAUUUUUCAAAUACAAGAUUAACAAAUUUUCAAUUCAUGGUCAACAUUUUUUUCCAUUUUUACAAAAAAAUUAAAUGCUUGAUUAACAUUUUCUUAAUACAUGGUCAACUUUUUUUCCAUACACAUUUAACAUUUUCCAAACGCUUGAUUAACAUUUUCAAACCCUUGUUCGACAUUUCUUUCAAAUGUUGGAUUAACAUUUCUAUAUACAUGAUCAAACAUUUUUAUCAUUUUUAAUACAUGGCCAACAUUAUUACCAUACACAUUUAACAAUUUCCCAAUUCUUGAUUAACAUUUUUUAAAUACUCGUUUAACAUUUCCCAAUUUUAGCUAGCUAUGGUGCAAACUAAGUGUUGUGCCUCGUCUUAAUCUAUCUAUAUAUCCUAUCUUCUAUUCGGCGAGGUGGCUGCGCCCGUGGCGAAUGCGGUCGCCGCCAUUGCCGGCGCCUGACUUGGUCGAUCUGCCUCUUCUCUUUAGAUGAGAUGGGGAGGAGAUGGUGAGAGAUGAGGUCAACGGCUUUGGGGAGAGGAUAAGGGUAGACGCCAACGGUGAGGCGGCGUGAGGAAGACGAGGUGGUUCGCGGCGGCGACGCGUGAGGGGAGGGGAAGGGAGGGGUAGUGGUGCGUGGAGGGGAGUGGGUAUGCGGCGUGCCCAAUUCGCGAGAGAGGAGAGAGGUCGGCAAGGGAGCGAUCCAUGGGAGUUUUUUUUCCUUCUGAGUGAGCCUAGUUGGGCUAUCUGCUGCGUCCAAGGCCCAGUGCACCACAUGUCUUCAAAUUGGCCACCAGUAGCAGCCCUUAGAACAGCAUGGCCAAUUUGCAAAUUUAAAGACAUAAGUUUUUUGCACGCAUGAAAAACAUAACAUGUAUCUUUCCACACAUAAUGAACUAUAGGUACUACCCCAAAAAAACAUAAUGAACUAUAGGUUGUCACAAGAACUCAUGCCAUCCCACAACCUCCCUCCGACCCUGCCAACAUUGUUGCAGCUGCACUCGCAAGUGUUACCGUAGAUGAUCAUGAAAUUACCAUAGAUGAUCAUUUCAUGAUUCGCGUAAAACGAAAUAAGAUCUACAAAUGAAUAGAAGCUACACAUACCUUGGCAUGCACACACAUUGCAAGCCAUACUAAGAAGAUAAGUGUUAAUAACUUGUACUCCCUCCAUCUCAGUUUACAAGUCUUCCACGUGUAUCUAGGUCGUCAAUUUAAUUAUACAAAAUAAAUUGUUUAACAUAAAAAUUAUAUCAUUAGAAAAUAGAAUAUCUACAGUUUCUAAUGAUAUAUUUUUUGUAAUGUAUGCCUCUUAUUAAGUUGGUCAAAUUAACGACCUAGGUACAUGUGCAAGACUUGUAAACCAAGAUGGAGGGAGUACAACAUAUACAACACUUAAGACAAGUAAAAGCAAUUUGGUGAGUCAUGGUCUAUGAAACCAAGCUACAUUACUAAUCUAAUCUAUCUUAACAGGUCACACAUGAUUACAAUCUUUUUUGUAUGCAAGUCAAGCUUAUCUAGUCUACACGUAACAACUUGUAGAACAUUACAAAAUUGAUGUUUGCUAACAAAUUCUAGAACACUACAACACUUGACAUGUAAAAAGAAUUUGAUGAGUCAUGACCUACUAAAGCAAGUUAUAUUACUAGUCUCAUCUAUCUUAACAUGCCAACAAGAUUAAAAACUAAGUUCUGUGCAAGCAAUGCUUAUCUAGUUUACACGUAACAACUUGCAUAACAUUACAAACUUAGUUUCACAAAAUUAGGCAAUCAAGAUUAGUGUUUAGCUGUAAAGUGAAUAAGAUGAGUCAUGUGUGUUAUCACACCUUUUUGUGGUGGAAUGAUAGUGCCACCAAACACAACAUACCAAAAUAUGAUUUUGGGAAGCAUCCAAGCACUUUGCAGACAAGCAAAUGCCAAUUGUGAAAGAGAUCAUGCCAUGGCAGCUAUAAAUAGGCAUGUAGCAUGAUGACCAUCCUUCCUCAUUCAUCAUUCUCAUAAGUAGAGUGCAUCAUUCAAGCCAAGCAAGAACUGGUCAAUACAAAUACACCAUGAAGACUUUUCUCAUCCUUGCCCUCCUUGCUAUUGUGGCGACCACUGCCACAACUGCAGUUAGAGUUCCAGUGCCACAAUUGCAGCCGCAAAAUCCAUCUCAGCAACAACCACAAGAGCAAGUUCCAUUGGUGCAACAACAACAAUUUCCAGGGCAGCAACAACCAUUUCCACCACAACAGCCAUAUCCGCAGCCGCAACCAUUUCCAUCACAACAACCAUAUCCGCAGCCGCAACCAUUUCCGUCACAACUACCAUAUCCGCAGCCGCAACCAUUUCCACCACAACAACCCUAUCCACAACCGCAACCACAAUAUCCGCAACCACAACAACCAAUUUCGCAGCAACAAGCACAACAACAACAACAACAACAACAACAACAAAUCCUUCAACAAAUUUGCAACAACAACUGAUUCCAUGCAGGGAUGUCGUCUUGCAACAACACAACAUAGUGCAUGCAAGCUCACAAGUAUUGCAACAAAGUAGUUACCAACUGUUGCAACAAUUAUGUUGUCAGCAGCUGUGGCAGAUCCCCGAGCAGUCGCGGUGCCAAGCCAUCCACAAUGUCGUUCAUGCUAUUAUUCUGCAUCAACAACAACAACAACAACAACAACAACAACAACAACCAUCGAGCCAGGUUUCCUACCAGCAGCCUCAGCAACAAUAUCUAUCAGGCCAGGGCUCCUUCGAGCCAUCUCAGCAAAACCCACAGGCCCAGGGCUCUGUCCAGCCUCAACAACUGCCCCAGUUCGAGGAAAUAAGGAACCUAGCGCUACAGACGCUACCAGCAACCUGCAAUGUCUACAUCCCUCCAUAUUGCUCGACCACCAUUGCGCCAUUUGGCAUCUUCGGUACUAACUGAGAAGAGAAGAACUCUAGUACUAGAUAUAUCAAACAUCGUGUUCUUAGUCCAUGGUUUGGUCGUUGUACUGGUGAAAAUAUAAAGUGACAUGCACUACCAUGUAAGAACCCGAACUAUACUAGUUCAAACUUGGGAAUAAAAGACAAAGCCAGGUCUUGUCUGCAUAUGAUUAUUUGUUUGAGUUCCAUUCAUGUGCCCGUUCACAAGUUCACCCCUAAUUAUAUAUAUUACGCAUUAAGUAGAUAUCUAUGUUGCAUUAAUUUGAAGAUAACAAAAUGAGUCUAAAACUUGAAUUAAAUUGAAUUGUUUUCUUGGACUUUCAAAUUGUGUAUUAUUAAAGUAGUAACGACUAUCCACAUCCUUGGCUUGCCCUUGAUCAAUUAUUUCCAGAGAAGCAUUCAAUUCAUCAAUCAAUUACAUUGAUUUUUGAGACUGGUACAUCUCCUCAUCAUGAGUAUCAUUGCGGCUACUCCAAAUCGCCCACAUAACCGAAGCAUUAAUAGCGCUCUUCUUGCAUCAGGAAAUAUGGAUUGAAGAUAUCAGGUGACCAUGUUUCCGGGUGCAACCUUGGGAGUUUUAUGUCAAAAUAUUCUCAAGAAGAAUCCAAGAAUAAACUUGCAUGCUCACGUGUGAUAAGGGCAUAUGAAGUAACAUUUCCUCCCCAUGGCCACAUAGGGCACACACAUAACCCCAUCACAUGCAUUUUUAGUUAUGCAUAUGAAAGGUAGGAUGUUUUUAAUUACUCUCCACCAAAAUACUCUUAACUUGGCUUGUACCCUAAGAGUUUGUUGCCUUUUCAUUUCUUCUUCCCCAUUAGACAAACUAGACAGUCCAUCCACCACACCAUUCCUUGUGUCCAUCAUGGCUCUGUACAACAAUUGGACAGAACAAAUGUCAUUUCUUUAUGAUACCCACGACCAAAUGUCCUCUGCUGGAUUGUUUGGUCGUGGCAUAUUAAGGAUGGCCACCUCAUCUGAUGGGAUAAACACCUAAUGAAUGAAAGGAUUGUUCCAGUCGCCCGUGUUUUUCAUCGAUAAGAUCAGCUACAAGUUGGACCGGAGUUUCUCACAUGCAUCGUAGUGGUUUCAUUAGCGGCAUGCCCUGCACCCAUUUAUCAUGCCAUAUCUCUGUAGUAUGUGCAUUCCCAAUUUGUCACAACAUACCCUCCUUCAAACCUUCUUGACCUUUCAGAAUUGCACGCCAAGUUAGCGAUGCACUAUGCAGGAACCCGCAUUUCAAAAAAAAAAGAAUCUCAUUUCAUGGUAUCUUCCAUAAAGGACCCUCAUACAUGAGCUAUCUAGAUAGAAACAGCCAUGUAUGUUUAGCAAACUUUGCAUAAGUGAAUAGAUCAAGGUUGUGGAACCCCAAGCCUCCAAUUACACCCGGCCUCUCUACCAACAAGAUGUCUAAAGACAUGAAGGAUACACACAGCCAAAAAAGAAAAUAAAAAGAACAAAAUAAAAAAUACCCCACCAUGGUGGUCAAUCACAAGCAUCAACAACACUCUAACCACCACCGAAGACAAUGCCCGGAUUACAAAAAGGUUAUUCAAAAGCAACACCCACAAGAAGGAAACAAUGCACAAGCGUUGUCGUUGCCCGAUAGAAGAUCGUGGGUUUUCACCCUGGAAAAAUUUUGAGUUCACCCAAAAACAAUGCCUUCAACAAGGCCAUUGCCAAGUACAGCCAAUAAGGGGUAGACCUUGGGUUUUCAACCUAGGAACUGAGACUCGAUAGUCGACAAGUACCACCGAAAAUGCAGUCCACCGGUGUUGCCGCCCCCGCUUGCCGAGGCCGCUGUUGCAAGUCACCAAACAUACAGUUGUCAUCGCAUCCAAUACAUCCUUCCGCCGAAGCUUCAAGACCUCAAAUGGCAGCCGCCGUGACUUUCUCCACAUCUAUCAAUGCCUUGAGGAUCUUGACUUAGACAUGUCCCGUGACAUAAAUAAGAAACCGAAGCUUCGCACCGCGUCCUCUUGAGGCCGUGUUGGCUGAUAAUAUUAGCGCGUAUGACGGGAGCCUUUCCAACCUAGAUAUCCAGGGGCGACAUACACCAAUCAAUAUAGAUCUCCGCUCGGAAAGACCGGAACUCAUCAACGGCCAGAUCCAAGUGGUCGACAUCCGGCAAAAAGACGACUUGGCGGAAGAAGAGCAUCAGGGCCAAACCACCAUUAUUAGUCCGAAGCUAAUAGCCCCCACGCCGCCCUCCUCUCGAUCCAGACCUGCAGAAAAAGAUCAACGACGCCGCAUCGUGCCACUUGCAUCCGUGGAGGCUUGAACUUGGCAAGAUGCCAACCAUGGCUGGAGACGGGGACCAGCCACUCCUGGCUGGAUCCGGUGACUCCUAGUCCUACCGCUGCCGCUACGGCGGCACCGCGUGUGGCCUACAAGCCCAUCCACGAUGAUGUCUGAUUAGAAGGAUACAUGGAUAUACAGAUGAAAAGGCCCUUGUUAUCCCUCCAACAAUAUAUAUAUAGCUUAUUGGGACGUGAGAAAGCUCGCACAAUUUUAUAGUGGCUAUGGAAAUGUGUUGCCAGACAGAGAUAUAAGAUUUUUGUUUGGCAUCCAGACCGUUUGUGUCAUGCUUAAUCGAUGGUCACUCUAAUUUUUCCGGCGGGCCUUCCCCGUGGUACUGCAGCCUUAUAUGUGUAUGGGUUUCAUACAGCUAUUCUGUCCUGUCUAGAAAAGGAGAAAACCAAAAUUACUUGGAGUUAAUAACUAAUACGUUUCCUUUAACUACCAUGUGCACGGCGAGGAUUUACGUGCAUGAUGUUUUUUCCUCUCCCCACGUCAUAUUGGGCCGGCCCAUUCACGCGCAUAUGGUUAGAAAAAGAGAUGAGGAAAGGGAGAACCAGGAUUGAUUCCUAGUCUCAAGGUGACCGUGGGUGCUGCUACCAGUCCGCCCAAGUCCCGUUCGUGAUAAGUUGUAGGUGCGCGUGGUACUUCAAGCGAUUCAAGCCGGUUUUAUUUGAGUUUUUUUUCUCUUUUUUUUCUUCUUCAUUUUUUUCAUUCUUUUUUACACUCCGUUUCUUCGAUUUGUCAUUCUUUUUUUCUUUUGUUUAUUUCCUUUUUUUCGGUUUUCUUUGUUCUAUUGGUUAUCAUUGUACAUUUUUUGUAUAUGUCAACAACAUUUUUCUCUAAUACACGUCUAACAUUUUUCAAAUACAAACCAACCAUUUUUGUAAUACAUUGUCAACAUUUUUUCUAUACACAUUUUUUAAAUGCUUGAUUAUCAUUUUUCAAAUACAAGAUUAACAUUUUCUCAAUACAUGGUCACCAUUCUUUUUCUAUUUUCACAAAAAACUUAAAUGCUUGAUUAACAUUUUCUUAAUACAUGGUCAACUUUUUCUCUAUACACAUUUAACAUUUUCCAAACGCUUGAUUAACAUUUUCGAACCCUUGUUCAACAUUUCUUUUAAAUGCCUGAUUAACAUUUCUGUAUACAUGAUCAAACAUUUUUAUCAUUUUAAUACAUGGUCAACAUUAUUACCAUACACAUUUAACAAUUUCCAAUUCUUGAUUAAUAAUUUUUAAAUACUUGUUCAACAUUUUUUUCAAAUGCAUAAUGAUGACAUUGUUCAAAAGUGGCAUCACAAGUUUCAGGGAGUAGAAAAUAGAUUAAUCAAUGAAACCGCGCGAACUUUGUGAUGCUAUUGUGUUAUAUCAACUACUUUCUCCGUCUCAUAAUAUAAGAGUGUUUUUCACAUUAGUAUAUAGUGGAAAAACGCUCUUAUAUUAUGGGACGAAGGGAGUAUGUGUUUGUUAUGUCAUACUGAGCACCAAAUUCACUAUAUAUAUAUCUAUACCAAUAUAAAAAGACCUAAAGGGGCAGAUCCAAAUAAUCUUGGCCAUUAAAUCAUGUCAAUCCAAUGACAUAGACUGCUUCACUGUCGAGCACUUAAUACGUUUAGCAUGCAGUUAAUUGCAUGCCAAAUAUAGUGCUAAUCACAUAAUAACAUGCAAAUAAUAUCCUACUUAAUAUCCGAAUGCACUUAAUAUACUUCCAAAUUAACGCGCAUUACACAUACACAUUAACUAAUCACAUAAUCAAAGAAAUUAACACACAAAUAAUAGCAUACCUAAUAUCCACGUGUAAAUAAUAAAACAAUAUAAUGCUUAAAUAUUAACCUGUGUUGCACGUGCACAUUUAGUAGAACAUGGGAAUACAGUAACAGUAAGCUCACUAGACGGAAGCCCGUCACGGCCAUGUGAAUAGGAUCCUCCUCGUACUGCUCCUCUCCUGCCCUGCCCUGAGCAGUAUCAUCCGUCGUCGUCGCCGGGCGGCGCAGCAGCCGGCGGCCGAGGGGAGACCGAGAUUUCCUCUUUGGAGGCGCCGAAUGCGGCUCGUAAGUCCAAAUCCCUCCCAGUCCCGCCUCUCGAAUCCCCACCGGUCUCCUACUUCCAUGCCGCCAAUGCCCGCCUUUUCUUUGGACUCCGAGCGAGGAAUCGGAGGGAAAGCUGUGUGCUUCUUGCAGCUUCAUGCCCCGGCAAUGGCGGCCCUGCUUGCUUUCUGUUGCCGCUGGGUCGCUCUACUCUCUGCGUGCCCGUCCGCAAGGUGUUCGAUGGAUUGUGCGCAGGGUGUCGGCCCGGCUGGUCCCCUGGUCUCGUUCCAGUUCUCCCAGGUUUCAGUCUGCUUACUGUCAGUUGCUGAAAAUGUGCACGAAACGGAUGAAAAUGCUGGGAUAUGCGCUCUUUGUUUACCGUUUACCGUCAUUUGUUUGGUUGCAGGAAGCACCCGGCCUUAAGCAUAGUACUACAUAUAAAGUUGUAUGUUCUGUUCUGUUUGUUUGUUUGCUGUCUGAUGAUUGAGACAAGGGCAUAAUCUAAAGUUUGGCACCUGCACUUGCACCUGCUCCUGCACAUUUAUGUGCUGGAAACUGGAAUCUGUUCAGAGUAGUAUGGCCACGCCACAGGUUUUAGCUUUCACUCAUGGACCACAUUGCUUCUUGACUAUCUUGGAUGCUUGUUGGCCCAUCCUUGUAAUUCUAUAUCUUUCUAGUAGUCUUAUAAAUCAGAAACAUAACAACUUUUUGUGUUGCUUACUAUAUUUUGUGUAUUUACUUAGCGUGUUUAGUCAAAUCAUCUGUCAUUGUUCUCUCAAGUUGUUUUUCCUUGCGAUAUUCAACCCAGCGGUUUAAAAUUCCUGCAAUUGAUUCAUUCAAAGUGAUUUUUCCUUCUUUGUUGUUGUUUUCUUUUAAAUGUUUGGGCUGAGGCUCCAAAUGUUGCUACUCUUUUACAUGGACUAUGUUACUUUGGAGAAUACAAGAAUUAUGCAUUGGUACCACGAUAACAUAUGCCUAAUGGUUUUUCUUACAGGAUGGGGUUUCCAACACAUAAAUAGUUUGCUAGCAUGCAGACAAGUGUCCAGUAGCCUUUGCGCCAUUUGAGGCGUAAUGGAGAUAGUUUUUCUCAUGUUGUUGGUUCUUUCUCUGCUCCUUUUCCCUAAUGGCAUCUGCAAGAGUUUAGCCACAGGGCCUCCUGUUGUGAAUAUUGGGUCUAUUCUUCAAUUUGACUCCACCACCGGAGGUGUUGCGGCAGUUGCCAUCCAUACAGCCUUGGAAGAUAUCAACUCCGAUCCAACAGUUCUAAAUGGAACUACACUAAAGGUUCAAAUGAAGGAUACAAAUUGCUUUGAUGGUUUCCUUGGCAUGGUUCAAGGUAGGCUAGCUUUAAUGUCACUCAUUCAUUUCGCAACCUUCAAAUAAUUUUUUACUUCUGUUGUGGAGUUGUGGCAAUGAUGCCGUGUUCCUUGUAUCAGCUUUGCAGUUCAUGGAGACUGAUGUUAUUGCACUCAUUGGCCCUCAGUGCUCUACUAUUUCUCAUAUGAUUUCAUAUGUAGCAAAUGAGCUUCAAGUCCCUUUAAUGUCCUUUGCUUCUGAUGCAACUCUUUCAUCGAUACAGUUCCCGUUCUUUGUCAGGACGGGUCCCAGUGAUCUCUAUCAAAUGGCGGCUGUGGCAGAAGUUGUUGACUACAACCACUGGAAGAUAGUGACUGCCAUAUACAUUGAUAAUGUUUAUGGUAGAAAUGGCAUUGCUGCUUUGGAUGAUGCACUCACUUUAAAGCGCUGCAAAAUAUCCUACAAGGUUGGGUUUCCUUCCAACGCUAAAAGGAGUGACCUCAUAAAUUUGUUGGUUAGUGUCAGUUAUAUGGAGCCUCGUGUUAUUGUUCUCCAUACUGGAGCUGAACCUGGACUCAAGCUUUUCUCUGUGGCAAACCAACUGAACAUGAUGGGCAACGGCUAUGUGUGGAUUGCAACUGACUGGCUGUCUGCAUAUCUUGAUGCUAAUUCAUCAGUUCCUGCUGAGACUAUAUCUGGCCUGCAAGGUGUUCUUACUUUACGGCCACAUAUUCCCAACUCAAAGAUGAAGAGUAAUUUGGUCUCCAAAUGGGGCACGCAAAGUAAAAAGUACAACUACAGUGAUCUUCGUGUAAAUACGUAUGGUUUUUAUGUUUAUGAUAGUGUCUGGGCAGUAGCUCGGGCUCUGGAUGCCUUCUUUGAUGAUGGUGGUAGGAUUUCCUUUUCAAAUGACUUGCAUGAUGGAAUUGGAGGAACUCUUCACCUUGAAGCAAUGAGCAUUUUUGACAUGGGAAGCAAAUUACUGGAGAAGAUUAGAAAGGUAAACUUCAGUGGGAUAUCUGGGCAAGUGCAAUUCGAUGCUGUAGGCAACCUCAUUCACCCUGCGUAUGACAUCAUAAAUGUCAUCGGAAAUGGCAUGCGGACCAUUGGUUUUUGGUCAAACUAUUCUGGCUUGUUGUCGACUGUCUCUCCAGAGGCUCUAUAUUCAAAGCCUCCUAAUAUUUCUCUCGCCGAUCAGCAUCUCUAUGAUGUUAUUUGGCCUGGGGAAACUGCACAGAGGCCUCGAGGAUGGGUCUUUCCUUCUAAUGCCAAGCAGUUGAAAAUUGGUGUUCCCAACAGAUUUAGCUUCAAAGAGAUCGUCACGGUAGACAAUGCUACUGGGUCAAUGAAGGGUUAUUGCAUCGAUGUCUUUACUCAGGCAUUGGCUUUGCUUCCUUAUCCUGUUAGUUACAAGUUUGUACCUUUUGGGAAUGGUACUGAAAAUCCUAAUUAUGACAAACUCGUACAGAUGAUUGAAUCAAAUGUAAGUAUGGAAUGCCUCUUUUCUUCCUCUAACCAUUUCAUCAUAUACCAUGCUGACCAGGGUCAUCUUAUCCUGCAGGAGUUUGAUGCAGCUAUAGGGGAUAUUGCAAUUACAAUGAGGCGGACAGUAACUUUUGAUUUCACCCAGCCAUUCAUUGAAACAGGCUUGGUUAUCUUGGCUCCGGUUAAAGAGCAUAUAACAUCGUCCUGGGCAUUCUUGCAGCCAUUUAGUUUGGAGAUGUGGUGUGUUACAGGGCUGUUCUUUCUUAUUGUGGGUGUGGUUAUUUGGGUUCUUGAACAUCGGAUCAAUGACGAUUUCCGUGGUUCAGUAUGUCAACAAAUAAUAACUAUUUUCUCGUAAGGAGCUGGCAUUUACCUUUUGUAUCGUCUUCUUGUAUAUCAUUCCUGUUUUCGAAGUGUUGAUGUUUUAACAAGUCUUGUGCAAUAUGUUGCAUACAGCGAGCACCUUAGAGCAUUGGCCAGUUAACAUACCUAAAUGAAGCAUCUAGUGAUUACCAAUGAACUACUCCCUCUGUCCCAUAAUAUAAGAGUGUUUUUGACGGCGGGAGUAUUAUCUUAAUAAUCUUGUGAGACAUAUAUACAUGCACAGUAUAUAUAUUCGCUUAAUGAUAUUUAUGUUCAUUGCUCUAUUUUUUCCUGUUUUCACGUACUUCUCCACAUGUAUUUGCCAAAUGCUCUUAUCAUGACGUGAUUCCUUACUGUGAGUAUAAUUUCAAAUUUUAUUGCCUGCAGGUUCAGCUUUUCAACUUUGUUCUUCGCACACAGUGAGUAAACCAACCUUUUCUCUUAUGUGUUUUUUUGGCUAUAACAUUUUGUUCUGAGGCAUGACUCGUGAUUUCAUCCAUGUCUGCUCGCAGGAGAAAAUACUAUGAGUGCCUUAGGGCGUGGUGUCCUGAUCAUAUGGCUGUUUGUUGUUUUGAUAAUUGUAUCCAGCUAUACCGCGAGUCUUACUUCCAUCCUGACCGUGCAACAACUUGAUACUUCUAUAAAAGGAAUUGAUGACCUGAAAAAUAGCAAUGAUCCUAUUGGUUUCCAAGUUGGUUCUUUUGCACAAGACUAUAUGGUCAAGGAGCUCAACAUCUCACGGUCAAGGCUAAGAGCUCUUGGUUCACCACAAGAAUACGCGGAAGCCCUCAAGAUAGGCCCUAAGGAAGGAGGUGUUAUGGCCAUUGUUGACGAGCGCCCCUAUGUUGAACUGUUUUUGUCAACCUACUGCAAGAUUGCGGUAGCUGGCACAGAUUUCACCAGCAGAGGAUGGGGCUUUGUAAGUACAGUUCAACCAUAUACUUUUAUAUAAACUACUCCCUCCGUUCCUAAAUAUAAGUCUUUGUAGAGAUUCCACUAUGGACCACAUACGGAUGUGCAUAGAUGCAUUUUAGAUUGGAGAUUCACUCAUUUUGCUCCGUAUGUAGUCCAUAGUGGAAUCUUCCCAAAGACUUAUAUUUAGGAACGUAGGGAGUAGAAUAUAAGAACAAAAUAUUAUGCUGUUAAUGUCCUGGAAUAGAGGUUUUAACUUUGAAUAGUUGUGUCUAGUCUCUAGUUUAUUAUGCAACUUUUCUUGCACUUAUCUGCGGCUACUUUGUUUCGCAAAUCGAAAUGUAGCACCUUACAAAUUAAUUCUGCCAGGCAUUUCCAAGGGACUCCCCUUUGCAAGUAGACCUCUCCACCGCAAUCCUGUCUCUGUCAGAGAAUGGGGAGCUGCAGCGGAUCCAUUCCAAAUGGCUCAAUACAGGGGAGUGCACAACUGACAACAGCGAGUUUGUCGACUCGAACCAGCUCCGCCUUGAGAGCUUCCUUGGUCUGUUCCUAAUCUGUGGUGUGGCAUGUGUUCUCGCGCUGCUACUCUACUUUGGUAUCAUGCUAUGCAAAUACCUGAGGCAUGAACCGCGGAAGAGCCUCAGAAGAUUCAUCUCGUUCGUCCAUGGGAAGGAGCCGCCGAAGAACAUGGAGAGGCGAUCCAUGAGCCUGCCUGGAAGCUCGACGCCAACAACGCCGAUGGGCAGCUUUAGUUCCCUUGACAUGGAAAGGCCGGCCAGGCCAGUCAGAAACGGCAGCGUUAUUGAUAUGGAAAGCUAGUUCAUGUGUAGAAAGCUACGCGGUCGACUAACAUAGGUUCUGGUAGUCGGACAGCAGGGGUGUAUAGGGGGAUUCAAAAUACUUCUUAAGUACUCCCUCCGAUCCAAAUUAUUCCAAAGUUUAGGAAAUAAGAGAAGGAAGGAUUAAUAAGAAAUAAAAAUAUUGAAAUGCUCCUCCUGUCCUACAUAUAUUGUUUUUACCUUUUCAUGACUGUAUUUUGGGGGGAGUGUGGAUUUUCUAUCAUGCACGGGACCUCCCGUGCAUGCAUCCAUCACAUUUUUUAUUGCUGUGUGGGGCCCCUAUUUUCUCUCACCUAACAUACAUUCACAUGUUAAUUUGUACUGACUAGGUUUCAUUCACUAGUGCAGAACAGGCCUUUAUCACUGGUUCAUAAGGGCCUUUAGUGCCGGUUCUGUAACCGGCACUAUGGAGUGGAGACUAAAGGCCCCCCUUUAGUACCGGUUCGGCACGAAUCGGCGCUAAAGUGCCACCACGUGGCACGAGCCAGUCCCGGGUGCUGGUAGACCAUUAGUACCGGUUGAUAACACCAACCGGUACUAAAUGUUUGGGGGGGUUUUGGUUUUAAUUUUUAAUUUUUCAUUAACUUUGGGUUUUCCAUUUAAUUCUUUUUUGUUUGCUGGUAUUUUACGAUACUACAUAUUGUACACGUUAUGCAUAUAUAUAUAAAUAGAUUUUCUCGUAGAACUGAUCAUAUAUAUAAUCGAAUGUCUCACAACCACCAUUAAUUAUUCACACAUACACNNNNNNNNNNNNNNNNNNNNNNNNNNNNNNNNNNNNNNNNNNNNNNNNNNNNNNNNNNNNNNNNNNNNNNUUUGCUGGUAUUUUACGAUACUACAUAUUGUACACGUUAUGUAUAUAUAUAUAAAUAGAUUUUCUCGUAGAACCAAUCAUAUAUAUAUAUAAUCGAAUGUCUCACAACCACCAUUAAUUAUUCACACAUACACAUGUAUAUAUAUAUAUAUAUAUAUAUAUAUAUAUAUAUAUAUAUAUAUAUAUAUAAUUUCUCCUCCAUGUUGCCUUGGUGCCUUCGGAGCACGAUGACAAGUGGUUCAUGGAGACGGUAGCGGGUAAUAGUAUUUUCCUUUGGGAUCUAUGACCUGCUCGAGCAAAAAUCUCGUUAUUUCCUCUUGAAGUGCUCGUAUGCGCUCUGUUGGUAGGAGCUGGUCCCGCAUGUCUUUGAACCGUUAAGAAGGAGAUCAAUAUGCAUGUGUAUUAGUUGUGUGACUAGAUAUCGAUAAUCAUGUAAGAUUUGUGAAUAGUGUUCUGGCAAACGUACCCAUUGUUGUCUAUCAUAUCUGCUCCUUUCGGACGCCAUUAUGCGAAUGUUCUUGAAAACGUAGUAUGCACACACUUCAGUCCCCGGCGCCUGCUUCAGGGCCUUUACGAGAAUAGAAUUUAAUCAGAUAAUAAUUAAUCAAGUGUGUUAAUUAAUUAAUGGUAUUGAAACAAGAAUUAAAGAGAUGGUAGCUAGCUAGCUAGUACUACUUAAUUACUUGCCUUGGGUCGAUACCAAAAUAGCUUUUGUCGCCAUUUUCCUGAAGUCACCUUGAUGUACUUUACCCAAGCCCUUCCCGUCGGCAAAGAAAAUUGAUAAAGGGGUUAUUAAAAAUAGUUCAUAUCAGGAAAUGAUAAACUAAAUAGGCCAAGAUAUAGUUAAUAAUGAUUGAAAUUACCUGUUGACUAUCCCUUCAUUAUGCUGUAGUCACUAUCUUUUUUAAGUAGUGAGUCCAGUACUUCAACUUUUCCUUCGUCAACUUUAAUGUCUAACAAGAUCCAGUGGUACCUGCAUACGCAUAAGUUUGCAUGUAUAAAUUAAGCGGGCAUGUGCAUAACACUAAUCAACUAUAACCCUAAACCCUUUACACUUAUUAACAUCUAGCUAGUAAGCAAAAACAGAAUUUGUAGUACAAGACAGUGUGACUCACUCGAAGUUGUAAGGAAGUAGUACAUCUUCAUUGCUAUUGAGGUGCUUCAAGAACUCUAGCAUGUUUUUCUCUACAUCUUGUCUACACCAUUCCAAUUUCCAUGUGUAUUCAUUAACAGUAUUUGGGUCAAUGAACCCAAUGCCAUAGCGUCUAGCUUUUUUCAUUUCAUACAUCUUCAUCCUGCAUAAUACCACAGAAAAGAAUAUAUAGUGAGGAUAUUUAAUUACAGGUAAUUAAUGAUCAAUCAAUGAGCACUAGAGCUAGCUUGAGACUUAAAUUACAGAAAGAAAUCACUUACAGACAAUAGCAACUGACGAUAGAUUUGUCGAGUGCAUCUUGAUUGAAUAACUGAAAUAGUUCUGAAUACUCAACAGUUAGAGCUUUCUUAUUGAAGUAAUGAUCUUCCUUGACUUGCACCAUGAGGGACUCUCAAUUGGAAAUCUUGAUAAUUUUCAUGUACCAAUCAUGCAAUUCAUACAUUCUCGUUGGGAGGUUCUUGACCUCCUCGGGCUCGACCAAAGGUUGGCCCCGGACAUAUUUCCGUUUUAUUUUCUCCUCUCUAAGCAGAGACAUGGGCUCGAUAUCGAGGAGUUGUCCAAUAGUGAUCUUGAGCAUUUCAGCCUGCAUUAUAUGAUCCUCGGUUAUUACCACACCACCCACCUCGGGAACGUAAAUGGUUGCGCCGCCUGUUCUCCCAGCUGGGGAACGGUUUUCCCGUAUUUUUUGACAGCUGCUUGUUGGCUCGAGCUCGAGCUCGCUUCUUUCCGUAGUCGUGCUCGAUGUGCCUUUCUGAUUUGGCGCUCAUAGUCUGAGUCAACAGGCUUGGGAGCUGGUGGCCUAGCCAUACGAAUGAAGUGGUCAAUAUUUUUCCUCAGGCACUUUCUCCCUCGGCGGCGUUGCCGGUUUCGGUCCAAAAUGGGCGUCCACUUGGGCCUUCACUAUGGCUGCAUUUUGCUCCUCGGUCAUGUUGUAAGGCCUCUGAGGAAGAGGAGCGAGGCUGCUUGGACCAUAUUUAUAUCGCUUGUCUCCGCCUGUACUUCCUGUACUACCUUGACUCGUACCACUACGCACCAUAGCUGCGGCGUGUCUCUUCUGCGAUUGCUGAGGCGGCGGAGACGGCUGACGUUGCUGAGUUGGAGCAGGAGGAGUGGCCUGACGCUGUGCCAGACUUGAAGCAGGAGGUGUGGCCACUAGUAGAAAAAGGGUCAAAUGUGAAGCACAUUAGUGCCGGUUUGUGAAAAAACCGGCACUAAUGUGAUCAAUAGUACCGGUUCGUGGCGGCGAUCAAUAGUAUCGGUUCGUGACGAACCUUUAGUACCGGUUCAUGCCACGAACGGUACUAAAGAGGAUGUGGCAGCCUGCAGUCAGGCUAUGGCCCCACCAUCACCAUUUAGUGCCGGUUCGUACCACGAACCAGUACUAAUGAGGUUAUGGCAAGCUGUUUUUAGUCCCACCUCGCUCCCCUAACAAGGCUUUUACCACCUUAAAUAUGUUACUUCUCAAACUAUCACAAGCACUUGGUCUUCAUUGAACUCUAUGUGUAGAAUUUGUGGCUGCAAUAUGAGUCUUCACCGGUUUAUAAAUCGUUGAGGACUCAUAUUGACAAUUCAGAUUGUACACAAAAAGAUCAUUGAUGAUCAAAGUAUUUUUAAUGUAUAAGAUCAUAGUGACAAUUCAGACUGUAAAGAAAUAUAAUAUCAUAAUCUAAAUGCUCUUAUAUUUUUUGCAUUCAGUAUGCACCAUUCAAAGCGACGCCAUCAACUUUCAACCAUUUAUGCCUUCAUUUGCUAUUUUUCAUGCAUUUAAUGAUUUGUUUUGAGAACUAAAUAACCUGGAAAUUGAAAAGCACUACAAAUGAACUCUGAAAAAGUUGAAACUUGGCAUGGUAUCAUCAUUUCACCCACAUAGCAUGUCCAAAAAAGUAGAGAGGGUUAUGGCAAAAACUGGAUGCACUUCGUUUACAAACUGGACAAUCUCUUUCGAAGUAUUUGGGUUUUGACGAAAUUAAACUCAUCUGUUACAAAGGCAUUUCAUUUUUUAAACUUAUUACAACCCCAGACUUUUUGUUCAUUAGUAUGCACUAUUCAACUACUAGGCGGGAGGAGCUCUUUAGUACCGGUUCCAACUGCUAAGCGGGAGGAGCUCUUUAGUACCGGUUCGUGGCGAACCUUUAGCACCGGUUCGUGCCACGAACUGGUACUAAUAAGGUUGUGUUAGGUAAGGCUGGGGCCCCACGAGCACCUUUAUUACGGGUUCAUGGCAUGAACCAGUACUACAGUUUCUUAGAAAGCUGUUUUUUAGUCCCACCUCGCGAAGAGAGAGGGACUAGGAGCGGUUUAUAAGCCCUGAGUGCAGAGACGAUGAAGAAGAGGCUCAAUGCUCACGUUGCUUAGCUUCAAGCCUUGAGGAAUAUGGUAGACUGCAUGGAGCUAUGUGCAAUGCAGUUUACACUAUUCCGAAAGGCUUGAAACUAAUUAACGAGCAUUGCAUCUCUUUUUUAUUUUUAAUAACUUAUUACAACUCCGGACUUCUUCUGUUAUGGCAAAAACUAGAUGCACUUCGUGUACAAACUGGACAAUCUCUUUUAAAGUAUCAGGGCCGGUUUCAGACGAAAACUCUGGUUAUAACUCCAGACUUUGACCAUCAAGUUUUAACCAUCAACUUGGCAUGGUAUAUGAAAAUAAAUGAAUAGAAGAAAAUAAAUAAAGCAGAAAAGAAAAAAACUAUAGCAGAAAAUAAAAAACUAUAUAAAAAACUACUCAGAAAUAAAUAGAAGAAAAUAAAUAUAGCAGAAAAGAAAAAAACUAUUCAGAAAUAAAUAGAAGAAAAAAUAAAGCAGAAAAGAAAAAAAACUAUAUUUGCUAUUUUUCAUUCGUUUACUGAUUUUUUUAGAGAGCCAAAUGACCGUGAAAUUAAAAAUCACUACAAAAUAAACUCUGAAAAUGUUGAAUUUUGGCAAACUAGAUAAAAAACUACUCACAAAUAAAUAGAAGAAAAUAAAUAUAACAGAAAAGAAAAAACUAUACAAAAAACUACGCAGAAAUAAAUAGAAGAAAAUAAAGCAGAAAAUAAAAAAACUAUACAAAAAAAUUGGGGCGCUGCCCAAUGGGCCUGCUAGGCCACGGGCGUGCAAUUACAGGCCCUAACGGCCCAACAGGCUCACAGGGCAGCGCACAGAAGUUAGGCCCAGAAGCCUGCUAUAUAUAGGAGUUCAAAGAGGCAGCCGCGGCUGGGUUUAUAAACCAGUGAGGCUGCCCUUCGCACGGGGAGAUGGGACUAAACGUCGUGCACCGCGGGUGGCAGCGCAAGGCCUUUAGUAUCGGUUGGUGGCUCCAACCGGUACUAAAGCUCGUGCCUUUAGUACCGGUUGGAGUCACCAACCGAUACUAAAGGCCAUCGGUUCCCGUCGUUUGGCCUGGCGAAAAUAGGCCUUUAGUACCAGUUGGAGGCACCAACCGGUACUAAAGGCCCAUCCUAUAUAUAUAGCACUUACGAAAUUUUCAGUUUCAUCCCCCACUUCGUCUCUCGAACCGCGUGCGCCGCUCGAUCCCCGUCGUGUCGCCGCACGUCGCCCGUCGUCCGUCGUCGUCGUCGCUGUCCCCCGCCGCCGCCCGUCGUCGUCGUCGUCUCACGCCGCUGCCCUGAACGCCGCCGCUGUCUGUCGUCGUCGCCGCGGCGCCGCCCGAUACGUCUCUCCCCGCCCCGUACGCCGACGCCCCUGCCCCCGCCCCGUACGCCGCCGCCCCCGCCCCCGCCCCGUACGCCGGCGCCCCCGCGGCGUACUGCACAUACACACACACGUAUACAUAUACACGCAGUACACACAUAUACACACACAUACACAUACACAUUUUUUUACUAGUUGAAUAAUUUAUAUAAUUAAUAUAACUAGUUUAUUUUAGUAAGAAAAUAAUCGAACUAGUUUAUUUAGGUAUAUGAGAUUUGAACUAGUUGAAUAAUUAAUAUAACUAGUUUAUUUUUAGUAAGAAAAUAGUCGAACUAGUUUAUUUAGGUAUAUGAGAUUUGAACUAGUUGAAUAAUUAAUAUAAAGAAAAUUUAGGUAUCUGAGAUUUGAUGAUCUAAUUAAAAUAUUAUUUGUUAAUGAGUUUUUCUGUUUAUUUAAUUUUUUUUAUAUAUUUUUAGUUUAUAUAAAUGUUAGAUUAAUGUCGAAUGUUAAAUGAAUUAGAUAGAAAAGUUAAAUAUAUAGUAAUGUCAAUUGUUAGAGAUGAAUAUAGUUAGAUAUAUUAAUGUCAAAUGUUAGAUGAAUAUAUAUAUUUGAAUUAGCUAGAUAUUAAUUAAUGUUAGAUAGUAAUAAGUGUUUAAUGUUUCACUUAUAUGAACAUAGGAAAUGUCAUCUGACAACGAAGAAGAUUUCAUUAUGUGCGAACACUNNNNNNNNNNUCUCCUACAUGUUGCCUUGGUGCCUUCGGAGCACGAUGACAAGUGGUUCAUGGGGGCGGUAGCGGGUGAUAGUAUUCUCCUUUGGGAUCUAUAACCUGGUCGAGCAAAAAUCCCGCUAUUUCCUCUUGAAGUGCUCGUAUGCGCUCCUCUGAUAGGAGCUUGUCCCGCACCUAUUUGAACUGUUAAGAAGGAGAUCAAUAUGCAUGUGUAUUAGUUGUGUGACUAGAUAUCGACAAUCAUGUAAGAUUUGUGAAUAUUGUUCUGGCAAACGUACCCAGUCCUGUCUAUCAGAUCUGCUCCUUUCGGACGCCAUCAUGCGAAUGUUCUCGCAAACGUAGUAUGCACACACUUCAGUCUCCGGCGCCUGCUUCAGGGCCUUUACGACAAUAGAAUUUAAUCAGAUAAUAAUUAAUCAAGUAUGUUAAUUAAUUAAUUGUAUUGAAACAAGAAUUAAAGAGAUGGUAGUUAGCUAGCUAGUACUACUUAAUUACUUACCUUGGGUCGAUAUCAACAUAGCUUUUGUCGCCAUUUUCCUGGAGUCACCUUGAUGUACUUUGCCCAAGCCCUGCCCGCCGGCAAAGAAAAUUAAUAAAGGGGUUAUUAAAAAUAGUUCAUAUCAGGAAAUGACGAACUAAAUAGGCUGAGAUAUAGUUAAUAAUGAUUGAAAUAACCUGUCGACUAUCCCCUUCACGAUGCUGUAGUCACUAUUUUUUUAAGUAGUGAGUCCAGUACUUCAACUUUUCCUUCGUCAACUUUAAUGUCUAAUAAGAUCCAGUGGAAGCUGCAUGCGCAUACGUUUGCAUGUAUAAAUUAAACGGGCAUGUGCAUAACACUAAUCAACUAUAACCCUAAACCCUAUACACUUAUUAACAUCUAGCUAGUAAGCAAAAACAGAAUUUGUAGUACAAGACAGUGUGACUCACUCGAAGUUGUAAGGAAGUAGUAUAUCUUCAUUGCUAUUGAGGCGCUUCAAGAACUCUAGCAUGCAUUUCUCUACAUCUUGUCUACACCUUUCCAAUUUUCAUGUGUAUUCAUUAACGGUAUUUGGGUCAAUGAACCCAAUGCCAUAGCGUCCAGCUUUUUUCAUUUCAUACAUCUUCAUCCUGCAUAAUACCACAGAAAAGAAUAUAUAGUGAGGAUAUAUAAUUACAGGUAAUUAAUGAUCAAUCAAUGAGCACUAGAGCUAGCUUGAGACUUAAAUUACAGAAAGAAAUCACUUACAGACAAUAGCAACUGACGAUAGAUUUGUCGAGUGCAUCUUGAUUGAAUAACUGAAAUAGUUUUGAAUACUCAAUGGCCAGAACUUUCUUAUGGAAGUAAUGAUCUUCCUCGACUUGCACCAUGAGGGACUCUCGAUUGGAAAUCUUGGUAAUUUUCAUGUACCAAUCAUGCAAUUCAUACAUUCUCGUUGGGAGGUUCUUGACCUCCUCGGGCUCGACCAAAGGUUGGCCCCGGACAUAUUUCCGUUUUAUUUCCUCCUCUCUAAGCGGAGGCAUGGGCUCGAUCUCGAGGAGUUGUCCAACAGUGAUCUUGAGCAUUUCAGCCUGCAUUAUAUGCUCCUCGGUUAUUACCACAUCGCCCAGCUCGGGAACGUAAACGGUUUGCCCACAAUAAUAUUGGGCGCGCGUACUCUCAUGUGUUGUUGGCACAACAAGCGAGGGGGGGGGGGUGGUCGAUUGCGCCGCCUGUUCUCCCAGCUGGGGAACGGUUUUCCCGCAUUUUUUGACAGCUGCUUGUUGGCUCGAGCUCGAGCUUGCUUCUUUCUGUAGUCGUGCUCGAUGUGCCUUCUUGAUUUGGCGCUCAUAGUCUGAGUCAACAGGCUUGGGAGCUGGUGGUCUAGCCAUACGAAUGAAGUGGUCAAUCUUUUCCUCAGGCACUUUCUCCCUCGGCGGCGUUGCCGGUUUCGGUCGAAAAUGAGCGUCCACUUGGGCCCACACUAUUGCAUCGUUUUGCUCCUCGGUCAUGUCGUAAGGCCUCUGAGGAAGAGGAGCGAGGCUGCUUGGACCAUAUUUAUAUCGCUUGUCUCCGCCUGUACUUUCUGUACUACCUCGACUCGUACCGCUACGCACCAUAGCUGCGGCGUGUCUCUUCUGCGAUUGCUUAGGCGGCGGAGACGGCUGACGUGGCUUAGUUGGAGCAGGAGGAGUGGCCCGACGCUGUGCCGGACUUGAAGCAGGAGGUGUGGCCUGACACGGUGUCGGACUUGAAGCAGGAGGUGUGGCCUGACGCCGUGCCGGACUUGAAGCAGGAGGUGUGGCCUGACACGGUGGCGGACUUGGAGGAGCGGGAGUCUGCUGACACGGUGGCGGACUUCGAGGAGGAGUCGGCAGACGCGGUGUCGGUGGACUUCGAAAGAUGAUGCAAUCCUUUUUCCAUAGGAUGAAACGAUGUAUGGCCUCUCCCAGUGUUUGCUCGUCGUCACCUCCAGGAAUGUCAAGCUCUAGCCCCGAAUAUGGGCCCACCACCUCAUCAACCAAGACACGAGCAUAGCCCUCUGGAAUCGGGGCACAAUGGAAGGUUGCUCCGGGGGUAAUUGUAAAAGCAACGGCGUUCGCCACCUUCAUGGAUAUGUUCUUCAUUUUGUAGUGUAGCUCACAGUUAGUGUUCUCUAUGAUGUCAUCCACAGGGUAUGUAUCCAGCAGUGCGUCGCCCGGGGCGGAACCAACGCUGCUUCUCGGCAUGGAUGGGACGGCGCUAUCCAAUGCUGGAUGAUCAUCCGCUUGCUGCUGCCGCUGCUGAGACCCCCUUUCCUGGCUAAGUGAGUCGAUCUGCUGCUGUUGCUGCUGCUGGAAUUUGAGUGCCAAGUCCGCGUGCCUUGCUUCUAGGCCUUGAAGGCGUUCCGCGUCCUGCUUCCUCUGCUCCUCCUCCAGCUUCCUCUUCUUCUCCUCCUCCAUCUUCUUUCUUGCACGGGUCCUGUAGUCGUCGUUCCAUUCCGAAAAGCCCUCAUACCAGGGAAUAACGCCCUUGCCUCGCGUUCUUCCCGGGUGUUCAGGAUUUCCCAGGGCACGCGUAAGCUCGUCGUUCUCUCUGUUGGGCGUGAACACCCCCUUUCGAGCAUCUUCUAUUGCGUCAAGUAACUUUUCUUCUGCUCCGUUUAGACUUGCCUUCUUCGAAACCAGGCCUGUCUUCGGGUCCAACGCCCCCCCAUGCGCAUAGAACCAAGUUCUGCACCUGGGGGGCCAGCUCCUAGUAACCGGAGUGACCCCUGCAUCCUCCAUCUCUUGCUCAGACUUAUCCCACUUAGGCAUUGCCACCGCGUAGCCACCUGGACCCAGCCUAUGGAACUGCGUCUUUUUUGCGGCAUUGGCCUUGUUUUUUCUCGACGUUCCUUAGAUAAUUCUGAUUCCUUGAAUUUCACGAAAGCGGGCCAGUGUUCUCUUUGCUUCUCCAGUGUUCCCUUGAAUUCUGGAGUCUUCCUUUCUGCAGUGAGGUAGUUGGCCCAUACAGUUUUCUUGUGGGUGUUGAAUGCAAUUGCCAUCUUCUUAAGAGCAGCGUCCUUGACUUUCUGCACAUCUGCAUCAGUGAAAUAAUCUGAUAGGGUGAAAUGUUCCAUCAGAGAUUUCCAAAGCUUUUGUUUUGCUCUGUCGUCGACCCAAGUAAUAUCUGGGCGUUUAGUUUUUGGCUCUUUCCAUUCUUGAAUGGAGAUCGGGAUUUGGUCCUUCACAAGAACUCCGCACUGACGAACGAACUUGCUCGCAAUGUUCUUAGGCGUGAGGGGUUCGCCACUAGCUUUGAUGGAAUCGAUGUUGUACUUUACACCCUCCUUCAACUUUUUGCUCGGGCCGCGCUUUGUCCUGCUGUCUGUAGAAGCAGAUUUGCUCGAUCCGGAGGGCUGAAAGAAGAAAGAUCGAUUCGUUAAUAUAUCUUCAAAUAAAAAAACAUGUGAUGAUCACUAGAUGACUGCUUAUAUAAAUAUACCUCGCCGGUAGUCUUUGUUAUUUCAAGAUCAACAUUGUAUUCGUCAUCAUAAUCAUUGUCUGCGUCAUCAUAAUCAUAAUCAUAGUUCAUGACUUCAUCAGCUCGGUCGUCGAGAUUGAAUAUCUUAUCAUCACCCUCCCCGGUAUUGUUCAGAUAUUGGGAGCCGUCAUUUGCUUCAUUUAGAUCAUCUGGCCUGCUAGGGCUGCGUAUGAUCUCGAACAGGGCCUCUUCUCCCUCUCUGCCGGUAUUGUCCGCCAUAGCUUUUAUUUAACUAAUACAAAAGAAAUAUAAAACAAUUAAGUAUUCAAAUUACAAUGCAUGGAUGCAAUCAAUAAGGAAAAACUGAAUCAUAUAGUACAUAAUAUGCAUCGUCUCGAAUAAUAUAUAAUCUCGAAUACAUCGUCUCGAAUAAUAUAUAAUCUCAAAUACAUCACUGGCUAGGUAGCUAAUAAAGAUCGAAUACUAUAGAAGAAUCUAGGCCACUCGCGGUUCCUGGGGCGCGGGCGGUGGACACCCAAAGACAAGGAACCAUCACAGAAUCAUAUCUCUGGUCAUCUGCCCAAAGAACCUGCCAGGUAUUGGAGAACCUGACGUCCAUAGCAGCCAUGUAGCGAUGGACGUGCUCGUCCUCCUCCCUGACACGACGACGCACCACCUCUGGCGGGGCCGGCUCCCUCUGCACCGAAUGUGGCCCACGCGAACGCCACUAAAGGAGAUCAGGGUCGACAACGGGACCCGAGGCUGGGUCCCUCACCAAGCGGCGCGCCCCUCCAGGUAGCACCUCCCAAUGCCAGCCCGGCGGAGCCCAAUCCCGGACAUGGGUCAGCCGGACGUCGUCGCGAACGGGUCGACGGCGAGGAUGCAGGCCGGGCAUCGUCGAGAACAAAUACUAUAUGCCCGCAAAAAGUAACAUUUUUUAAAAGAUUGGAUUGUGAUAACUAAAAUUCUAUAUGCAAAUUCUAACAAUUUGACAUUAAUCUAAUUCAUCUAACUAAAACUAAUUCUAAAAUUUCUAACAUUUCUAUAUAUAUAACUAACAUUUCUAUAACAUUUCUAAUAUUUCUAUAACUAAAAAACAGAAAAAUUGCUACGAUGACGCGGAUGGCGACGAGGGGGGCAGCGACGGGGGCGGCGACGACGGGGACGGGGACGGCCGGGGCGGCGACAACGGNNNNNNNNNNNNNNNNNNNNNNNNNNNNNNNNNNNNNNNNNNNNNNNNNNNNNNNNNNNNNNNNNNNNNNNNNNNNNNNNNNNNNNNNNNNNNNNNNNNNNNNNNNNNNNNNNNNNNNNNNNNNNNNNNNNNNNNNNNNNNNNNNNNNNNNNNNNNNNNNNNNNNNNNNNNNNNNNNNNNNNNNNNNNNNNNNNNNNNNNNNNNNNNNNNNNNNNNNNNNNNNNNNNNNNNNNNNNNNNNNNNNNNNNNNNNNNNNNNNNNNNNNNNNNNNNNNNNNNNNNNNNNNNNNNNNNNNNNNNNNNNNNNNNNNNNNNNNNNNNNNNNNNNNNNNNNNNNNNNNNNNNNNNNNNNNNNNNNNNNNNNNNNNNNNNNNNNNNNNNNNNNNNNNNNNNNNNNNNNNNNNNNNNNNNNNNNNNNNNNNNNNNNNNNNNNNNNNNNNNNNNNNNNNNNNNNNNNNNNNNNNNNNNNNNNNNNNNNNNNNNNNNNNNNNNNNNNNNNNNNNNNNNNNNNNNNNNNNNNNNNNNNNNNNNCGGGGGCGGCGGGCGACGGGGCAGAGGAGAAGAAGCAGAUGAAAACUGACGAAAUUUCUAAGUGCUGCUUAUAUAGGAUGGGCCUUUAGUACCGGUUGGAGCCACCAACCGGGACUAAAGGUCAAAUUUGGCCAGCCCAAGCGGCGGGAAGCGCACCCCUUUAGUACCGGGUGGUGGCACCAACCGGUACUAAAGACCCCCCUUUAGUACCGGUUGGAGCCACCACCCGGUACUAAAGGGUGUGCGCUGCUAGGCGAGGGGCGCAGAAGUUUAGUCCCACCUCGCUAGUUGAGGAGCGCCAGGACCAGUUUAUAAGCCCCGAUGCGGGCACUGCAUUGAGCUCCUCUCAAUAGUAGGCCUUCUGGGCCUACCUCUCCUACUCUGCCUGUGGGCCUACUGGGCUUGCGGGCCUGCAUCCUGGCCCAACUACAGGUUGGGUUUCUAGUCGUAUGCAGGCCGCUCUGGCCGAGUAGGUGGGCUUUUUUAUUUUCUUUUUUUUUUACUUUAUUUAUUUUUGAGUUGUUUUUUGCUGUAUUUAGAGUUUCUUUGGGAAUAUUUUUGCUUUAGGUACAAAAAAUUACAAAGUUUCUGUUAAUGCCGGUAGUUUACAAAUUUGAAUAGUUUAUAUUUUGAAUUAUUUGAAAUUUGUGUGAAUCACUAGUUUGUGAAUAACUUAACUUUGAAAAUAGAUUUUCAGUGAUUCUUUUAUCUUAUGUUUAAUAUUAGUGUGUUUUAUCAUUAUAUUCAAUUUGGUAAUGCUUAGGUUAUUUAAAAAAUGAAAUCCCUUUGUAACGGAUGAGUUUUUGUCCGAAACCCUGAUACUUCGAAAGAGAUUGUCCAUUUUAUACACGAAGUGCAUCCAGUUUUUGCGGUAACCCUCUCUAUUUUUUUGCACAUGCUAUAUGGGUGAAAUUAUGAUACCAUGCCAACUUUCAACCUUUUCUGAGUUCAUUUGAAAUGCUUUUCAAUUUCAGGGUCAUUUAGCUGAAAAAAUCAGUAAAUGCAUGAAAGAAUUUGUUUGCACAUAAAAUUUCUUCGCGUUUCAAAUGUCAAAACACAUAACUACCCUAACUAUUACAGAGAUUCCUUCCUGGGUGUGAAACACAGAAGAAAUUGAUGAUAGUGAAGCCGAUCACAUCCCAGAUCUUUGGGUGUGUAACUUUUUCUUCGCAUAUGUCCCUUUGCGCCGUAGCCAUGGAAAAUCUUCAUCAUUUAACUGGAUGCUCGGGUCAAUAUUCACUGUGAAUGGAGCAAUUUCAUCAAUCUUUUCAUAAUCUUCUGACAUGUCUGUCUUGUCAUCCACUCCCACGAUGUUUCUCUUCCCAGAAAGAACUAUGUGGCGCUUUGGCUCAUCGUAUGAUGUAGUCGCUUCCUUGUCUUUUCUUUUUCUCGGCUUGGUACACAUAUCCUUCACAUAGAAAACGUGUGCCACAUCAUUAGCUAGGACGAAUGGUUCAUCUGCAUACGCAAGAUUGUUGAGAUCUACUGUUGUCAUUCCAUACUGCGGGUCUUCCGUUACCCCAUAUCGUGUCAUAUUGACCCAUUUGCACCGAAACAAAGGGACCUUCAAAUCACGUCCAUAGUCAAGUUCCCAUAUCUCCUCUAUGUAACCAUAAUAUGUUUCCUUUCCCGUCUUGGUUGUUGCAUCAAAGCAGACACCACUGUUUUGGUUGGUGCUCUUCUUAUCUUGGGCGAUCGUGUAAAAUGUAUUACCAUUUAUCUCGUACCCUUUGAAAGUCAUUAUAUUCGUAGAUGGUAACUAGGACAGCGAGUACACAUCAUCUUCAAUAGAGGCGUCAUGCAUGGUACGUGUCUGCAACCAGCCGGCGAAACUCCUGGUUUGUUCACGUGUAAUCCAGUCAUCAGACCGCUCCGGGUGUUUGGAGCGUAGAAAAUUCUUGUGUUCGUCCAUAUACGGAGCCACCAAGGCGGAAUUCUGUAUAACUGUGUAGUGUGCUUCAGUGAGAGAAUGUCCGUCCAUACAUAUUUUUUGAUUCCCUCCUAGCGUGCCUUUUCCAUCUAGUCUGCCCUUAUGCCGCGAUUCAGGAACACCAAUCGGCUUAAGGUCAGGAAUAAAGUCAAUACAAAACUCAAUGACCUCCUAAUUUUCAUGGCCCUUGGAGAUGCUUCCUUCUGGCCUAGCACGGUUAUGAACAUAUUUCUUUAAGACUCCCAUGAACCUCUCAAAGGGGAACAUAUUGUGUAGAAAUACAGGACCCAAAACACUAAUCUCUUCGCAUAGGUGAACUAGGACGUGCGUCAUGAUGUUGAAGAAGGAUGGUGGGAACACCAACUCAAAACUGACAAGACUAAUCGAACGUUGAGGAAUGCACGCAUAGCUUCACAAUGGCUAAUCGAACGUUAUCCGGUAGAAGCCCCCUCAAUGCAACCGGAAGCAGUUGCGUCAUAAUCACGUGGCAGUCAUGAGACUUUAGGUUCUGGAACUUUUUCUCUGCCAUGUUUAUUAUUCCCUUUAUAUUCGACGAGAAGCCAGACGGUACCUUAAUACUGAGCAGACAUUCAAAGAAGAUUUCCUUCUCUUCUUUGGUAAGAGCGUAGCUGGCAUGACCCUGAUGUAUGCCGUCUUUUCCAUGCAUACGUUGCUAGUCCUCCCGUGCCUCAGGUGUAUCUUUUGUCUUCCCAUACACGCCCAAGAAGCCAAGCAGGGUCACGCAAAGAUUCUUCGUCACGUGCAUCACGUCGAUUGCAGAGCGGACCUCUAGAUCUUUCCAAUAGGGCAGGUCCCAAAAUAUAGAUUUCUUCUUCCACAUGGGUGCGCGUCCGUCAGCAUCAUUCGGAACAGGUUGUCCGCCAGGACCCUUUCCAAAGACUACCUUCAAAUCCUUGACCAUAUCAUGUACAUCAGCACCAGUACGGUGGCGAGGCUUCGUCCGGUGAUCCGCCUCACCUUUGAAAUGCUUGCCUUUCUUUCUUACGGGAUGCCUGCUCGGAAGAAAUCGACGAUGUCCUAGGUACACAUUCUUCCUACAAUUGUCCAAAUAUAUACUGUCGGUAUCAUCCAAACAGUGCGUGCAUGCGCGGUAUUCCUUGUUUGUCUGUCCUGAAAGGUUACUGAGAGCAGGCCAAUCAUUGAUGGUCACGAACAGCAAGGCCUUUAGGUCAAAUUCUUCCCCCAAGUGCUCAUUCCACGCACGUACACCUGUUCCAUUCCACAGCUGUAAGAGUUCUUCAACUAAUGGCCUUAGGUACACAUCAAUGUCGUUGCCGGGUUGCUUAGGGCCUUGGAUGAGGACUGGCAUCAUAAUGAACUUCCACUUCAUGCACAACCAAGGAGGAAGGUUAUACAAACAUAGAGUCACAGGCCAGGUGCUAUGGUUGCUGCUCUGCUCCCCAAAAGGAUUAAUGCCAUCUGCGCUUAGACCAAACCAUACGUUCCUUGCGUCAUCUGCAAACUCCUUCCCGUACUUUCUCUCAAUUUUUCUCCACUGCGACCCGUCAGCGGGUACUCUCAACUUUCCGUCUUUCUUACGGUCUUCUCUGUGCCAUCGCAUCGCCUUGGCAUGCUCUUUGUUUUGGAACAAACGUUUCAACCGUGGUAUUAUAGGAGCAUACCACAUCACCUUGGCAGGAAUCUUCUUCCUGGGGCACUCGCCCUCGACAUCACCAGGGUCAUCGCGCCUGAUCUUAUAGCGCAAUGCACCGCAUACCGGGCAAGCGUUCAAAUCCUCGUACUCACCGCGGUAGAGGAUGCAGUCAUUAGGGCAUGCAUGUAUCUUCUGCACCUCUAACCCUAGAGGGCAGACAGCCUUCUUUGCUUCGUACGUACUCUCGGGCAAUUCGUUGUCCUUUGGAAGCAUAUUCUUUAUCAUUACCAGCAACUUUCCAAAUCCCUUGUCAGAUACACCAUUCUCUGCCUUCCAUUGCAGCAAUUCCAGUGUGGUGCCCAACUUUUUCUUGUCAGCUUCGCAAUUCGGGUACAACAAUUUCUUGUGAUCCUCUAACAUGCGCUGCAACUUCUUCUCCAAAUCACUUGCGCAGUUUCUCUUUGCAUCGGCAAUGGCCCGACCUAGAUCAUCAGCGGGCUCAUCUGAUGCCUCUUCUUCAGCUUCUUCCCGCAUUGCCGGCUCAGCUUCUUCCCUCAUUGUUGUAUCAUCGUAUUCAGGGAACCCAUGGCCAGGAUAGUUGUCGUCGUCCUCUUCUUCUUCAUUGUCUUCCAUCAUAACCCCUCUUUCUCCGUGCUUGGUCCAAACAUUAUAGUGGGGCAUGAAACCAGGACUUAAACAGGUGGACGUGAAUGGUUCUUGACGUAGAGUAAUUGUGAUCAUUCUUACAGACUAAACAUGGACAAGGCAUAAAACCAUCCGCCCGCUUGUUUGCCUCAGCCGCAAGCAGAAAAGUUUGCACGCCAUUAAUGAACUCGGGAGAGCAUCGGUCAUCGUUCAUCCAUUGUCGGCUCAUCUUCAUUACACAACACCGAAUAGACCAAAUUAAUACAAGUUCAUACAUAAAGUUCAUACAAGCCUUAAAUGCAACAAACAAAUAACUCUCUAACUAAAAAAUUUAAAUGCAACAACAAAUGCGAUCAAGAUCGCAACUAAGGUGACAAUUGAUCCAACAACAUAAUGAUACCAAGCCUCACUAUCAAUGGCAUAUUUUCUAAUCUUUCUAAUCUUCAAACGCAUUUUCUCCAUCUUGAUCUUGUGAUCAUCGACGACAUCGGCAACAUGCAACUCCAAUUCCAUCUUCUCCCCCUCAAUUCUUUUCAAUUUUUCUUUCAAAUACUCGUUUUCUCUUUCAACUAAAUUUAACCUCUCGACAAUAGGGUCGGUUGGAAUUUCCGGUUCACAAACCUCCUAGACAAAAAUAUCUAUGUCAACUUGAUGGGCAUAAUUUGUCAUAAACACGAAAUGCAACAACUAGUUUUAAAAGAGAAUAUACCACAUCCGAAUCAUAAUAAGGAUGAGGGCCGACGGGGACGGAUAUCAAAACCAUGGCACUAUGUAUAACAAACAAUGUACGGGUAAGAUAAUUAUACGAGUAACUAUAUAUCCAAAUCACACAAACAUCAAUUUGGUAAUGUAAAACAUUCAUGAACAAGAGGCUCACCACAAGGUGGUGCCGGCGACGGAACGGUGUGGGCGAUCGACUGUGGUUACGAUAGAGAUUUAGAAGGCACUAAGUAAACCACACCUACAUAUGCAAACUAAGUGUUAGUUUUGACCACAAAUUGCAUAUAAGUCAAAUACUAGCACAUAUAUUUUCUACCAAAUUACUAAACUCAUAAAUUAAUCACUAUACAAAGCAUUGCAAGAGCUAAUCUAGCAAUGAGAGAUGAAAGGACAAAGUUGCUAACCUUUGUGGUCAUUUGAAUGGAUGGGGGCCUUCAAAUCUUGACAAAUUUUGGGCAAAAUGUGUGAUGAGCUCGAGAGGAAGAGGGGAAGAACAUAGAGGAGAGGGGAAAGGGGAAGAACAGAGCGAGCUCGGGUGGACGAAAGGCUUAUGUACGACGACCUUUAGCAUCGGUUCGUGCCACGAACCGGUACUAAAGGUGCUGGAGGGGCCCCGGACUGACAACAUCCUUCCACCUCUCACUUUAGUACCGGUCCGUAGCACGAACCGGUGCUAAAGGUCGGCCACGAACCAGUACUAAUGAAAGCAGCUGGCUAGCCGUUGGAACCGGCACUAAUGCACACAUUAGUGCCGGCUCAAAAGCAAACCGGCACUAAUGUGCUUGACAUUUGACCCUUUUCUACUAGUGAUUCAAGUAAAUAGAUGCCUAAUGCAUGUUGAAAUAAAAGUUUGCUUUACAUUCUGUUUGCACAAUUGUGUUUUUUACAAAGUCUUUAAAACAAGACCAAUAUUGAAUAUAUUUUUAGAAAUUAAUUUUUGACAACUAAAUCACCAUGCUUCGAACUUGUUCCAUACAUAUUUAUUAAUUCCAUGUGAAAAUUUUAAUAAUGUACAUUUCACAAAUUAUUAUCUUAUUGUUUCACUAUGGCUCCCCAUGUUCCGUUGCAUUUCAUAAUGAUACAUUGUGUGCCAAUGUGUAUCAAACUGAUUCUUAGUAAUCUAAAAGUUUGUAAAUAUUAAUAUAUUUUAUUGCAACAAAACUUUGGCCUUAUCUAGUGUUUAACAAAACAUGGCAUAGUUAUGUGUACUCUUAUAGUGUUUCACUAUGUUUCAGAAUUUAAAUUUUAAAAAUUAUUGAAAUAUAUUCAAAAGUGGUCUCUUUUCAAAGGUCUCGUUGUCAAAAACACAAAUAUGAAACCGGAUCAUAAAUUGUACUUUUGGUUCAUAAGACCAAUUAGAUUUGAACUUGGAAAUAAAAUGAAAAAGUAUGAAAUGGUGGAACGUAGGUGGAACAGUGUACUUGCAUGUGAUGAAAGAAAUAACUAACUAACUGCCAGCGGUAUAAAUGCAUGGCAUCGGAUCUCCAAACAAACCAACGGCGCAUGCAUGCACGGUACCUCCCGUGCAUGGGAGAUUAGCUUUUCUCUAUUUUGGGGGAUACUGUGCCAGUUCAGACUUGGCGUUUGGCAGCGUGGCCUGUUCAUGUGUUUGAUUGGGCGUAGUAGUGUGUGGGUACUUCAGUUAGAUGGUAUGCAGCGGAUCGAGUCUAUCGACCGUGUGGCGAUGCCUGUAGAUUGUAGCACUAAAAUAUGAUGCUCAUUCAUAAACUAAUUUAGAUAAAGCCGCAAAAAAAAUGUGCUAGUUUUUUUUUGUGCUCACAUACUCUGUUUUGUCUCAGUUUUAGUCCAGGGCAACUUUGAAGCUUAUCUUAGGGUGGUAGCCAGAAAAAUGUGUUAAAGACCUUAUUAAGAAGUGAAGAAGAAUAGGCGUCUCCAGUUUUUGUUUCUCCAACUCUAUGCCUACACUGUAAUAUUAUUGAUGGAUUAGCUCCAGUUGAUGCAACUGUACUCUUUCUGGUAGGUCUGAGAUGCGAGUGAGCCAGAUCGAUCCUGAGCUAGCUACUUGUCUCCCUUAAGUCUUACAGCAAGACAAAUGCACUGGACUACAAAGAGGAAAUUCCUGCAGGUUCGUAAUGCAUCUGUUUUGGUUCUGGCAUUUGUCAGAUGUGUAUAGUCCCUUUUCGGUUCUUUCCCGUUGUAUAAGGGGUUUCCUGCAUUUCACCACACAUGUAUAUGUAAUGGCCUUUGACCCUCAGUGAAUACUAGUUGCUGUUUAUCCAACAUGGUAUCAGAUGUUAGGUUCCUCUCUCUCCUGCACGCUGCAACUCCGUGCUAGCUCGCCUCCCCUGAUUCGCUUCGUCCCCUUGCCAUCCGGCUGAUGCUGCUCUCUGGCCGAUUCCGGCUGCCCCCGACCUGAGCUCCGCCCGGUCCUCCUCGUCGUGGAUCCGCCGGGGCCUGCUCGAUCCGGCCUCCCCGGCCUAUCCACGGCCAGGCUCGGCCACCCCUCGCCGCGGAUCCAACCGGGACCUGCUCGUCCCGUGCUCGGCCGUAGCCCUCCUUGCCGCUCGGCCACCCCGCGGAUCCGCCUAUGCCCGACCGGGGCCCUCCUCGCCGUGGAUCCGGUCUCUCCGGCCCGUCCAAUGCCAGGCUCGGCCCGGCCGCCGCCGCCUCCUGCCGGCCGGCCGCCGUCGCCCCUUUCUCCGCCUCGCCUUGGAUCCGGCCGGGGUCUGCUCGUCCCGUGCUCGUCGGGUCCUUGCUUGGCCGCUCGUCUGCCUGGCCGCUCGUCCCGUGCUCCUGCACUCGGGUUCGGCCCUCUGUGGUCAAUGUGUGUUGCCUAUAGUUGACCCUGUGUAAAAAAACCCAAUGAGCUCGUCAUGUCUCCGUCAGGCUAUGUGGCUGUUCCUCGGUGCUCGGUGAUCUUCGAUGGCACCAACUAUGCUGAGUUUGUGGGUUUCAUGCGCAUUCACAUGCGUGGUCUUCUCCUGUGGGGCGUUCUCUCUGGCGAGGUUCCAUGUCCGCCUUGCCCUGUUGCUCCUGUGGCUCCUAUCCCGCCGGUGCCGCCUGUUCUUGCUGUUGAUGCUUCUCAGGCUGAUCGGGAUACAGCCAAGGCCCUUGACGAUGCCGCGGUUGAUGCUUAUGAUCAGCAGGUAUCCGCCUACUCAGAUGCUCUUUCUGCUUACCGAAACGAUUUGUCUGCUUACACUCAGUGGUGCAACGAUGAUGCUCGAGCUACUGCUGUUCUCACUUCGAGUGUCUUACCUCAGUUUGCAUCUGAGUUCAUGGGUCUCAGUAUUGUUGCUGCGAUGUGGUCCUAUCUUUGUCAGUGAUAUCAGCCCUCUGGUGAUGCUCUCUACUUAUCUGUGGUGCAUCAGGAGCACGCUCUUCACCAGGGUGACCCUUCUGUUGAUGAGUUCUACUCACAGAGCUCUGCCAUCUGGCGCCAGAUUGACUCUCUCAGGAUAGUUGUUUGUGGUUCUUGCCGUUGUUGCCAGACUGUACGGUCAGACUUGGAGUUUCAUCGUCUCCAUGAGUUCUUAUCUCACCUUCAUCCAGAGUUUGAGCCUCGGCGUGCUCACCUGCUUGCUCGUGGUCGUGUUCCUAUUUUGGAGGUGCUUGUAGAGCUUCCUGCCGAGGAGACACGCCUCCGUUCUGCUGGUCUGCUUGUGGUUCCCACUGUGCUUGCUGCCCGAGCUCCUGUGUCGUCUGCUCGCCUCACCACUCGACCACUCCUGCCCACACCUCCAGGGGGUGGUUCACCCUCCUUCAGGCGAGGGUCGAUCGCGCUCGCACACCUUCCGUGGCUACUGCAACAGGCCAGGUCACCCAAAGUCUGAUUGUCACAAGAAGCGGAAAGACCUGAAGCGCUCUUCUUCUAGUGGGACUCGUGCGUCUUCCUCGACUUCGUCGCUCAUUGACCAGGAUAUUGUGCGGCUCAAGCGCAUGUUGGCUUCCUCUGGUUCUUCCUCGACGGGUUCUGUUGCCGCUGUGACUACCACUACCACUCCGCCGCCGUCGGAGCCUACUCAGUGAGGUACAUCCUCGUGGGUUCUGGAUUCUGGAGCUUCUUUCCAUAUGUCUUUUGACUCUUCUGCUUUAUCUUCUCUUCGACCUCUUGAUUUUCCUCUUAAUGUUCUCACUGCCGAUGGCACACCCCUUCCUGUUACUAGUCGUGGCAUUCUUUCCACUCCGUCUUUUUCGGUUCCUAGUGUUUCUCAUGUUCCUCGUCUUACCAUGAAUCUUUUUUCCGCUGCCCAACUUACUGAUUCUGGUUGUCGUGUCAUUCUUGAUGCCGACUCUUGUUCUGUUCAGGAUCGUCGCACUCAGGCUCUGGUUGGCGCUGGCCCUCGGCGCGGUGAGUCUAAGGGACUUUGGGAGGUUGACUGGCUUCGUGUUCCUUCCGCUGCUACCACAUACACCAGCUCUCAUGCUCUUGUUGCCUCCUCUUCUGCGUCCUUCCAGCAGUGGCAUCAUCGACUUGGUCACAUCUGUGGCUCUCGCUUGUCCUCCUUAGUUCACCAAGGCGUCUUAGGGUCUGUCUCUGGUGAUGUUUCGUUGCAUUGUGAUGGUUGUAGGCUUGGAAAACAGACUCAGUCACCUUAUCCUACCAGUGAGUCUAUAUCUCAGCGUCCUUUUGACUUAGUUCAUUUUGAUGUAUGGGGUCCUGCUCCUUUUGACUCGAAAGGGGGUCAUCGCUAUUAUGUUUUGUUUAUUGAUGAUUUCUCUCUCUACACUUGGCUUUAUUGUAUGAAAUCUCGCAGCGAGGUUCUCCCCAUAUACAAGCGUUUUGCUGCCAUGGUUCGCACUCAAUUUUCCACGCCUGUCCGUAUCUUCCGUGCUGACUCAGCUGGAGAGUAUAUCUCUCACAUGUUGCGUGGUUUUCUUGCGGAGCAGAGUACUCUUGCCCAAUUCUCUUGCACUGGUGCACAUCCUCAGAAUGGCGUUGCUGAACACAAACAUCGCCAUUUGCUUGAGACGGCUCGGGCGAUGAUGAUCGCCGCCUCUCUUCCACCCCAUUUUUGGGCUGAGGCCGUUUCAGUAUCCACCAGCUCGUCAACAUUCAGCCAUCGGCUGCCUUGAAGGGUGGUAUUCCUAUGGAGCGUCUCUUUGGUCCUGACUACUCUGCUCUUCGCAUGUUUGGAUGCAUGUGCUAUGUUCUCCUUGCUCCGCGAGAACGAACCAAGUUGACUGCUCAGUCAGUUGAGUGUGUUUUCCUUAGCUAGAGUGAUGAGCACAAGGGCUAUCGCUGUUGGGAUCCUGUUGGUCACCGACUGCGCAUUUCGCGUGAUGUGACUUUUGAUGAGUCUCGUUCUUACUAUCCGCAUCCCUCCUCCUCGAGCUUUUCCGUGGAAGAUAUUUCCUUUCUUCUCCUUCCCGACACAUCUCCCUCUGUGUCUCCUGUUAUUCCCUCUCCCCCGAUGAGUCUCCCUACACCAUCGGUACCAUCAUCCCCUCCCUCCUCCUCCUGUCCCUCGUCAUCUCCCUCCCCACCCUCCUCCCCAGUCUUUCGCCCUCACUCCCCUUCUCCUCUCCACUACACUCGUCAUCCUCAUGCUGUGGAUGAUCCUACUGAUGUGCCCUCUACUUCCGGUGCACCUCCUCUCACGCCUACACCGGUCCAUAACCUUUGCGUUAGGCCUUGUCCCCCACCUGAUCGCUAUUCUCCUGACCAGUAUGGUCUUUCUGCCAUUGCUGAGCCCACCACCUAUCGAGCUGCCAUGACUCGGCCUGAAUGGCAGCUUGCCAUGGCCGAGGAGCUUGCGGCGCUUGAGCGCAAUGGCGCGUGGGAUCUGGUUUCUCCUCCUUCUGGUGUUUGUCCCAUCACGUGCAAGUGGGUCUAUAAGAUUAAGACUCGCUCUGAUGGUUCUCUUGAGCGUUACAAAGCUCGUCUUGUGGCUCGUGGCUUUCAGCAGGAACAGGGGCGUGAUUAUGACGAGACUUUUGCUCAUGUGGCCCAUAUGACCACUGUCCGCACUCUACUUGCUGUGGCUUCUGUUCGUCAUUGGCCUGUGUCUCAGCUUGACGUUCAGAACACCUUUCUCAAUGGCGAGUUGCGUGAGGAGGUUUAUAUGCAGCUACCACCGGGGUACUAUGCUCCUGAUGGUAUGGUCUGUAGACUUCGCCGCUCCCUCUAUGUGUAGGAUCGGAAGUAUGUCUAGAGGGGGGGGGGGUGAUUAGACUACUUGACCAAAUAAAAAUCUAGCCUUUUCCCAAUUUUAGUUCUUGGCAGAUUUUAGCAACUUAGCACAAGUCAAACAAUCAACCUACACAUGCAAUUCUAAGAGUAUAGCAGCGGAAAGGUAAAGCAAUUGCAUAUGAAGGUAAAGGGAUGAGUUUGAGGGAGCAAACGCAAUGUUGACAUAGAGAUUUUUUAUCCGUGGUUCCGAUAGGUGGUGCUAUCGUACAUCCACGUUGAUGGAGACUUCAACCCACGAAGGGUAACGGUUGCGCGAGUCCACGGAGGGCUUCACCCACGAAGGGUCCACGAAGAAGCAACCUUGUCUAUCCCACCAUGGCCGUCGCCCAUGAAGGACUUGCCUCACUAGGGUAGAUCUUCACGAAGUAGGCGAUCUCCUUGCCCUUACAAACUCCUUGGUUCAACUCCACAAUCUUGUCGGAGGCUCCCAAGUGACACCUAGCUAAUCUAGGAGACACCACUCUCCAAGAAGUAACAAAUGGUGUGUUGAUGAUGAACUCCUUGCUCUUGUGCUUAAAAUGAUAGUCUCCCCAACACUCAACUCUCUCUCAUAGGAUUGGAUUUGGUAGAAAGAAGAUUUGAGUAGAAAGCAACUUGGGAAGGCUAGAGAUCAAGAUUUAUGUGGUUGGAAUGGAAUAUCUUGAACUCAACACAAGUGUAGGUGGUUCUCUCUCAGAAAAUAUGUAUUGGAAGUGUAGGCAUGUUCUGAUGGCUCUCUCCACGAAUGAAGAGUGGGUGGAGGGGUUUAUAUAGCCUCCACACAAAAUCUAACUGUUACACACAAAUCACCAAACUCGGUGGGAGCGAUUCAAAGAACUCGGUCAGACCGAUUUGGUUCAUAAUGUGAACGUUAGGAUUCUCGGUGGGACCGACAUGUCAACUCUGUGGGACUGAUGUCAUUAGGGUUAGGGCAUAACGUAAUCUCGGUGAGACCGAUUACACAAACUCGGUGAGUCCGAUUUUGGUAAUAGCCAAACAGAGUGUUGGUCUGGCAAACUCGGUGGGACCGAUUCGCUCAUCUCGGUUGGACCGAAAUGUUACGAAAGGGAAACAGAGAUUUUGCAUUGUAAUCUCGGUGGGACCGAUCGCUCAUCUCGGUUUGACCGAAACGUUACGAAGGGAAACAGAGAGUUUGCAACCCCAUCUCGGUGAGACCGAGAUCCCUAUCGGUGAGACCGAAUAGAUUAGGGUUUCUGGCAGUGGCUAUGUCAACUGAACUCGGUGGCUCUGGAUGGAAAGAAUCGGUGGGGCCGAGUUGGACUUUUUGGUUUAGGACAUAUGUGGAUAUGAGAAAGUAGUGGAGGGUUUUGGAGCAUAUCACUAAGCAUUUUGAGCAAGAAUCUCAUUAAGCAACACCUCAUCCCUUCUUAAUAGUAUUGGCUUUUCCUAUAGACUCAAUGUGAUCUUGGAUCACUAAAAUGAAAAAUGUAGAGUCUUGUGCUUUGAGCUUGAGCCAAUGUUUUGUCCUUAGCAUUUUGAAGGGUCCACUUCCUAAUCCAUGCCAUGCCAAACAUUGAGCUUUCCUAAAAUAUUUAUCUUGGAAUAGCAUUAGCUCAGUGAGCUAUAUGUUGUUAGGAAUUACCAAAACCACCCAGGGAUAGUUGCACUUUCAAUCUCCCCCUUUUUGGUAAUUGAUGACAACAUAUAGAUCAAAGCUUCGACAAAUGAUAAAUAAGAUUGAAAAACAUCGUCGCUUUGAGAAGUAUGUGAUAAGCAAGAGCUCCCCCUAAAUUUGUGCAUUAUUUAAGAUUUGCUUUUGAAUGCAAAUGCACAAUCGAUUAGGAUCAUGGGUUACUCUUCCAUGUCACAUACAUCUUGGUGGAGCACUCAAAUGAUAGAGAUUAAAAGCAUGCACUCAUCACCAAGCAAAGUGAAUGAUCAUAAUAGGAUAUGAAAGAUAGCAUUAUCCAACAAGCAUUAAGGGUAGCAUAUGAUCAAACACUUGACCAAAUAAGUAUCUCACAAGGACACAAAGUAGUAUCACACAAGCACGCAGUAAAGUUUCAAACCAACCAAAAAAGAGUGCAAAGAGAGAUAAAAACCAACACUCUCUCUCUCGAAGCCUAUGAUCUAUACAUUUUUCUCCCCCUUUGGCAACAAGUUACCAAAAAGUUUGAAAAUGCAUAGUUCUAAACGACUCUCAGGCUUGAUCUUCGGGAGGUGGUGUUGAGAGAACGCCAAGGACGAAGGCUUCUGAUGAAGUGGCUGGAGCUGGUGGAGUAGCUACUGGCGUUGGAACUGGAGCUGUGGCUGCUGGUGCUGAUGUUGUAGCUCUAGUGUCUGUCACUGGCACUGCAGUAGAUCUCUGUCCUCUGGGCACUCUAGCAAAUGCAUCUGUGGUAGACUUGCCCUUCUUCUCCUCUGCUUCCUCCUGAGGUUGCUCAACUGCUCUUUGGAUCUCAGUUACCUUGACAUCAAGGUCAUAGAAUUUUGUCUCAACAAUCCUUUCCAAGCUCUCCUGGUUCUUGGUCAGGGUGGCCAAGCCCUGCUCAAUCCUCAGAGUGGAUUGGAUCAGAUAUGCAAGCUGGUCGUGCUUGCUCUUCAAGAAUACAUGAGAUGCCUCUUCCAUAGUUGGCAUCUUUGCAACUUUCGCAGCUUUAGCCUUCUCUCUCUUUUCUUGUGCUUGCACAAAUGAUGGUUCAUUCUCAGUCAUGACAACAGUGUUGUCCUCAAAUUCAGGAUAGAUGGGUAGAUGCUCCUUGUCCAAGAUGUACUUGCCUUUGCCCAUCUUUGAGUUGAUGAGCUCCUGGAUGUGUGGGGCAUAUCCACAACUUCGCUUCUGAUCGGCUGCAGUCCUCUUGAUUGUUUCCACAAUCAGGCUCAUAACCUUGAAUUUUUGUGGGACAUCAAAUAUGUGCAGCAAGUUGAUAGCAUGUCCUCUGAUCAUCUUGUGAUCACCUGACUUGGGUAGAAGUGUGUGCCUCAGAAUCCAAUUGAUUGUUGGCAGACCAGACAACAAAUAGUGUACAGAUCCAAACUUAUGUGUGUCCAAAGCAUCAUCAGGGAUCUCUUCGUACAUAUUUGCCAUAGAGUUGUGGUCUUUCUUCUUCUUGUCAUAGACAUCCAAGUCAUCCUCAUGUUCCUCAGGAGCAUUUAUUAGUUUUGCCCAUUCUUCAACUGUAAACUGGUACCUAGUACCCUCAGACAUCCACACAAUCCUUCCAUCUGGAUAGAAGUGUGCAGUGGAGUAAAAUUGCAUAAUGAGCUCAUCAUUCCACUUGGUGAACUUCCGAGCCACAAACUCAUCAACUCCACAUGCCUUGAAGUUUUCAUAUACACCAGGGAAGUGAUCCUCAUUUUCCUUAAUGAAUUUCCAAUCAACCCAUCUCAUGUCACACACUAUGGGCUUCUUGUCAAGUAAGGCAGCCUCAUAGAAGUCCUGUUGUUCCUUAGUGUGGAAUGUGUAGUCCAUAGUAGUCCUUCUCCUGGUGGCAUAUGGAUCAGACUCUCUCCAUAGCCUCAAUCCUGAAUCCUUCCUGAUUUUCAUGUUCUCUGCAACUGGGUGUGCAUCAUUGUGAUCAGGGAUCUUGGGCUUCAGCUUUCUCAAAAUGACAGAAUCAUCUUCUUCUUCUUCAGCAGCUUGAGGCACUGGGGCCUUGUUCUUCUCCUCAGCAGGGAUGUUCCUAGUGCUCCUCUUGGGUUUUGGUUUUGGAGCUGGAGCAGCAGCCUUGGGAGCAGCUUUGGGCUUAGAUGGAGCAGCCCCUGAUCUGAUUGCAUCUCCCAUGAGCUUUUGAGCUUUGGGUGCUGGUGCAGCAUCCUCUUCCUCUUCCUCUUCAGAAUCUUUCCUCAUUGAGGGCUUCCCAAGAACUCUAGAAGUAGUGGUUCUGGCCCUCUUCUUCUUCUUAUCCUCACCAGCUGCUUCUUCUUCAGAUUCAAUGGUGAACUUCAUAGUUUCACCUGUGGCAACUUUUCUUGGCUUAGACAUGGGCUGUCUUCCUGCUGGCCUCUUUGUUUUCAGACCUGGCUUAGUUGCAGCAGCUGAGCCAUACUCUUUCUUCAGCACUUUCUUCUUUGAAGUGGCUUCAUCUUCAACAGCCACAUAGUCUUCAUCCUCAGAGUCAGAAGUUCUCUUCUUCCUUGACCUGGUGGCAGCUUUUGGCAAGUUGCUUGGAGUGCUCCUGCUGCCUUCAUCAUAGCUGCUAGAGGGACUAGUGCCCUCACUCAACUGAACCUGUUCCUCUGACUUGUUCUGGCUGUCACUUUGGUCAGACAUCUUGCAGGCAAACUGUCAGCAGACCCUGUGAACAGGUUAUAGAUGAGGUAGAGUAGAUGAGCAUCACAAAGCACAGGAGUUUUUGCAAAAUAGAUGACUUAAAAACUUAGUUUUAGUUCUUCAUAGAAAGCAUUUCGGAUCUACCGUUUUGUAAACUCGGUGAUACCGAAGCAGCUUUUGGAACCUGAACUAGUGAACUCGGUCAGACCGAGUCACAGUUCGGUGGCACCGAGACUGCUAGGGUUUCACAGAGAAUUGAACUCGGUCACACCGAUUUGCAAUUUUCGGUCGGACCGAAAAUGCGUGUGCUCUGGCCUAAGCCAAAAUCGGUGAGACCGAUUUCUACAACUCGGUCGGUCCGAGAUGAAUUCGGCGGAGACCUAACCCUAAAUUUUCAAAUCAAAACUAAUCUACGGGACGUUUUCGCUGGACAGGAUGAUUUCAGUUGUGGCAAGAAACAUGGCAAAGCAAUGUGCUAAGAAUUGGAGUUAAAGAUUAGCACAAUGAUAAAGUCCGUACCCUAGUGCGGCGACGAACUUGCUACGUCGGCAACGGCGGAGAUGAUUUCCGUUGACGGCGGCGGAGACCAGCGGCGGGAGGACGCUGGCGACGAGAGGACGAUCCGGAGACCAGAGGAGGCAGAGUAGGUUACGCGCGGGCGAAGGGGUUCGGAGAAAUUUCCAAAUUUUGACCCAGCGGUAUAUAUAACCUGACCCUGUCGGUGUGACCGAGUGGAACGACUCGGUGGCACCGAGAUGCAAAACUGCAAGCAGUUACUGCAACUCGGUGUGACCGAAAUGUUCUAAUCGGUUGCACCGAGAUUGAAAACUCUAGAUCAACUUGGUGACUCGGUAGGACCGAAAAGGAUGAAUCGGUCAGACCGAGGUGCACAAAGAGGUUUGGAGGUUUAAGUCUAUGACGAAUCGGGAUCUCCGAGUGCUCCUCACACAGAGUGGUUCGAAUCUGACUUGAUCAAACUUUGUGAUGUAGCAUGAAUAGAGUUUGAGACGAGAAAAGCAUAGAUAGCUAGAGGGUGUUCUUAGGCAUUCUUGUCCAUCCAUUUGGCAAAAGAGAAAGAGCCAAACAAUCAAAACAACAAAUGGAUGUCCUCGAAUGAGUAAAAUAUGCAACCAACAUGCUCACACAAUAAAAUGGCAAAUGAAAUAUGUGAAAAAGCAUGCACAAACAUUCUAGCAUCUAUCAAGCAAUUGGCGAUGACUAGGUCAUCUAUAUAUGAGUAUAUUGACUUAGGAGUCAAAUGAGAACAUUUGAUCAUAGGUCAUACUCAUCGUUUAAGCACAAGUGGGGUUACCACUUUUACAUAAAGAAUUGUUGUGUUCACACCAUUAGAGUUGCUUUAGCUCAUUGAUUUGAGUAAAGCUCCCCCUAGAUGUGAUAUUCCCCCUAAAGGGAAUGAACUAACCUUGGGUUUUGUCGAUGAUGACUUCAUGUAGGUGUUGAAGAUGUAGAUGCUCAAUGUUGAUGUAGAUCAUUUGGAGCAAUCCUUUGGAGUGAGUUGCGCUUUCAAUACCUUGUCCCUUGUCUUACCAACAAGAGGGUUUGUGACUCCUUGAACUAGUGCAAGAUAUGGAAGUUGUUUGCACUUGUCCUUGCCAAAAUGAUAGGAGUGAAGUAUGUUGGCGGAGUCACCCUCAAGAACUCUCUAGUUCUUCUUCUUCUGGAUCCACACCAUCUUGAUGGGAACCCUUGGAGUCGUAGUUGUACUUGAUGAAGUGGAACUUGAUGUAGUCUUGGGAACCCACUUGACAAAGGCCUUAGGUGCUUCUUCAAAUGCAUCAAUUUCCUCUUGAAGCUUAUCCUUGCAUUUUUGCUUGUGGUCUUGUGGUGGAAGAUCAUCUUGAGCUUGUGUUCCUUUGAGAGAAGUAGGAUCAUACUUCUCUUGUUGAGGAACAAACUUCGUCUUGGGGUAUUGAUCUUCUUCCCACUCAACUCCAUUGGCAUCGAACUUCCGUUCAAAACCAACACCUUGAUUCUUCCGGUGUCUUCCUUGCUUGCGCACAAUUUCCUCAAAAUGCUUACUUCCGGCAAGACUCUUGUAAACACCUUUCUCUAUGAUUCCCUUCAAUAAGCUAUUUUCUUGCUCAAGUGUAACUAGGCUAAGAGAAUCAUUAGUGGAAUCAAGAGAACUACUAGAAGCAUCAACAUUGGAUUUAGCAUGAUUGUUGUUACUACUAGAUGAAGAAUCUUUCUUGUUCUUGUUGCUAGAUUUAACUUGUGGCAUGUAAGUAGACAAGAGUAAACGCUUGGCAAUGUAAGAAGAACUUUUCUUGCGAAGAUCAUCAUUGAUUGCCUUUAAAAACUCAUGCUCUUGCUCAAGGUUGAGCUUUUCAAAGCGUAGCUUAUCAUGAGUCUUUAAAAGUUCUCGAUGAUUUUCCAAGGUAGUUUCAUGAGCUAACUUAAGAGUGUUUAGUUCUUGAGUUAGACGCUCAAUCUCCUUCUUAUCUUCAUCAUUCGUUUUAUCUUGAUUAGCAUGUUUAAUUGACGUUUCAUCAUAGUUUUCUCACUAGAGUUGUCAACAAGUAAAUCAUCAUCACCUAGCAAAUCAUCUUCAUCACUAUUGAAAUCAGAAUACUCGGGAUGUGUUACCUUUGGACCUUUGGCCAUGAAGCAUCUUCCAAUUCCUUCAUUUGGUGAGUCAAAUAUAUCAUAGGAGUUGGUUGUCACAACUGUUAGACCGGGAACACCUUCAUCUUGAGUAUAUUCGGAGUCGGAGUGAUAACUUCUUUCGGAGUGAUUGUCGGAGUCGGAGCCGGAUACCCAUUCACCAACAUGAGCUUGAUGUCUUCUUUUUGUGUAGCUCCUUGAUGACUUUUCCUUUCUUUCCAAAUCCUUGCUUCUCCGAGAGGGUCUUUGUCCAUAACGAUCAUCUCUACUCCUCCUUUCUCUCGGUGGUGAUUAUUCUCUUCUACUUCUUCUUUUGGGAGAAUCUUCUCUUCUUUUGUAGGGGGCCGUACACUCAUUGGAGUAGUGUCCGGGUCUUCCACAAUUGUAGCACUUACGCUCACGACUAGAAGAUCUUUUGUCAUUGUAGGACCUUGACUUGGAACCUAUUUCUUUGCUUCUACUUUUGUAGAACUUGUUGAAGUUCUUCACCAUUAAGCUCAAUUCUUCAUUGAAGGUUUGUUUCUCACUUGAAGAUGUGGGAGUAUCACAUGAGGCUUUGUAAGCACCACUUGACUUGUUGUGAAGCUCUUCCUUAUCCUUGAGUGACAUCUCAUGAGCAACAAUUCUUCCAUUGACUUCCGUUGGCUUGAGAUCUUUGUAACUGGGCAUCAUUUGGAUCAAUGUGCACACGGUAUCAUAUUUUCCAUCCAAGGCUCUUAGGAUCUUCUUGAUGAUGAAUUUGUCGGUCAUCUCUUCACUUCCUAAGCUGGCAAUCUCAUUUGUGAUGAGAGCAAGCCUAGAGUACAUUUCAGCGAUACCUUCACCAUCCUUCAUUUUGAACUUGUCAAGUUGACUUUGAAGCACAUCCAAUUUGGAUUCCUUGACGGAGUCGGUACCUUCGUGCAUAUCAAUCAAAGUAUCCCAAAUUUCCUUUGCAUUCUCAAGACGGCUGAUUUUGUUGAAUUCUUCGGGGCACAAUCCGUUGAAGAGAAUAUCACAAGCUUGAGCAUUGUAUUGUAGCAUCUUCAACUCUUCCGCGGUAGCUUCAUGGUUCGGUUCUCUCCCAUCAAAGAAUUCACCUUGCAAGCCAAUACACACAAUAGCCCAAACGGCGGGGUUAUGUCCAAGAAUAUGCAUUUUUAUCUUAUGCUUCCAACUAGCAAAAUUAGUGCCAUCAAAGUAAGGACCUCUACGGUGGUAAUUUCCCUCGCUAGACGCCAUACUCUCCUAGGUUGUGAAACCAAGGCUAUGACCACCAAAAGCUAUGGAAAUCAAAGCAAAUGGAGACCAAAGCUCUGAUACCACUUGUAGGAUCGGAAGUAUGUCUAGAGGGGGUGAUUAGACUACUUGACCAAAUAAAAAUCUAGCAUUUUCCCAAUUUUAGUUCUUGGCAGAUUUUAGCAACUUAGCACAAGUCAAGCAAUCAACCUACACAUGCAAUUCUAAGAGUAUAGCAGCGGAAAGGUAAAGCAAUUGCAUAUGAAGGUAAAGGGAUGAGUUUGAGGGAGCAAACGCAAUGUUGACACGGAGAUUUUUUAUCCGUGGUUCCGAUAGGUGGUGCUAUCGUACAUCCACGUUGAUGGAGACUUCAACCCACGAAGGGUAACGGUUGCGCGAGUCCACGGAGGGCUCCACCCACGAAGGGUCCACGAAGAAGCAACCUUGUCUAUCCCACCAUGGCCGUCGCCUACGAAGGACUUCCCUCACUAGGGUAGAUCUUCACGAAGUAGGCGAUCUCCUUGCCCUUACAAACUCCUUGGUUCAACUCCACAAUCUUGUCGAAGGCUCCCAAGUGACACCUAGCCAAUCUAGGAGACACCACUCUCCAAGAAGUAACAAAUGGUGUGUUGAUGAUGAACUCCUUGCUCUUGUGCUUCAAAUGAUAGUCUCCCCAACACUCAACUCUCUCUCAUAGGAUUGGAUUUGGUAGAAAGAAGAUUUGAGUGGAAAGCAACUUGGGGAAGGCUAGAGAUCAAGAUUUAUAUGGUUGGAAUGGAAUAUCUUGAACUCAACACAAGUGUAGGUGGUUCUCUCUCAGAAAAUAUGUAUUGGAAGUGUAGGCAUGUUCUGAUGGCUCUCUCCACGAAUGAAGAGUGGGUGGAGGGGUAUAUAUAGCCUCCACACAAAAUCUAACCAUUACACACAAAUCACCAAACUCGGUGGGAGCGAUUCAAAGAACUCGGUCAGACCGAUUUGGUUCAUAAUGUGAACGUUAGGAUUCUCGGUGGGACCGACAUGUCAACUCGGUGGGACCGAUGUCAUUAGAGUUAGGGCAUAACGUAAUCUCGGUGAGACCGAUUACACAAACUCGGCGAGUCCGAUUUUGGUAAUAGCCAAACAGAGAGUUGGUCAGGCAAACUCGGUGGGACUGAUUCGCUCAUCUCGGUUGGACCGAAACGUUACGAAAGGGAAAAGAGAGUUUGCAUUGCAAUCUCGGUGGGACCGAUCGCUCAUCUCGGUUUGACCGAAACGUUACGAAGGGAAACAGAGAGUUUGCAACCCCAUCUCGGUGAGACCGAGAUCCCUAUCGGUGAGACCGAAUUGAUUAGGGUUUCUGGCAGUGGCUAUGUCAACUGAACUCGGUGGCUCCGGAUGGACAGAAUCGGUAGGGCCGAGUUGGACUUUUUGGUCUAGGACAUAUGUGGAUAUGAGAAAGUAGUGGAGGGUUUUGGAGCAUAUCACUAAGCAUUUUGAGCGAGAAUCUCAUUAAGCAACACCUCAUCCCUUCUUAAAAGUAUUGGCUUUUCCUAUAGACUCAAUGUGAUCUUGGAUCACUAAAAUGAAAAAUGUAGACUCUUGUGCUUUGAGCUUGAGCCAAUGUUUUGACCUUAGCAUUUUGAAGGGUCCACUUCCUAAUCGAUGCCAUGCCAAACAUUGAGCUUUCCUGAAAUAUUUAUCUUGGAAUAGCAUUAGCUCAAUGAGCUAUAUGUUGUUAGGAAUUACCAAAACCACCCAGGGAUAGUUGCACUUUCACUAUGGUCUUAAACAGGCCCCUCGCGCCUGGUUCGAGCGCUUCGCCUCUGUGGUGACUACCGCUGGUUUCUUGCCAGUGAUCAUGAUCCCGCGUUGUUUGUUCACACGUCUCCUCGUGGUCGGACUCUUCUCCUUCUCUAUGUUGAUGACAUGAUCAUCACUGGUGACGACUCUGACUACAGUGCCUUUGUUAAGGCCCGCCUUCGCGACCAGUUCCUCAUGACUGAUCUUGGUCCACUUCAAUAUUUUCUUUGGAUUGAGAUCUCCUCGACCUCUGAUGGCUUCUACAUCUCCCAGGAAAAAUACAUUCAGGAUCUUCUUGCUCGUGCUACUCUUGGUGAUGAGCGCACUGUUGUGACUCCUAUGGAGCUCAACGUUCAGCUUCGUGCCUCUGACGGUGACCCUCUUCCUAAUCCUACUCGCUAUCGCCACCUCGUUGGCAGCCUUGUCUACCUUGUUGUUACGCGUUCCGACAUCUCCUAUCAUGUUCAUAUACUGAGUCAGUUUGUUUCAGCACCCACCUCUGUCCACUAUAGUCAUCUCCUCCGUGUUCUCCGAUAUCUUCGUGGCACUUUCUCUCAUCGCCUUUUCUUUCCCCGCUCAAGCUCUCUUGAGCUCCAGGCCUACUCUGAUGCUACAUGGGCUAGUGAUCCCUCUGAUCGACGCUCGCCGUCUGCAUACUGUGUCUUUCUUGGUGGCUCUCUCAUUGCCUGGAAGACAAAGAAAUAGACUAACGUUUCUCGCUUGAGUACAGAGGCUGAGUUGCGAGCCAUGGCUAUGUUGACGGCUGAGGUGAUUUGGUUACGGUGGUUAUUUGAGGAUUUUGGAGUGCCUGCUACUACCUCGACUCCCUUACUGUCAGAACCGGUGCUAUCAGUAUUGCGCGUGACCCGGUGAAGCAUGAGCUCACCAAGCACAUCGGUGUGGAUGCCCACUUUGUGCGUGCUGCUGUGCAUGAUCAGACUCUUGCUCUUCACUAUGUUCCCUCUGAGUUAUAGUUGGCGGACUUCUUCACGAAGGCACAGACUCGAGUGCGGCAUGGUUUUCUUCUCUCCAAACUCAGUGUUGUUGAUCCACCAUGAGUUUGAGGGGGGUGUUAGAUGUGUAUAGUCCCUUUUUGGUUCUUCCCCAUUGUAUAAGGGGUUUCCUGCACUUCACCACACAUGUAUAUGUAAUGGCAUUUGGCCUUCAGUGAAUAUUAAUUGUUGUUUAUCCAACAACAUUCACGCCAAUCAUAAAACAGUGUUUGUUAGUAGUGGAGUGGUAGGCGGACGCAAAUCAAACCAUCAUUUUUCUUCUAAUUACACUUGUAAAAGCAUCGAUGCAUCUCCGUCGCUUAAUUUUAUUUGUCAUUCUGUUCAGUACCUGGUUUGGUUCAGGAAGAGCUCUUUUUCCUAUGCAAAAUGUAUAACGUAUAUGCUCCUAAUUCUGAUUGCAGACAUAUUCAUCGCGCUAGUGUUUUGACAUGACGCGGGGAACCAAGAGCCGUUCAACAGCGCGUUUCUGGGAUACGCCACCGGUCUGGCACUAAAGGUAGCGGUGAUGAUCUGGUUUCAAGCCGCGCUGCUAAUAUAUCAUGGCAUCUUGCAGCCUGCUCUGUUGCACAUCGUUCCUGGCGCAUGACUGGUUUGGUCGCCGUUCACUCUCCGUGGAAUGGAGAGGUGAAAGCGGGCAAGUAAGCCUGUCUACUUUGUCCCUUUUGUGUAGUGCUGGGAUCAGAGAAAAUAACUGGCAAUCUGGAUCAGCCUGGUUUUGAGACGCGACUUGUUUGCCACUGACUGUUUUGCGUUGGCAGUUACUGCAGUUGGAGUGGGAAGCUGGAGAGGAGGAAGAAGACGAAGGUCCCAACCGGCAGAGCAAAAAGGUGAACCAGCCCUCGCCUUUUUAAUUACUAGGAGAAAGAAACAUUGAGGCAGUAAUUUCUUCAGGCAAGAUCGAUUGGCAGCUAAUUAAGUAGGCUGGAUGGCAUUGAGAAACCCAAAAACGAUUUACAUACACAUGGUAGAUCGUCUCUCUCUCUCCUUCCACCCCUUCCUUUCAUGGCCAUCGUAGACUGCACCAUGUGGCAUUCAAACUUUUCUCAAGGGGAGAGUUUCCUCACACACACACACAUGCACAUACGCAAGCACACGCACACACGUGUAGUACAAACUUAGAAUUUUUGGAAAUAAUGGGAGGCCGAGCAACGGCCAUGUGAAAAUAUGAGGUAUAUAGCUUGUGGAUUUCCAUUCAGUGUACAAGGCCUGCAUGAGGAAUGGAUAAAGAAAUAUAUCUUUGAUUCCCUUAGUUAAAUCUUAUCCUUCAUCGUCAAUUAUGACUAAGCAUACAUAGUAAUCGCUAGUUUCUCUUAUAUGCUUCCGAGAAGAUAAGACUGGAUAUUUUAGUUGCUAUUAAUUAUUUCCCUUCUUUCGCUAAAUAGUAGUCAAACAUGUUAUUAAUGUAUUUUGUAAGGAUAAGGUCGAGCAUCAUGGCCACUAUGUUCUAUAUAUACUGAAUUUGGUGUUCAGUAUGACAUAACAAACACAUAUUGUGAGAAGGAGUAGUGUACAUUGUUCUCUAGUGCACUUUGUUCAGCAAGUUGGGUGAAAAUGUUGAAUAAACCAUCAAGUUUUCAUACAUUUUUUCAUGGCACAGGUUUGCCUUCUCAUGAUGAUGGCUGCACCGUUUGCACAAGCUGCUGGGAGGCCUGUGGCAUCCUUACCAUGGGUAGCGGGGUGUUGCCUGAGGAACUAUUUGUGUUGUGGUGUUGGUGCUGUUGCCCCGACAUCCCAUGCAUCGCAGGCCACCUCUGUACCUUGAAUUAUGGUUUCGCCUGAUCUCCUCUCAUAACAUAGUUGAUAUAACAUAGUAGCAUCACAAAGGUUGCAUGGUUUCAUUGAUUCAUCUCUUUUCUACUCCGUGAAACUUGUGAUGCCACUUUUGAACAAUGUCAUUGCUAUGUCUUCUUAUAACUAAUAAAAUGGGAGGAUAUUUUCAUAUUAUUUGAAUUGUGUUGUAACAUUACCUACUAAUGUGGAUGAUCUGAGUGGACUACAUAGAUCGGAUCUUCUAAAGAUAUAAUCUAGGACUUUGCGAGAUGAUGAAAUUGUCCUUUAUCUUGGUCGACACCUUUUCGUAGAAGUGUUGGUCGGCCGUCUGUGUCUUUUUGCGGUGCAUGCCGUAGAGUCCUCCAUGUUUUGUAGUUGUACAAUAACCUUUGAGGCAACCGGGGGUGGUACGUCUGAGGAAGUCGGUGGCCCAGGAAUAUUCAUAAUGAGAUCUCGACCAUGGAUGCCAAGUAAUUUGCCCCGUGCUGAUGUCGUCGGGCGACCCGGUCACUUAUGUUUUGACUCAAGGAGUCGCUAUGUUCAUCGAGUCGCGAGACAGCGGGAGGAAGGAGACGAAGGUCCCAAACGUCAGACCAAAAAGGUGGACUAGGGCUCGCCCUAGUUGUGCUCUCGGGUAUUUUCAGUUACUAGUAGGAGUAAGAAGCAUUGCAAAUUGCUCCCUCUGUUCAAUCCGUAUAUAUGUAGUCCGUAUUCAUAUAUUCAAAAUAUUUUAUAUUUGUGAACGAAGGGAGUAAUUAAUAGUAAUGCAACAAUUUCAGGGGAGGCCAGUCAACAGCUAACUAAAUGUGCUGGAUGAGACUGGAGACAUGUAUAAACGAUUUACACAUGAUAGAACUACUCUUUUCUUGUCAAGGAAUGGAAGAAUGGAUGAUUUUAUCCGUUCGGAACAAAACCCAAUAUUCAUCCAGUUAGACGUUGUUCUGAAUUCUGAAGCUUUUGAAAGUUUUCUCGCAGAAAUAUGUGUGUGUAUUCCAGUUGUAUCAUUAGCAAACCAAGGUUGUAUAUAUUAUAGCACAAAGAAUGUUUGGUUGAUUCGUUCAGGCGAAUCAGGUUUGUGGCUGACUGCCAAAGUCAGGCCAACUCCAGCGCACGACCCCAAACAGACAUCUGUUUUGUCUGGAUUCUGCCCGUUUGGAUAUAGCAAUGGGGUCGUGUCCAGGCCUGUCCUGUGAUGCGGUCGCCGUGCGCACAACGCGCGGACGCAUCCUUUGGCCUCAUCAUGUCCGCCACGGCCAAAAAUGCCCAUAUAUUCAUAUUUCAAUAUUCAAAACUAGUUUGCACGUCCAAAUAUUAAUUGUCUGAAAAUAAAAAUAGUUUUACAACCCAAUCAAAAUUGUCUCUAAUAAAAUAGUUUUACAACCAAAUCGAAAUUGUCUUGAAUGAACAUAAUGAAACCAAUACAUCUAUUGGUUGCCAAUGUGAUUCCACAUGUGCUCAACCAAGUCAUUUUGAAGAUCCAAAUGAGUGUGCCAAUCAUGCAUUUCACGAUGACAUUGGGCAAACUGCUCAAACGUGGCCGGUUCUUGGUGCAGGGGCUGAACAUUUUCACCUUGAAAAUCAAAUCCUUGGUCGAAGAUGCUGUUAUCACGCUCGUCCUCGACGAUUAUGUUGUGCAUGAUCACACAAGCAGUCAUCACCUCCCGAAGCUUCCCUUCAUCCCAUGUCAAUGCAGGGUUUCGAACGAUACCCCAUCGGGAUUGAAGCAAACCAAAAGCACGUUCCACAUCCUUUCUAGCACUCUCUUGCAUUUGGGUAAAUCUCUUUCUCUUCUCACCUUGGGGGUUCGAGAUUGUCUUCACAAAAAGUUGACCACUGAGGAUAUAUACCAUCAGCUAGGUAGUAUCCCUUGUUGUACUGGUGGCCGUUGAUCUCAAAGUUGCCAGGUGGGGAGUGGCCUUCUGCAAGCCUUGCGAAGACUGGAGAACGCGGCAGCACGUUGAUAUCAUUGUGAGAACCUGCCAUGUCGAAGAAAGAAUGCCACAUCCAAAGAUCUUGCGAAGCCACCGCUUCUAAUAUGAUAGUGCAUGCUUUAACAUGCCCCUUGUACUGGCCCUGCCAAGAAAAUGGACAGUUCUUCCACUCCCAGUGCAUACAAUCUAUGCUACCAAGCAUGCCUGGAAAGCCUCUAGCCGCGUUGGUCGCCAACAAGCUUUCUAUAUCAGUGGCAUUUGGCUGCUGAGGGAGUCCUGGAUUAAGGGGUCCUCGGGCGUUUGGGCUGCGUAACAUGGGCCGGACUAAUGGGCCGUGAAGNNNNNNNNNNNNNNNNNNNNNNNNNNNNNNNNNNNNNNNNNNNNNNNNNNNNNNNNNNNNNNNNNNNNNNNNNNNNNNNNNNNNNNNNNNNNNNNNNNNNNNNNNNNNNNNNNNNNNNNNNNNNNNNNNNNNNNNNNNNNNNNNNNNNNNNNNNNNNNNNNNNNNNNNNNNNNNNNNNNNNNNNNNNNNNNNNNNNNNNNNNNNNNNNNNNNNNNNNNNNNNNNNNNNNNNNNNNNNNNNNNNNNNNNNNNNNNNNNNNNNNNNNNNNNNNNNNNNNNNNNNNNNNNNNNNNNNNNNNNNNNGAUUCCUUUCCCUGUAAACCGACUCUGUACAACCCUAGCCUUCUCCGAUGUCUAUAUAAACCGGAGGGUUUAGUCCGUAGAGGCAAGGAUAAUCAUACAGGCUAGACAUAUAGGGUUUAGCCAUUACGAUCUCGAGGUAGAUCAACUCUUGUAAUCCCUAUACUCAUCAAAGUCAAUCAAGCAGGAAGUAGGGUAUUACCUCCAUUAAGAGGGCCCGAACCUGGGUAAACAUCGUGUCCCCUGCCUCCUAUUACCCUCUAUCCUUAGACGCACAGUUCGGGCCCCCCUAUCCGAGAUCCGCCGGUUUUGACACCGACAGCUGCCUCAAGUACUCAGGGCCAAACACUGCCACCACAGCCUUGUAGAACUUGUAAAGUGACAACAGACAUGCCGACUCACUCAUGCGCACGUACUCAUCCACCAGAUCGCCUGGAAUUCCAUAUGCAAGCAUGCCGAUGGCCGCGGUGCACUUCUGGUAAGAGGAGAAUCCAAGCUUGCCAAGGGCAUCCGUCUUGCACUCGAAGUAUGGGUCAUGAGCAACCACUCCCUCUCGGAUACGAUUGAACAGAUGUCUUGCCAUACGAAAACGGCGACGGAAUUUAUCCGGCUUGAAGAGCGAGGUAUUCGCAAAGUAAUCGGCAUAGAGCAAGGCGUGGCCUCUCUCUCUAUUGCGUUUCAGGUUGGGAGCACGGCCAGGGACUGACCCCAUGUACCGAGGAAGCUGCCCAAUGUGAUCGUGAACGACCAGUGCAACCACCACCAGAUCUUCGUCAUCCGAGGACGAAUCAUCCAAUGAAUAAAUGAAGUGGUGGAAGAAAAAUUCAUCUCCACUGUCCAUACAUUUGUGGGCAAAGUGUUCAACACCUUGCGGUCGUGGUGGCAAAGAGGCCGCGAUGAUCAUCUCGAUGCAGCAGGGGUGGUUGGCGGCCGGCUACUGGCCGCUCUAGAGCACCCGGCGGAAGCUGCCGUGGUCCAUAUCCGUCGCCGGUGGUCGUAUCCCCUCUAGCACCGGCUACAAUGGCGACGGCCAAAUCUCCUCCAAGCGAUGGCCAGAACUCCUACGAAAGCGCGGGCGUUGUGGCGGCCAUGUCGAGACGUGGUUUGGUAUGGAUGGGCAGGGGGAGGGAGCAGUGAGGAGGCGGUCGGAGAAUACUGGCGGCGCCGGUGGCGGGAUGCGGCGGAGGAGAGCGGGUGAAGGCGUUGGAGGCAAAUGGAGUGCUAGUGUCCCCGACAGGCGGGCCACGGGGAGGACAAGGGCGUGUGUCCAGCCCGUCCGCGUGAUGUCCAUUUCACCCCAAACUCGGCACAAGUUUGGGCCGGGAAUGGGUAAAAAACGGACGAAAUCCGGACAUUUGUCUAUUUGAAGCCGCGCCUUGAGUCAUGCUAUUCGUCUGUUCUACCCUAAACGGACGCACCAGAACGGAAUGGGGUCGCGUGCUGGAGUUGGCCUCACGGCCGUUUCUGCCUUUGGCGCAGACAAGAGAUUCUACACUGUAAAGGAAAAAGCUGAAAGCUCUCUUGUCUCGUGUGUUUCUCUUCUCUUGCACCUUGUCGGAAAACAGUGUGCACCAGGGACGCUCGAUUCCAUGGCAGGCAUCAGUUCAAUCGAUCAUGCUACAGGGAACCGGCACUAUCUUCUUUUUCUUUUUCUUUUUCUUUUAGGUCGUGAACGCAAGUCAUUUGAGAUAUUCACGUAGGACUUACAUAAUUGGUACGUUGUGACAAAACUGGACGCACACGAUGAAAUAUAUAAAUAUUCCUAUGGUAGAUUUAUCAGCAUCAGUGUGGAGCUAAAGUGUUUGAUGUUUUGUAUGAAUGGUUUGGUCUGAACAAUAAAGCCGACCACUCAGGACCUACUUUUGGGCUUUUUUUUUUGUAUUAUUCUAUACUAGCAAAAGGGCCCGUGCGCGGAGAAAAAAAUUAUAAUCUUGAAUGACCAUGAUCACAUUUUUUUUCAUCACCGAGAUACACUAUCACUUUCAACUUCGGGAAAUCAUCUACAUUUUUUAAACUUGUGCACAUUUUUCACAUUCAUGAACACUUUUACAAAUUUGCAAACAUAUUCUAAAAUCAAGAACAUAUUUUGAAUUCAUGAACAUUUUAUAGUAUUUACAAACAUUUUUAGAAAUUACGUUUUUUUAACAAUUUUCUUGAAUAGGCAAACAAUUCUAAAAUGGACGAACAUUGUUUUAGAAAUCGGUGGAAUAAUUUUUGAAAUUCCCGAACAUUUUCUUGAUUUUACAAACAUUUUUUGAAAUGCAUGAUCAUUUUUGUAUAAACUAUUUUGUAUGUCACGAACAGUUUUCCAAAUAUUUGGUUAUUUCCCCAUUCAUGAACAUUUUUUGAAUGGUGAUAUUUUCUUAAAUUUCAUUAACAUUUUUUGUACACGAAUUUUUAAAAAGUCAUGGACGUAUUUUGGUUUCAUGAACAUUUGUUUUCAAAAUUUCAAACAUUUUUCGAGCCAGAUUCUUUAAUAAAAUUGCAAAUAUUUUUUGAAUACAUAAACAUUUUAUGAUUUAUUAAAACUUUAUUUGGAAAUUAUUUUAAUUUUGAAAUAUUUUUUGUAUUCUGAAUUUAAUUAAAGUAGAAAAACGGAAAAAGAUAAAAAAGGAAAUGUUAAAAACAGGCUGCCCGGACAUGGGCCGGCCCAAAUGGGCGGGCCGCGCCUUAUCCCUUCGCGCAGAGCCCAGUAUGGCAGGUCGCUACUACAUGGGCCAGUCCAGACGGGGAUUCCCCUGUGUGAAACAUUUAUAUCACUUAUACGUGACAUUUGGAUCCCCUCUAGUUAGGGUUUUCUCUCCUCCCGGCGGCGCCUGGCACCGACGUGGAGACCGCGAUCCCCUGCGUCUCCUAGACCACUGAUCGCCGGCGGCUUCGGACGUCGGGCUCGUGUGCGCGCUGGGCGAUCUGUCUAGGGUUCUCCCGCCCGCGGAAACCGACUUCUCGGGCAAGAGAUCUGAUGGAAGGCUCAACGUCGGCGUCAGCCGCAGCGAUGAGCGACAUGGAAGCUAUGAUGAAGGAAUUGGGCCUGAAAGAAGAUGAUCUGGAGGAUGUUGUGGUUCAGGAUGGCGACAUACCAGAGGAAGCGGCGCGGUGGAUGGUGAUCCUGCGGGUGCACAUGGAUAAGCCGUACAGUCAGUAUUGGUUUUUUCGUAACAUGCGGGUUGCAUGGGAUCUAGCACAAGAAGUCAAGUUCCGCCCUCUAGAAGACAACCUCUAUACUCUGCAAUUCUCCUACCUGGGUGAUUGGGAGAGAGUCAUGGAGGACGGCCCCUGGACAUACAAAGGAAAAGCUGUCGUAAUCGAGCCCUAUGAUGGUUUCACCAGAUCAUCGUCUAUUGUUCUUAACAAGAUUGAGAUGUGGAUCCAGAUCCAUGAUCUCCCUGAACUGUUCUUCCAGUUGAUUAAAUCGCUAGCAUCUACUGUUGGUGACUUCAUAUUUGCUGAGCCCAAAUCCCAGGACUUUGAGGGGAACUUUUUUAGGGUUCGAGUGAAAGUGGAUGUCACAAAGCCGCUCAAGAACGCUGUAUCGCUGGUGAUCAAGAAGAGGAGAGAGAUAUUCAGGGUGAAAUAUGAGAGGCUUCCAGAUUGGUGUGCUGUCUGUGGUAUGCUAGGUCAUCAGUUCAAAGAGUGUGGCGAUGGGAUCCAUCCCCAAUCUGCGCUUGUGUUCAAAAAUCUGAAAGCUGACUGGUUCAGGAGCCCAGGCCGUGGACCAGGUGCUGCAAGAGGCUUUGAAGGUGGUCGAGGGAGAGGUAAUGGUCGUGCAGGUCAUGGAGGCCGGGGCUCGGGUUGAACACAACAAGAUAACUUUGACCAGGCUGUUGAUCUGGAUACAGACAUGGAAGAAGGAGACGGGAACCGCAAGAGAGGAGCUCAUGCAAACACACUCUUGCUUACUUCUUCAGGGACCAACCCAUCAUCUUCGAUGGAACCCCAAGCCCUCGCUACAGCCACCGUUCCACAGAGUCCCUCGUCGAAGCAAGACCUCAAAAGAACAAAGACCAACCCCCGUCAGUUGGAGAAGAACCCAGGGAAGAACAAGUCCUCAAACACCCAAAACAAUGCGCAAAUGGCGAGCCCUAUCAACUGGUCGCGCCUGGCGCAAUGAGUUGCCUAGUUUGGAACUGUCGCGGGGCUGGCAGACCUGCGACAGUUCGUGAGCUUCGAGAUCUAUCGAAGCUACUUGCCCCCUCUAUUGUAUGCAUUCUUGAAACCCAGAUAGAGGGCUCGCGUGUCGAGAAUCUGGUAGGAACUUUAGGUUAUAAUAAAAGCUUUGCUGUAAGCAGCUCCGGCAGGAGCAGUGGACUAGGCAUUUUUUGGAAUGAGGAAAUAAAACUCGAAGUUAUCGGUUAUUCUGAGUACCACAUAGAUGUUCUUGUUGAGCAGAUGGUAGAAACUAAAACCAGAAUCACCUUUGUGUAUGGUGAGGCCCAAACAAGUGCAAGGUACAAAACUUGGGACAUGUUGCGCGGAAUUGCUGGAACUAGCAACGACCCAUGGGUAGUGAUUGGAGACUUUAACGAAGUACUUCAUGCCCAUGAGCAUGAUGGAACCGGCCAACGAAGCCAGGCGCAGAUGGACGCCUUCUGAGAUGCUAUUGACAAAUGCGGCUUAUCAGAUAUUGGUUAUAAGGGGCAAAGCUGGACUUUUGAAAAGAAGGUGAUGGGCGGUACGUACACCAGGGUGCGCUUGGACCGGAGCGUGGCUAAUCCUGCAUGGGCUUUGGCCUUCCCAGAUGCAUCCCUUGAGCAUCUCACCGCAGCUACUUCUGAUCAUGUCCCGUUGUUGCUUCGGCUUCAAGCAAUGCAUGCAUGCAGAAGGGGACCACGGCCGUUUAAAUACGAGUUGUGUUGGGAGCGCGACCCAACACUGGAGACAAUGGUGCAUGCGGGGUGGAAUCAGCAUCCUGGGGAUUCGGUGGACCAGGUGAAGGCUAAACUCCAAACACUGUCGGGCGACCUGUCGACGUGGGAUCGGCAACAUUUUGGAAGCGUGUGCAGAGAGAUAGCCGAAUUAAAAAAAGGAACUACAGGUGUUGCGAGAAUUUCCAGGAAGAUCUGGCCCCUCUCGACGGGAGACAAAAAUCUGCGACCGCCUGGUUGAAUUGUUUCAUCGCGAGGAGAUCUUGUGGAGGCAGCGAGCUAGGAUUGAUUGGCUCAUGCAUGGCGACAAAAAUACUUAUUUCUUCCACAUGAGAGUGAGUAGGCGUCGACGGAAAAACCAAAUUAAAUCCUUGCAAUGAGCUGACGGGCAGGUAACGGAGAAUGAACUGGAGAUGGAAAACAUGACGAUCUCCUUUUACAAGGACUUGUACACGACAGAAGGGGUUGGUGAUAUGGCACAGGUGCUAGAAACAGUACCAUGCAAGGUUACGCAUGCAAUGAACGCCUCGUUGAAUGCCCCAUAUAGCCCGGAAGAAGUCAAGACUGCCCUUUUUCAAAUGUUUCCCACCAAGGCACCGGGACCAGAUGGCUUUCCCGCUCACUUCUUUCAGAGGCACUGGGAGACGUGCGGAGACGAAAUCACCAAAGUCGUUCUUAAAAUUGUUGAGGGCACAGAAUCUGCAGCAUGUAUCAAUGAGACAGUCUUGGUGCUAAUCCCUAAGGUAAAAAACCCAACCCUCUUGAGCCAGUUCCGACCCAUCAGCUUAUGUAAUGUUCUUUACAAAAUAGCGUCCAAAGUGAUCUCUAACAGGCUGAAGGUGAUACUACCUGACAUUAUAUCUGAGGAACAAUCUGCCUUUGUCCCUGGUAGACUUAUAACUGACAACAUCAUCACUGCCUACGAGUUCCUACACUUUAUGAAAAGAAAUAAAGCUAAAAAGCACCAGUCGUUUGCUCUGAAGCUAGACAUGAUGAAGGCUUAUGACAGGGUGGAGUGGCUAUACCUGAAAGCAAUCAUGGUGAAACUAGGGUUCACUGAGAGAUGGGUGGACAUAGUUAUGGGACUGGUUACCACUGUUAAGUUUUCUGUCAUGUUUAAUGGGAAAAGAUUGGAGGAAUUCGAACCUUCACGAGGAAUUAGACAAGGGGACUCAAUAUCUCCGUACUUGUUCUUAAUAGCAGCAGAGGCCCUGUCGUGCCUGUUAAAAUCAAAGAGUGAGUCAUCCAAUCUGGGUGGUGUGCAAUGGCUCCUACGGCGCCGCCAGUUAGCCAUCUAUUAUUCGCUGAUGACAGCCUACUGUUCUGUAAGGCAAAUUGUGCGGGAGCUAAUGAGGUGAACCUAGUACUGAAUACAUACUGCCAAGCAUCCGGUCAGCGAGUAGCAAGGGAGUGCCGGAAGCUACGAGGACAGAAAUAAAAGGUUUACUCAAUAUUCCCAAUGAAACUUUAAAUGAGAAGUAUCUAGGGAUGCCGUCAGAUAUUGGGAGUUCGAAGAACGGGGCCUUCAAAUACGUCAAGGAUCAUUUAUGGAGUAAGGUACAGGGCUGGGUGGAAAACACCAUGUCAUCCGCAGGCAAGGAGGUUUUGGUGAAAUCAGUUGCCCAGUCCAUACCUAUAUUCUCAAUGUCAUGCUUUAAACAUCCAAGGGGAUUAUGUGAACACCUUAAUAUGCUUAUUAGGAAGUUCUGGUGGGGGAGCAAAGAUGGCAAAAGGAAACCUCACUGGGUAUCUUGGAAAAGUAUGACACAGCCGAAGGGAAUGGGAGGACUAGGGUUCAAAGAUUUUGAACUCUUUAAUAUGGCGAUGCUGGCAAGACAGGCUUGGAGAUUAAUCCAAACACCAGAGUCCCACGCUUGUUGAAGAGCAUAUACUUCCCUGAUUCUACCGUCUUGGAGGCGACCUUGUGCAACCAUCCCAAUCAGAUAUGGCGAGCCAUCAUCGAAGGCAGAGAUACACUCAAACAAGGUCUCAUUCGUAGAAUUGCCAAUGGUCAAUCUACUCGUAUUUGGGAGGAUCCGUGGCUGCCAAGAGAUGAGAUGUUACGGCCAUAUGGGAGCAUUCACCCCAAUCCGCCAACCUUGGUUUCGGAACUGAUCGAUCACACUAGCGCUUCAUGGAACAGUCAGCUAAUCAACCAAGUGUUUAUGCCCAUGGAUGCUUGUACCAUUAUGGGGAUCCCGGUGUGCACUCGCAAUCUCCAUGACUUCUGGAGCUGGAUCUUUGAAACGAGUGGCAACUUCACGGUCAAAUCUGCUUACCGCAUGCUUGUAGCGACAAGACAGCGCCGGGAGGCAUGGCUUGAGGGCACUGCUGGAACAUCAAACAGCACGUCGAAGGAGGGGGCUUAGAAAACGUUGUGGAAGACCCAGGUUCCUGCAAUUCUAUGGCGUUUAUCAAAGCACUCUCUCCCAACGGAGGACGUCAGGGCUCAUCGGCAUAUGGCAGAUAACGCUACUUGCGGUUUAUGUGGCUCGGCUGAUUCGUGGAGACACUCUCUGGUUAACUGCACUAGCUCGAGAUGGUGUGUGGGCUUUAGUUGAUGAGGAGCUAGCACAAAACCUAGUCUCAACCACGGAACCCAACGCCAAGCAGUGGCUCUUCACCUUCAUGCACUCACUAUCACACGAUCAAUUUGUAUUGCUUGCGGUCACUCUCUGGGCGAUCUGGACAGCGCGGCGCAAGGCUAUUCAUGAAGGAAUAGUCCAAUCGCCUCAGGCAACUAACAACUUUCUCAGACGCUUCAUAGCUGAACUAAACAUGAUUAAAGUGGAAAGGCCUAUGAGGGGAGGAGCUCAAUCUAUGGGCCUGUCACGAGCUGCACGCCCCAAAGCUCCCCCGAUCGGCUACGCCAAGAUUCAUGUGGACGCGGGAGUAAGAGCAAGGAAAGGUGGAUCAGCAGCCGCUGUAUGCCGGGACAGGCAAGGCAAUUUCCUAGGCAGCUCCGCGUUGGUGAUCGCCGGUCUAGAGGACCCAGCCAUACUAGAGACUAUCACUUGUAGAGAGGCAUUGGCGCUGGCGGAAGACCUUAAUCUGCAUAAUUUUGUCGUUGCAUCUGAUUCCAAGCAAACAGUGGCUGACAUCUUAAGUGGAGGCAGAGGCAAGAGUGGUACUAUUAUCCAGGAGAUAAACACUAGAGCAACUCUAUUUCAUUGUAAUUUUUCUUUUGAAGGCCGUGCUGUUAAUGUCGAAGCACAUAGACUAGACAAAUAUUCGCUUAAUAUCGGUCCGGGGCGCCACCUCUGGUUAGGUCAGCCCCAUGACCCGAGUUGUAUCCCACCCAUUGUGGUCUUUGAUGAAUAAAAUUUGGCUUUCCCCUCAAAAAAAAAACUUAUACGUGACAUUUGUGGGUAAUUUGUACGACGUGCCAUAAGAAGAAAUAGCCCCUUUAUUAUUAUUAGCAAAAGUGUCCGUGCGUUGUAACGGGAGAAAUAAAAUCAAAAUCUCCAAUGACCAUGACCAUAUUUUGUUGCAUCACCAAGACACCCCUAUCACUCUCAAUUUCGUGUAAUCAUGAAUAAUUUUUGAAAUCACGAACAUGUUUUAAAAUUAUUACACAUAUUUGAAAUCGUGAACAUUUUUCAAAUUCAUGAACACUUAUACAAAUUUCCGAACAUUUCUAAAAUCAAGAACAUUUUUGGAAUUGAUGAACAUUUUAUACUAUUUGCAAACACUUUUUAAAGAUUCCGAACAUCUUUAUAAACAAUUUUCUUUAAUCGAGGAACAUUUUUAUGGAAAUUGAUGGAACAAUUUUCGAAAUUCACAAACAUUUUUUGAUUUAACUAACAGUUUUUGAAAUACAUGAUCAUUUUUUGAAUCAGUGGACAUUUUCUGAAUGACUAAACUAUGUUGUAAGUCACGAAAUAGUUUUUGAAUUUUAGGAUAUUUCUCCAUUCAUGAACACUUUUUGAAUUGGCUAUUUUUUUCAAUUUCAUUAACAAUUUUUGAUAGAAAAACUUUUUAAAAAAUCAUGAAUUUUAUUUGAUUUCCCAAAAAAUUGUUUUUAAAAUUUUGAACAUUUAUUGUGUAAGCAAUUGUUUUUUACAAAACAGCGACCAUAUUUUAAAUCCACUAACAUUUUAUGAUUUAUGAAAAUUUUAUGUCAAAAUACUCAUUUUUUUAAUUUUCGAAACUUUUUUGAAAUCCCAAACUAUUUAUUGUAGAAAAGAACGAAAACAGGAAAGAAAAAUGAAAAUAGAAAACAAAAUCAAAGAAACAGGCCAGCCUGAAAUGGGCCGGCCCAAACAUACGUGUAGCUUCUUCUCCCAGCGUGCAGAGAGCAUUAUAGGAGGUCCCAACUGCAGGGCCGGCCCAGAUGGGGGAAUUCCCCUGUGUGAAUUUUUUGUAUCACUUAUAUGUGGCAUUGAACUCAUGAAGCAUGCGCUAUCCCUUCCAGCUCGCCGCCAUGUAUGGCUCGGACAACCAGAUGGACUUUCUUUCGUCCAUGUAAACGUUAUGACGAUAUAAUAAAAAGCUUCGGAAUUUGUCUAAAAAGACUUAUAAGUGGCAUUGGUGGGUAAUAUUUUGCAACUUUAGAGGUAAUUCCAUGACGUACCACCAGAAGCACAAUAGCCCCUUUACUAUUAUUAGGUACUCUUUUUUCCUUGUGGAGCUUUGGAAAUGAGAGAAUUUGAAUAUAGUAACUCUCGGAAACUCUUAUUGGAUGAGAGAGAUUUAAUAUGAUAUUGGCAUGGGUUCUACCAACUAACGAAGAAGUAUUUGACUGGAUAAACAGACAAUUUCCUUUAAUGGACGAACAUUUUUAUGAAAAUUGGUGGAAUAACUUGGGAAAUUCAUAAAUAUUUUUUUAGUUAACGAACAUUUUUUUAACUUAACGAACAUUUUUUGAAAUACAUGACCAUUUUUUUGAAUCUGUGAACGUUGUAUGAAUGAAUAAACUAGUUUGUAAGUCAUGAGCAGUUUUUCAAUUUUUAGGAUAUUUUUCCCUUCAUGAACAUUUUUUCAAUUGGUGAAAUUUUGUUCAAUUUCGUUAACAAUUUUUAGUGCACAAACCUUUUUAAAAAAUCAUGAACAUGAUUAUUUACCAAAGAAGCAAAUUGUUUUUUACAAAAUCGUGGACAUUUUUUUAACCCAGAAACAUUUUAUGAUUUAUGAAACAUUUUUUUCAAUACACAAUAUUUUUAAUUUUCGAAUUUUUGUGAAAUCCUAAAUUAUUUAAAGUAGAAAAAUCAAAAACAGAAAAGAGAAAGGAAUAAUAGAAAACAAAGUUAAAGAAUAGGCCGACCGAACAUGGGCCGGCCCAAACGGGCGCACUGUAUCUUCUGCCAGCGCCUAGAGCGCAGUAUAGGAGGUCCCUACUGCAUGGGCCNNNNNNNNNNNNNNNNNNNNNNNNNNNNNNNNNNNNNNNNNNNNNNNNNNNNNNNNNNNNNNNNNNAAGAAAAUAAUGCCUAUGCAUAUGCUUUUAUAUUAUUAUUAUUGUUUCAAAUUUAUUCAUAUAUUAUUUUCAAUUGUACAACCAUAAUUUUUCUUAUCUCUCUCGUUCCACUACAUGCUCCUAGUCAAAGAUUUUUUUAAUAAUGGGUGUUUUUAUUAACUCAAAAUAUAGCAUCAAGCGGAUACAAAACAUAAUGAGCCACACCCGGUCUAUGCAUAACUAAGAUGCACACAGCCAAAAGCAGAAGUCUGACAAAAAUAAGAUAAGAAAAUCGACAUAUCGACAACAGUGAGUCAUAUAGUACCGACACUAUGCCUCUGUCGAAGGAGGUGGUGGAGCGAUCUGGAGAUUAUGCUGCCAUCCAUGUUGAGUAAAUAUCUCCCUGGCCACUUGCUCCAACCGCAUAGACGCCGCCAUGAACAACGGUUGGUACUCCAUUCGGUGUAGCAUACACCAUACUAGAGGCUGGGGCGCCACCUGAGGCGGGCCUAUGCACACUUAUUUUGUCUGGGCAGUUCGGUUGUCAUGUUUGGUCAUCAGUAUCACUUAUGUACAUCAAUAUGGGCGUAUGUUGUAUUGUUUGAGUUCAUUAGGAUCUAUCAGUAUCACAUCAAUCAAACUACAUAUACUAUGUUAUUUGAGUUCAGAACCAUCAUAGGCAAUGAUACGUCUAACAAGGAUAUAUAACAUUUAAUUCAAAAGGAAAGACAAAGUAGAAUUAAGUGCUUCAGAUUGGCCGAAGAAAGGAACCUCAUGAUGCCAUGACUAAGGAACCAAAUAUAAAAGAGCACCUUUCAGAGUACUCCAGAGGUAUGACAUCAUCCAUUUCCACAUCAGAAUCAUCGGAAUUCUCCUGAUCCUCAUUUCGAUGUACCCAACACAAAUGCUACAUGGAUUUUAGUCAGCUGCAAUCCCCACUACUUCUACACUUCCCCUUUUUCACACCGAGGAGCAGAGACUGAUGCAAGUUGAUCGAACACAGAACAACAUAUAAUUGCCUAGAGAUGCGCUGGGCCUGAACAACAACAACAACAACAACCGUUGAGCCAGGUCUCCUUCCAGCAGCCUCAGCAACAAUAUCCAUCAGGCCAGGGCUCCUUCCAGCCAUCUCAGCAAAACCCACAGGCCCAGGGCUCUUUCCAGCCUCAACAACUGCCCCAGUUUGAGGAAAUAAGGAACCUAGCGCUACAGACGCUACUUGCAAUGUGCGAUGUCUAUAUCCCUCCAUAUUGCACCAUUGCUCCAUUUGGCAUCUUUGGUACUAACUGAGAAGAGAAGAACUCUAGUAGUAGAUAUAUGAUACACCGUUUUCUUAGUCCAUGGUUUGGUCGUUGUAGCGGUGAAAAAAUAAAGUGACAUGCACUAUCAUGUAAGAACCCGAACUAUACUAGUUCAAACUUGGGAAUAAAAGACAAACACAGGUCUUGUCUACAUAUGAUUGUUUGUUUGAGUUCCACUCAUGUGCCCAUUCACAAGUUCACCCCUAAUUAUAUAUAUUAUGCAUUA